UAUACCAUUUUUAAUAUAAAAAUAAUAGCAAUAUAUACACUACAAUAAAAAUAGUCUAUAGCGACACUUUUAAAUGUAGGUACAUGUCAAAAAAGUGCUGCUAGCUAAAAUUACCGACACUUUUGAAAAGUUUUGCUAUAUGUGGCGUCGCUAGGUAUAUAGUGACAGUUAAAGAGUGUCACUAUAACCUAAAAGAGUGCUGCUAAUUUACCAACACUUAUUUAAGCAUUUAGCAACUGCCGAAACUCUAUCUCAUUGGCUGUGGUGGCGGAGGAGGACGACAGUAAAGGCUCUUCGUCUAGAAUUUCAGUGGAUUGAGUGAAGAGAGAAGAAAAGAUGGUAAUUGAUUUUUUUUUUUUUUUUUUCUUUUCUGUUUGUAAUCGGGCCAAAUGGACUGGAUGUGGUGGGUUGAGUAGAGUAAUCUUUUAUUUUUGGUUGGAUUGGGCUUUAUAUUGAGGUAUUAGGAGAUGUGUUUUUAAGUUUUAGCAUAAAUGAGACACUUACUCAAAAGUGUCUCAAACAUAUAUCUCUAUAAUCUAAUUCUAUUGUAGUGAUAGCAUAUUUAUUUUUUAUUUUUAUUUUUUUUGUUUAAUCCUGCAUAUAUCCUACGUCAUCCGUAACGUAUCCGAAACAACUCCCUAACUUUGAUCGAGCCAAGUUUCAUUCUGGUCCUCAAACUCUCCAUAUUUACAUUGGGGAUAUUAUACUGACAAUAAGAUUUAUUUUAGUCCCUAAACUUGCGAUAGCCUUUUAAUUAUGGCAGUACUUAAUUAUUACAGAAUAAAAAUUAUUUUUUGCACCUACUUUGUCUGCAUGCAUGUUUAUACACUAGGAAUUUAGCAAUUCGUUAUCUUAUGUAUACUUUUAAUUUAAUAAUACAAUUUUUGUAUUAAAAUGUAUGUUAUAACUCUACAUAUAGUAGGAAAUAUAAAUAUAAUAUCGUAAAAAAAAAAAAUCAAUAACUGUAGUGUAUAAGCCUAUACAGAUAAACUAGAUGUAGCAAUAAUAUAUAAUCUAAUAAUAAUACACACAACUAUUUAAGUGAAACGUUUUUAAGAGUUUUGGAAUUAUUAUUGUUGAAUUUAAAAGUUUGAGUACGAAAAUAAAACUUGUUUAGAAGCUAGUGAAUUAGUGCAAUUUAUGCUUACCUCUAUGCAAUAUACUAUAUAAAAAUAUUGUUUAAAGACCCCUAAAAGGCUUAAACGUGGUAGGACUAGAAUAGUUCUAAAGUAGGUGACUCUCUGAAAAAUUAUAUAUCAUAGUUAGUAUUAGAACUGAUCACCAGCCAAAAGUGUGAUAUGAGUUUCGAUUAAGUUAAAAUUAUACAGCGGUGUGGGUGAAGCGCCGAUCUUCAUAAGAUUGGCUAAAGCUAGCGAGGAGAGAGAUGACUAAAUUUCUUAACUAGGUUAUAAUAUUUUUUACUGUGAUUAAACUUAAAAUAUUGAAAAAAUUAAAUAUGUUAGGGCUGGGGUAGUUCUUGAAUAGAUGAUCCUCUCGUCUAAGAAGCGGGGCCUCUCACAAAUUACGCCGAAAAGGGAAGAAAAGUUGAGGAGGGAGGGUAGGGAAACAGAAUAUCCUAUAGUCGAGGGGUCUGCGUACAUAUUUAGCUCCAAUAUAAAAUGUAGAACGCGACACCACCACCCCUUCUCCUUCACGUCUUCACCCCCACCCCAAGAGCACACGAGCUCAACACCACACCCAUGGAGCCCUCCUCCCAUGGCGCUCUCCUCCUCAAAUGGGCCCUCUACAUCCCCCUCGCCCUCCUCGCCACCUCCCACCUCUCCUCCGCCGCCUCGGACCCCCUCUCCUCUCGCCACCUCCUCCUCAACCAACUCGCGCAGUGGCGCCGGAGCCGCUUCGGCCCGGGCCCCGAAACUGCGGCGGCUUGGGUGCUGUGCUUCUUGGCGGCUUCCGUGUGCAGCGCCGGCGGGGUGGGGGGCGGGUCCCUCUUCCUGCCCAUCCUCAACCUCGUGGCGGGGCUGAGCUUGAAGCGCGCCACCACCUUCUCCGCGUUCAUGGUGGCGGCGGGGUCGCUGUCGAACGUGCUCUACACCCUCCUCGUGAUGCGCCGCGGCCAGCUGUCCUCCCCGCUGAUCAACUACGAGAUCGCGCUGCUCUCGCAGCCGUGCAUGCUCCUGGGGGUGAGCGCCGGGGUGGUCUGCAACCUGAUGUUCCCCGAGUGGCUCAUCACCGUCUCCUUCGCCGCGUUCCUCGCCUGCUGCACGUACAAGACGUUUGGGGCUGGGCUCAGGUGUUGGGAGGAGGAGACCAAGGAGAUUGGGAGGGUCAUUAUGAGCGGGUCGUCGGGGGGAGCUCAUGAUCACCAGCCGCUUUUGGUUGAUGGGGCCCGCCAAGGGGAGGAGGGGAACGGCAGUUCGGGGAUUCCGCUCAAGGAUUUGGUGGUGCUGCUCUUCAUCUGGCUCUGUUUCUUUCUAUUGCAUGCCCUCCUUGGAGAUAAGCAUGGCAAGGUAUGAAUAAUUCUUCUUCUUCUUCUUCUUCUUCUUCCUCUCUUCUUCUUCUUUUCUUUUCUUUUUUUUUUUUUUUUUUUUUUUGUAUAAAGGAAAUUGUGUAUUGGAAAGAUGGUGUACUUACAUUUUAAGUUAAGAACUAGCAAUGCUACCAUCGAGUGUAUAUCUUACACCCGCUUCAUAUAAAAACUAUUAAUUUUGAAAAAUAUUUCUUAUGCACGCCGAUCAAGAUCCGAUUGGGCAAUACCACCGGUAUUGCUCAUUAAUUUUUUACUUAUCACAUUAUUAUUUUUUUUACUAAAAGUUAUUUGAGUUUUUAUUAAAUGAGGUUGUACCAUAAGUGGAAUUUCUCUUCGGGUAAAACUUAAAAAAUGUAUGGACACCACCCCCCCCNNNNNNNNNNAAUUUUAAUCCGUUUUAAAACUGACCCUCUAAACUUCUAGAAUUUUAUUAUUUAACUAAGACCGUCUGUGUUUACCGGCUGUUUGAUUUAAGCCUUUCCAUUAACAAUUUGGUUGAUUACGUUAGAAUCAAAACAAACGCCGUGAAAGAUGUGCACGAUCAAAAAAUUACUCUAGUAAAAAAGGAGGUCAUGUGUGUCUCUCUUAGGCGUUUAAUUUUAACAUAAUCCCGAAAAUUGCUAAUAGAAUGUACUGACCCAAGCGGUUAUUAAGUAGGAGUGUAAAUCAAAUAAAAAAUUACUCCAGAGAGUCAAGUUUAGAACUUUUUGAAGUUUAGAGAGUGUGUAUAUAUUUUAACAUACAUUUUAUGUUCAACACCUUCUUCAAUUUUGUAUUCGAGACUUUUUAAUGAGUCUAAAAUAUAGACUUGAUUGAAUAGAAGAAAAUCAGAAAGAACCAGAAGCGUGGUGGGAUUUCAGAAACUUCGGCUUUGAUACCAUAUAAAAUAAUGAAAAAUCAUUAUUUAUUUUUAAAAGCUUAAUAUGUUCAUAGAAUAGUAUUUUUAUAUUUUGUAUGCAACACUCUUUAUUUUUUUGUUCUCAAUCUAUUUGUUUCCUCUCAAUUUAUCUGCAUGUUUUAUCGGUGGUUGAAAAUUUGUUUAAUUUUUUCCCCUUUUGGUUCUUUGAAAAAUUUUGUUUUAUUUGUACGUUGCAAACUGUUUUCUGUUUUUCUAUUAGACUGGUCGUUUCGAUAAUGUCGCAUUGGAUUGGGUCUCAUGAUUCCGCACUUUCCCAAAUGAGGUUGAUGAUUAGAUACCCCACAUUAAUUUCUGAUUUUUUGAACACUUUUGUUAUUUCACCGGAAACUUUGAUAGGCGGUGUAGUUUAUCUUAUGUUAGCGUUCAUGCUUGUGACUUCACCAAACUGUUUAUUACUAGAUUGAUCUUUUAAGUAACAAUUAUAUACCUCCAAGCAUGUCACAUCACUAAAUGCGCUGCGUCCUUUUUUUUCAGCUCUUUUUGGUUUCCCUGUCCAUUCACUAGCCCACUAAAAUCACUUUAUGCCUGAAAGUUUUUGGAGGCCCCCACUCUACACUUAUAAAACUUAGGUUUCGUUUGGCUCGGAUAUAAGUAACAACUAGUUUAUAUCAGAAAUAGAUACAAAUUUAGAUAUAAGUGAGAACUAAAUCAAUUUUGUAUUUGGAUUAAAAUUUAGUUGUUUUCAGAAAUAAGAAAAAUAGCGUUUAGAUAAAUAAGAUGGAAUAAGAAAAACAGUUGAAAGUUAUAAAUAGAAAAUAAUUGUAUUACCCCUCUUAUUAUAUUUGAAUUUAAAAUUUUAAAUUCAAAAUUUUAAAUUUUAAAUUUUAAAUUUUUACUUUUAAAAUUUAAAAUUUGAAAUUAAAAUUUAAAAUUUUAAUUUUUUCAAAAUUUNACCUCUCUAAAAUAACAAGAGGUGUGUUAAAUCUUAAUUUAUUUUAAAAAGAAUAUAGCUCGAUCGAAUCAGACAUUGUAUGUGUCCAGUACAUUUGUACAUUCGCACAUCACACAUUUAUAUAUUAUCGCGUUAUGAAAUCUAGUACUUCUGAUUUUAUUGUCCGGUGGACGAAAAAUUUUAAAAUUUAGCAAUCACACGAACGACAUACGUUUCUAACCAAUAAAAUUAUUUUUCUAAAAUUCAAUAAUACCAGCAUAAUUUAAAAAAAUUAUAUUUUUUUUAUAAAUAUAAAUAAUUAGAUAUGAAUGAUAUGAAGUGAUUGUCAUAUACUAAAUGUCCUUCUUGUGGACAGUAACAAUCGAUUGUGACUGUGCCGUGUACAAAUUUAUAGAUGCGCCUCGUACAAGAAAUAAUUUCUCAAGGACUAUUAUACAUCAACCUUUUCCAAGGAGAUCAUGGAAAUAUUGAAAAGGAGAUAUGUAAGUCGAAGCUUUUCACUGCAUGAAAAAUAGGAUUAUAUAUAUUUUUAUUUUCUUUCUUUCUCUUUCUUUACUUGUGGUUCCUGUGAGCAGAGCAUUGUUCUCACCUCAUGGGUUGGAUUCUUUUGUUCCAAGUCAUAUUGGGAUUUUUUGGUAUGGGUGUGAACUGUUGUUCUGAUCUAUCACUACAACAAAAACGGUCUAUAGCGACACUUUUAAAUGUAGGUACAUGUCAAAAAAGUGCUGCUAGCUAAAAUUACCGACACUUUUAAAAAGUGUUGUUAUAUGUGGGGUUGCUAGGUAUAUAGUGACAGUUAAAGAGUGUCGCUAUAACCUAAAAGAGCGCUGCUAAUUUACCAACACUUAUUUAAGCAUUUAGCAACCGCCGAAACUCUAUCUCGUUGGCUGCGGUGGCGGAGGAGGACGACAGGAAAGGCUCUUCGUCUAGAAUUUCAGUGGAUUGAGUGAAGAGAGAAGAAAAGAUGGUAAUUAAUUUUUCUUCUUUUUUUUUUUUCUUUUCUGUUUGUAAUUGGGCCAAAUGGACUGGGUGUGGUGAGUUGAGUAGAGUAAUCUUUUAUUUUUGGUUGGAUUGGGCUUUAUAUUUAGGCAUUACUAGAUGUUUUUUUAAGUUUUAGGAUAAAUGAGACACUUACUCAAAAGUGUUCCAAACAUGUGUCCCUAUAAUCUAAUUCUGUUGUAGUGCCACCCAUUUUUUUGUUUGGGUACAAGAGGAGGGAUAAGCCCCUUAUCCCCUCUCUUAUACCCAAUCCAAACGGCAACUUAGGGCCUGUUUGACCUAGCUUCUGUAAAAAUAAUUUCUGCAGAAGUGAUUUUAAUUUGGAGAAUUGAUUUUGGUGAAAAGCUGUAGAGCAUUUGGCUGAGUUUAGAUAAAAGUGAUUUUUCUAAAAUGAUUUUCUAAAACAGUUUGGCAAAAAAAUUUUGAUGCUUGUAUAUAUUAAUAUUUUUAUUAAAUUUUAUUUUNUAAAUUUUGAAUUUUAAAUUUAAAAUCUAAAUUUAAAAUUUUAAUUUUAAAAUUUAAGAUUUGAAAUUUAAAAUUCAAAAUUUAAAAUUCAAAAUUUAAUUUCAAAAUUCAAAUUUUAAAUUUAAAAUUUAAAAUUUGAAAAUUAAAAUUUAAACUUUUAAAAGUUGAGAUUUAAAAAUUCAAAUAUGAAUUUAAAAUUUCAAAAUUUAAAUUUAAUGUUAAAUUUAUACUUUGAAUCUAAAGUAAACAUAAAAAUUUGAUGUUUGAGUACAAAAUAAGAAUCAGUUUUGGAGAAGCAAAUUUUUUUCUACUUCUGAUUCUGAAGACGUCAAAAUCAGUUUUCUGAUUUUGAAAAAUAAAAUCAAAAUUUUCAUUUGCCAUUCUCAAACGCUCUACUGAGAUCAGAAGUGAUUUUGGGCUCAGAAUCACUUAUAAGAAGUUAGGCCAAACAUCCCCUUAGUCUUGUGUCACUACUGCUUCCUAGUUCUUUAAUCUCCUUGCCUAAUUGCUGAUUUCAAUUAAUACAGAUGAUCUACUUUUUAUGCAGACUUGGCUUAGUCCAACUAUAAAUGUCUUUAUCUACCGCGAACUGCUAAAUAAAAAAGUUACCAUAUCUAGAUCUAUAUCGCCCUAUUUGUGUCUGCUUAUGAGUAGCCUAAAUAUACAUGCACCGAAUCCACUAAGUUCAUUUCAUUUCUUUCUUUUUAGUGGAACUGUUUUAAUAAGAUUUAAUGGGGUUUUUGGAUGAUUAUAAAUUUUACACUACAAUAAAAACGGUCUAUAGCGAUACUUUUAAAUAUAGGUAUAUGUCAAAAAGUACUGCUUGCUAAAAUUAUCGACACUUUUAAAAAGUGUUGCUAUAUGUGGGGUCGCCAGGUAUAUAGUGACAGUUAAAGAGUGUCGCUAUAACUCUAAAAGAGUGCAGCUAAUUUACCAACACUUAUUUAAGCAUUUAGCAACCGCCGAAACUCUAUCUCGUUGACUGUGGUGGCGGAGGAGGACGACAGGAAAGACUCUUCGUCUAGAAUUUCAGUGGAUUGAGUGAAGAGAGAAGAAAAGAUGGUAAUUAAUUUUUCUUUUUUUUUUUCUUUUCUGUUUGUAAUCGGGCCAAAUGGACUGGGUGUGGUGGGUUGAGUAGAAUAAUUUUUUAUUUUUGGUUGGAUUGAGCUUUAUAUUUAGGCAUUAGUAGAUGUUUUUUUUAAGUUUUAUAAUAAAUGAGAUUCUUACUCAAAAGUGUCCCAAACAUGUGUCCCUAUAACUUAAUUCUGUUGUAGUGUUAUAGAUUAAGACUUGGGUAUAAGAAAACAUUGUAUUGCGGGGGAUGGAGGAUGUGGUCUUGUUACUUUCAUUUCCUACGCGAAUUUUAUCCUGUCGGUGAGAAAGCAACUAGCAAUAUUGUUAUAGUGAGACUUAUAUGAGGGAAAGGGAGUUUACAUCUUCUCAACUGAACAUUUACAAUAUGAGAGGUUCGUUUUCUCCAGCUGUUGCCUUAGUUGAAGAUGUGGUUUAUUAAUUUAUUUUCUUCUGUUGGAAACGACCAGUUGAAUCCCCGAAAUAUUUAUUAAAUGGAAUAGAACUUAAAUUAAAGUAGGAGGAGAUGAGGUAAACAUGAACAUAUAUAGCAGUAUUACGUCUAGCUUCAUUCAAGUUGGGUUGCAUGAUCUUGUUUUGAUGCUUUCAACAUAGUUGACUUUUGUAAAGAUCAUUGCUCAGUCCUUAUAAAAGAAUUUGGUUUGGAAACUAGAGUUGUUCUCCCAUCACUCUCUUCUUAUCUUAGACAUCUCUUUUUUUUUAUAUUUUUUUCUUUUUUUCUUUUGGAUUGUUCAUGCUCUCUAAAGAUUUUAAUCCUUCCCAGUUGAAUGACUAACAUAUAUUUAUAUGGAUUUUACAAUGGUAAACAAUUAGUUCUCGCAUCCUAGUAAAAGCUAUGUAGCGAUGGAUUUUAGCUGGGAUGAGUAAAUUUUCGCAUGAUACGAACAAGAAGCUAAAGUUAAUUGAACAAACUUGAUUAUUGACAACGUUGCUUGAAUUUUAAAUUGUAAAUUGAGGUCAUGUUAUGAUUGAAAUAAAUGCUAUGGAUUUGCACAUUCAAGCAGAAACAGUUUCAAACCGUAGGUUCAAAUAUCCUCAUCUUUUGGUUUAGUUUACUUAAUUGUUUUGAUAAAAUUUUACAUCAAUUUCAUCACUCUCCAGGGUGUGAUACACAUAAGACCUUGCGGAGUUGCAUAUUGGCUCAUCACUCUAUCCCAGAUACCCUUGGCCCUGGUUUUCACGGCCUACAUCUUGUACAAAAAGAAAAAACCACAACUCCAAAAUCACGAGCAUGCCGAUGAAAAGGUUUGAUGCAUUUGAACUACUACAUGUAUACCUGUGUACGAUCUGACUUUUUACAUACACGCCUCAAAACUGCAUGCAGUUUAUUUGAAAAGUACCAUGCAUAUUCUCAAGUUCGGGAAUCAUCCCAUCCAUGCAUGGGGUAAAGUUGGUUGGUUUCAUAAUUAAUUGUUAAUAAGAGGAAUAUAUAGAGUUGAUCGAUUUGGUGUGCAUUUGGAAGCAUGCAUGCAUGGAGGCUUUGUUUUCAAUGAUAUGAUACUUGAAUCAAGAUGCAAUAUUAAAAUGUUUUAAUAGGUUUUCACCAUCUUAUGUUUGGUUACAUUUAUAGGGACGUAAAGAAAAGGCCAGUAUCGAAGCGUUGCCUGUGUUUGUUUUUCCCUCCGCUGCUCUCUUAACAGGGGUUUUGAGCGGCCUUUUCGGCAUUGGUGGAGGAUUGCUUCUUAACCCUGUUCUUCUUCAGAUCGGUGUACCUCCCCAGGUAAGUUAUCUUGAUAUACCAAGUGCCCUCUUUGGCCUCUCUUUUGCUACUGCUGCCGUAUUUUGAGAAGUUGCAGCCUGAAGGCCGGCGAAUGAAAUUUCUUGACCUUUUGAUAUGGUGCAAGAAAUUGAAAGCUUUUGGGCCACUAUAGCAGAAAAUCCAAUUUGAGACAUUUUCUACAAUAUUAGGAAGUCCUUUUAAGGGUUUCACUGAAGCUAGAGUUCAAAUAACUUUAUUCAAAUUCUAAACUCAAUUUAUGCAGAAGUUCCGAUCAGUCCAAACAUGCCCGAAAACAUGAGAGCUCUAUAAUCGAGAGAAUGACAUAUAACGAUCCGACCCGCUAGCAUAAAUAACUUUAUCGGUCCAAAAUUUUUAAGUCCAGUUAUUAUUAAUAGGGUUCUUGAUUCUUAUAUAUCUAUACAGGACUAUUAUAAUCCCUGAUCCUUAUAUACCCAACCAUACUAUUGGGGCUAUUGGAGCAUUACAGAUAUCCCUCAUUUCGACUCUAACAUUCUCGUCAAGUUCAAGCCCGAUCACACAUAUAAACCAUCUAGAGGUGGCUCCCAUUAGACCCUGAUGUUCUCGUGAGGUCCAAGCCCAAUAAGGCAUGUAGACUAGCUCCAAGCCCAAUCAGGCAUAUAGACUACUUAGAGGUGGCUUUUGUCCUGCAUAAUAACUCGUUGGAUUUAUUUCACUGGUCCAAAAUACUUGGACUUAAUUGCUAUUAACACUAUGGUCCUUAAUUCUUAUAUACCCAAUCACAAUCACUUUCUAAUUCGAUGUGGGCCAUUCGGACAUUACAGAAUAUCGUUUACAGCUCUCCAAGUACUUUAUAUAAUGGUAAUAUUCCUUGCACUUGAUUUUGAACUUUAUAGACGGCGGCAUCCACGUCUACGUUCAUGGUUCUUUUCUCUGCUUCGAUGUCGAUGGUUCAGUACAUAAUCCUCGGCAUGGACGGGAUCAAUCAAGCUUUAAUUUAUGCCGCUAUCUGCUUGGUGGCGUCGGUCUUCGGAUUAGUCAUCAUGGAAAGAGCCAUCAGGCAAUCGGGUAGAGUUUCUCUCAUCGUGUUUUUAGUCGGCGGUGUUAUGGCACUCAGCACGCUUAUAAUCUCAAGCUUCGGAGCCGUCGAUGUUUGGAAAGAGUACACAAGUGGAGAGUACAUGGGAUUCAAACUACUUUGUUAAGGGUUUCGCAGAAUCGGCUUAUUCAUUUAUCAAGCGCAUCGGUAAAUAAUAAUUUUGGUAAUCCAUAUAUUUUUUCUCCAGUUUUGUGUACAAGCCUACAAGAUACUUAAGAAGUGUUCAUGCUGUAAUAAUCCUUUAUAGGAGUUUGGGCGUAAACUGUUUUUGGCAGGAGAAUGAUUUUGCUUUUUGUGUCUUUUGUUGUUACAAAACAUUGUGGUGCACUAGUGAAUGUGAUCCGCAUAAUGCGGUGGAUGUACACUCAAAACUAUAAUUGAAGGUUUUGUAAUAAAAUAAUUGGUUGACAUCUAUAUAACUCUUGAAUCGAGAGUUUGUACGGCGCGUUCCCCGCGUUUUGCGGGGGCCUCGCGAGAGAGAGAGAGAGAGAGAGAGAGAGAGAGCAGACAGAGAGAGAGGGAGCCCCGCCCGCUCUGCGCGCGCGGGGGGUGCGGGCCUCUCUCACUCUCUCUUCCCCUCUCUCCCUAGCCCCCCCCCUCUCUCACUCUCUCUUCCCCUCUCUCCCUAGCCCACUCCACAUCCCUCUCCCCAACCCUCUUCUCUCUCUCUCUCUCUCUCUCUCUCUCUCUCUCUCUGCGANGCUAGUAUCCACUAGAUUAAUAAACAAUAAACAUGCAAGAAUAAUGUUACUUUACAUCUGGCAAUAUACACAUAGGCAUAAGCAUGUCGUCAUUCUCUAUGUUAGAGUCAAGAAUGUGUCAUAAGGAUGUCACGUUUUUCUAUUUUCUAGAAACAUGAUAACUUGUCCAUUAAUCACUCACCCUAAUUACACAUGUAUAUAAAGACUUAUGUGUAUAAGUGUUCUCUAUUUCAUAGAGAUAUCAAUUCAAUUAUAUAGAUCAACACUAUACUCCAGUGACUCAUCUCAAGUUCUAUAACACUCACGGAAUCAUACAACGGUAUUAAGUCUAUAGCACAUAUAGAACAUAGGGAAGCUCCACUUGUUCUGGUUAGGUCAAACCCACCUCAUACUAAGCUCAACUCAGUCACAAAAUGUCCCAAUAAUCAGUCCAACGAGGUCCCAAUCCUGCUGAAAACAAGGUAACAAAACCGCGCCGAGCCGAUUACUUACAAUUCCAAUUUCGGCAAAAUUCUUAAUAGAUACAAAGUGGAAGCUUGAUUCCUUGUUUUAGUUCAGUUCAUUACCUCAAGUUGAGUCUUCAAGAGUUCUCACAAGUCAGCUAAAGUCACUCCAAGAGUCGAUCGCACUCUCGCUGCGGACAACGUCGAAACGGCAUCAAAAUCGCUAGAUACUAGUAGAUAUAGUCGGAAUCUUGUAAAUUCAGUUUUCUCACAGAAAUUUCAGCUUACCCUCAGUUGGAACACCUUCCAAACUAGUCUCCCGGGUCACCAACUCAGCCCCAGGUAGUUCGAAAACCUGCUGUGAAGGAACAAAUCCAAACUGCAUCAAUUCGCUCUAUUAAUCCGCAUAUAGCUUCAAAUUAGAGUUAUAACUCACUAUUUAUCUUCAUCAAGUUUUAAAACAGCUUUUCUCUGAGCUAAAAGUAGGUAAUUUACAAUCAAAAUAACCUCUCAUUACUGCUGUAAACAACUUCUAACUUAGUUGGAAGCAACAAAACUAAAAGACGUCCAAAUUCAAUACUAAACCGUAAACUAGAGAGAAAUCGAGUCGAUUACCUCUCUAGAGCUGGGAUUUAGCUUCCCCUGGUAGUAAUCUUACAGCAACACAGCAAAACUUCUUCUCCCCACGUACCAACAACUUCCCUUGAGCCCUCCAAUCAGCGAGCAACGAGCGUGACGCGGAACUGGCGCAAAACGGCGACUUUUAUGUCGAGGGAGAAAAUUCUAGAGAGAGAAAGAAGUGGUGAACUAAAAACCCUAUUUCCCUUAAGCUUACAGGUGAUAAGCAUCCUCAGGGUCGAGCUGGGAGAGAUAAGGAUGGGUAAAUGAAGUGAAAUGACCAAAAUAUCCAUACUGCCACGCAGCUGCAGCUGCUGCUGCUUGCUGUACCGGUACAGCAUUAGGCUUGUACCGGUACACCAAUGCAAAAAUUACAGAUUUCGCAAUUGCAACGCACUUUCUCACUUCUAGCUUUCCAAUCACUUUCAAACUUAUUUGUAAACAUCUUUAAACCCUUUAAAACAUGUAGGAAGGUUCCGAACCUCAUUCCUCUUACUCGAACUUCCCCAUUUGCUAAAGUCUAGUGUACUACACUACACUCCAAACUAAACUCAUCAGGUAUCAAACUGUAACCACCGAGAUGCAACAGCUACUUUUCUGUUACCAUCUAAGUUCAUGAAUUGCUUAGAUCAAUAGUUGGUUUUCGUCAAUUUGUUAAUAGGAAAUAGAAGUUAUCCAUGAAUGUGUAAUUGACAUUACUAUUCAAAAAAUUCUAAAAAAACUUAAAAAAUCAUUGCAAAUAUUGAAGGCAAUUUAGAGGUUUUCAAGACAAGGCAAAGGGACCGAAUUUCUAAAGCUUGCAAAUAACUUCGAAAUUAACCAGAUAACUCCAAACAAACCUUAUUUUAAGCAGUUUCAAUCUAACGCGUACAUCUAAUAAUUCUUCUAAUAGAAUACUGAAUAAUACAAUUAAUAAACAGAAUGUUCCAACUUUCUACAGCUAUUAAAAUCAUGUAUAUGGUGCAAAGGCAACUCUGUAUAAUUGCAAGUACUACAAAUUGCCCUUUCCCGAUCAUUUAGGUUUCCAACUAUAAAGGCAACUCUGUAUAAAGGCAAAACUGUUUAUCGAAAUGAUCAUAUGAUCUUUACUUAAUCUCCCUUUUAGUAAACUUCUAGUUCUACAAGUUUCAGUCAAUUACCGUAACUCAAAAACUUACAGAAAUAAAAUGCAAACCUUGCAAUGACUUUUAAACUUCUUAGCAAGGUUGUCUAGGAGCUAGUUGAGGCCCUCUCCCCUCUUUGUGAACAUACAACCAGUUAAAAUAGAGAUUUAGAUAGUCGAUAAAUAAAACUUAAAUUCAAUUGACUAAUAUAAGCAAUAGUGUAUGUAUACUGAUAGGAUAGCCAUCUGAUGUUGAUGAUGCAGAAUGCACAUUCUGCAGUCCAGGAAUAUGCGCCAUGAUCAUUUGCAACUGAGCUUGAAAUUCUGCACAAAUUUCUGAACGCAUUUCUGAGCGUAUCCGCCGCUCCCUCUCCUCUGCCUCUAAUCGUAAGCGACAUUCCCGCUCCUCUGCCUCGAUCCUAAAACGACGCUCUCGCUCCUCGGCCUCAAGCCUUAAGCGAUGUUCGCGCUCCUCUGCUUCAAGCCUUAAACGUUGCUCUCGAUUCUCCGCCUCUUGUUGUUGACGCUCUAAUGCACCCCUCAAAUCCUCAACCUCUCGCUGAUAAGCCUCUCUAAAUUCUGCACCUCUACGCGAAAUAGGACGAGGUCCACACCCUAAUCCCCGAAUAUACCCUGAACGUGUCCCACAAGCUUUAGACAUUUGCUCCUCAGGGGUUAGUAGAGGUCCCCCGCUUUGCAACUGCUCCUUUUCAAUAUCCUCAAGCGUCUCCUACAUUAAUUAUAAUGUAUUUAGUAUCAAGAUAAAUAUAAGCUAGAUAAGCAAGUAAUAACAUUAGUAUAAUCACCAUAACAUCCUUUGAUCGACCAUCCAUCCAAUCUCCAUUAUGUCGUAAAUGCGUCGCUUUCCAAUAGUCUGUCAUUUUUGGCUCCGCUUGAGUCACGGGAUCCCUCUAUCAAAAAGUAUAUGAUUAGUAAAAAAAAAACAUAAUGAAUUAGAUAAAUAAAAUGAUUAAUAAAAGCAACAAAUCAUACCAUAUUAUAUCUAAUCCUAACAAAUGAUGUUCUACCCUUGAUAGUAGAAAUUCCUUGCUUGGCCCGAUUGUUUUUAUUACGAGCUGAUAGAUACUACAAAAGAAGCAUACACCAGUCAAAAGUAUAAUAUAAUUGCAAAAAAUUUACUUAUUAUAUUGAAAUUUUGAGAUCUACCUUAAACUCCUCCGAACCGAAAUAUUUGACCAAAUAUCUCCAAUCAUUAUCUGUGACAUUUUCUGGAACCUUAGUUAGCCUUUCCUCGUCACUAUUAAAACGUAAAUAAUAUCGAUGCAGACGAUGUCGCCAUUCUCUGUACAUCUUCUUGAGGUGGUCUAACACAUUCGCUUUUUCUCCUUGUAUGCCAUCAAACUUUCCCUGUUUCACAUUUUGAUGUUAUAUAAAGUUAGAAUUUGUAUAAUAAAAACUUGAAUAAGACACAACUAGUAUUAACUUGUGAUAGUGUUACAUACAAGUAAAUCAUCAAACAUCUUUUGCUUUAUAUGAUUUGGCACUUCCUUCCAUCUUUUAUUUGACAAUACUGUGUACUGCCGAAGAACCACUCCCAUUUCAGUUAUAAAAGGUACAACAUCACCUGCCACUGCUCUUCUUAAGUCACUAUCGAUCGUUACUGCACUCUUUUCUCCCGUCUUAAACUUUUUAAACCACUUAACAUUUUUAGUCACCCCCCGACCCUUCUUCCUCACUAUAGUAGAAUCUACAAAAAUUUAAUGAAGAAUAUAAACAAAUAAGUCACUUAUGAUUGUAGCUUAGCAAACAAGCACUCAUCUGACUCUCUUAUUUUGUAUCUCAUUGGAAUUGAUGAUUGGAAAUCAAAUGACAAUGAACAAUGAAAGCAUUAUUCCCAUCAUUUAAUAAGUUUAUUCUUGUUGGUCUAAUUUACUACUCUUCUGCUAACAAUAGUCCUAUGUAAUAAUCUACAAUGAGAUGUUAUUAGCUGAUCUUCUAUCAGAACUUACAUGUACAAUUGUUUUGGUAGACCCAACAAUAAAGUUGGCUCGAUGAUGUUUAUAAAUGGUUAUAUGGCAUUUUUACACAAAAUAUAUCCAAAAAGUGAGCAAUUUGCAGUUAGAGCUCAUAGUCAAUGUGGGCAUUGCAUUUUAGAUGUUUUAAGUAGUUCAUCAUUAUCUUUGGAAAUCUUGUAGAUAUUAGGAUGCAUCAGGAGAGCAUAAAAUUUUCACGAGUUAUUUGACACCAGAUUUUUUUUAUUCUUUCCCUUGGUGUAUAUUUAUCAUUCAAUCAUUUUACAUGGAAGGCAAAAAUUUAUUUAGCUUACUUGAACAUUAGUGCAUUUUGAAAUAUCUACCUAAACUGAAAAAAGGAUUGUUUUUACUGCCUAACUUUAGAAAGUUCAUAGUAUUUUUAAUCCUUUGCACGAAAUAAUCUGCAAUUAGUGGAAUAAUAUUCUAUUACUUAAUGGAGCUUCCAAUAACUUUUCUGACAAAUUGGUUUUUCUAUAAUUGUCAUUGAGUUAUUGACAGAAUUUUCUCAAAUCAGAAGUAGUGAAGAAUUAGACAACUAAAUCAGAAAGUAAAAAGUUCAGGUAUUUACAUCAAAAUGCGGUGUACAUCAAAAUGCGGUGUAGUGUUGGUACUGUCACUUUGUGGAGUUUGCUUAAACAAAUGAGUAUAAUUAGUUGAACUUUGAGAAUCAGAAUAGCAGUAUCUGACUUAAGCCUAUCGUCUCAAUCGAAUAGAAAACAAUGACUGUUGUUAUUGCCUUAAUGUGCUUUUAUACAACAUUCUAGAUCAUGAUAUUUGAUUGUUAGGUCCAUCUAGUUAAGCUUUUUUGAGAUUACUGGAACUAUCAUGGAAGCAUUACGAGUUGCAACAACACAAAGCCCAUCUAGUUAUGCUUUUUUCCAUAGCUAACAAACUGUCACUAAUAUUUUUCGAUAGCUGACAAACAAAAUAAAAUAAUACACCUAACAAAAUGCGAUUAUCUUACCUGCUAUAUCAGGAGGGGAUGAAGGUAAAUCAGACCCAAUUGAAGACGGCCCAACAUGACUUGGUGUUGUCGUUGCCCAUGACGAAGAGGCGCUUGAACCCACCGUAGUACGUAAUGUUGAAGCUCUCACCAUCACCUUGAAGAAAUAAAAAUACAAUAUAUUAUUCCAACCAUAAUAGAGAUUUCUGUAUAUUAGAUGAACUUGGAAGUCAUAAAAAUGAUACUAUAAAGUAGGACAGGCAUGAAAAUACAAAAGAAACUGUAAAUGUGUUUCCCAAAAAAUACAUAAAAGAUCCACGUGUUUAGAAGUUACCAAGGAUAAUGGCCGUAAACCAAAAACAUAAUUGAAAUGACCUACAAGAUCCAAAAGGACUAUACAAAUAUUUGAUCUGUUUUUAGAUAUUCUCUUUCUCAUGCACACAAAUAUCACAAUGAAGCAAGUCUUAUCAGUACAAGUUAUGAAAUGGAAGUAAGGCCCUAGCAGCAGCUAAAAGGCUUUGAAUGUUUCUCUAGCUCAUCAAGCGUCAACGUGUGCAUCCUUGAAGGAAGUUUAUGAGCAGAACAUCAUUAAAUUCAAGAUGCUCACAUUAUGAGACAUGGCCUGUUCUCAGAUAAAAUAAAAAAAGUAAAUUAAAGGACACAGAAAUUCUCCUAUUCAUACAUAAAGUAAUGUACCUUGUGCUUCUGUUCAUACAGAGCAAAAUUAAAAGAAGGAGAAAAAAAGGAAAGAGAUAUGGCCUUAUUCCAUAUGUUUCAACCAUACUAAGUAAUCCAACAUUAGUAGAAAAAAAGGAAAGAGAUAUGGCCUUAUUCCAUAUGUUUCAACCAUACUAAGCAAUCCAACAUUAGUAGAUUAAAAUUUCACUGAAACUGAUUUUGUUUCAGAAUACAACACUGAACAGACCAAAACAUCAGUUACUAAAUUUUUCUAUGGCUCGGCUUCGAAGUUAUAACAUAGAACAUGGAAGAGAACAAGACAUAAUAAUUGACCAGCAUAACCACAUAAAAAACUUGUUCAGUCUUUGACCCAAUAAUUGACCAAAGUGCAUUGUACCAUUCAACACCACAUACCAAAGCUACAAAAUGUUUAACUCAUUAAAAGUUAAGAUAAAUAUGAUCCAAUAGUCAACACAGCCUGAGCUUAGUUUGGCACAUAGGUGACCAAAAAUGGUGUGUUCUCCAAAUACACCAUUUUUGGUGAAACAAUCCAACACACGAAAACAAAGAACCUGAUUCCUCUAGAGCACUUUCAGCCUGCACCUCAUAGGGCAAACAUUCCUCUCAAGCAUUACCGAAACAACACAUGCAAUACCCAUUCGAAAGAAGCUAAAAUCAUGCACCUAUUUGAAAGAAAACGCAAACCAGUUAAACAAAUGCCAUAUAACGAGGUAUUAGAAGUAGGCUAGAAUAUUAGCUUUAAUAAAUGCAAUUCUAAGAAGACAAAGAGACAAGCUUGCAAACCUGAAAUUAAUUAAUAUUAGCUUAUUCAUCUGAACUAUCAUUGAUAUUAAGCAAAUCAAUAUUCAACUCAUCAGCAUCUAUAGUAAUCCCUUCUGUAUCAUUUCGUAUUAACUCAAACCCAUCAUCUUCAUCCUCAAUGUUCAUGUAUCCACAAGAAUUUCCAAUUAUCUCAGCUUCUUGGAUGAUCUCCUCCAUUAUUGAAGAACUUUGAACACCAACUUCGUUACUCUCCAUCGUUGGAAUGUCAUACAAAUCACGCGGUCUUGUCUUAAUUACAAAAUGCCACUUUGGAUCGUUAAUAUCUUCCACGUAGUAAACUUGUUGCGCUUGCGAUGCCAACACAUACGGAUCAAUUGCAUUGGUAGGUAGUUGACGGUCAGUGUUCACGGCGAAAAAACCAUCAUUAUCUUCUCUAUAGCCUCGACCAACUGUGCAUACAUCCCACCAAUGGCAUUUGAAAAGAAACACUUUAUUCGAUCCUUGAUAUUGCAGUUCGAUUAUAUCUAAAAGCUGCCCAAAAUAGUCUCUACUACAGUAGCCAUCAUCCCCCUGUACCCAUACUCCACUAUUCUGACUCUUCAAUGUUUCUUCACGCUCUUUUGUAUGAAAUCUGAAGCCAUUAAUUAAAUAUCCAGAAUAACAAAAUACUCGUCUAUCUGGUCCUCGCGCCAAUUGUAGAAGUUCCGUUGAGACUCUGCCAUCUUUGUUAUUGUACAUUAUCGUUAUUGUAUCUUCAAACCAAUCACUAAAUUGCUCUUCAUGCCUUUUAUCAAUAUUUCUAUCAUCAUAACCUUCGACCAAUUCUCUAUGUUCCCUGUUUACAUUUAAAUUUAAGUAGGUAAAGAAAAAAAAUAAUAUUAAGAAAAAUAAUUUCAUAUAAAUUUAUGCCAUAAGGAAAUACAAAAUACCUUAUAAAUGGUAUGACUUCCGGACAAUUUUUAAGAACAUACAUGUGUGCCCGUCUAAGAUCACUUAUGUCCAUCAGCUCCCGCUUAUAUUCACCUAAUGAGGAGCCCUUUUGGCUAAAAACUGAUAAGGUCGAUCUAUCAUAUAUUGAUUCACCCUCGUAAUUUCUUCCAACUCGAUUUAACCGUGUCUCUGCUCCUUUUAAGUAUCUAGAACAAAACGUGAGGCAUUCUUGAGCUAUUACUCCUUCGGCUAUUGAUCCCUCAGGACGAGCUUUAUUACGGACAUACGAUUUUAACCUUCGAAAAUCCCUGUUAAAGAUAGUUUCAUUUAUUAAAAAUUUAACUUGUCAUACUACAAACAAAUUUUAGAGAAACUUAAUUUACCUUUCAAAUUUAUACAUCCAUCGAUAUUGCACGGGACCCGCAAUCUUUGCCUCACUAGCUAGGUGAAUGGCCAAAUGAACCAUUAUGUCAAAAAAUGCGGGAGGAAAUAUUUUUUCCAAUUUACAUAAUGUAAUAGCCACUGAGCGCUCAAGUCUCUCCAAAUCAUCCAUCUUCAAUGACUUCGAGCACAAUUCGCGAAAGAAAGCACUAAAUUCAACUAAAGCAUUAGAUACAUCCUUUUUUAACAAUCCGCGAAUGCCCAAUGGGAGGUGGCGAUGCAAAAGACAAUGAUAAUCAUGAGUCUUCAUAUUUUGGAGUUUGCCAUCACUCAUGUUGACACAUUUAGAAAUAUUUGAAGAAAAUCCAUCAGGAAGCUUCAAAUUUUUCAAAAAGUUACAGAAACUUAGCCUUUCAACUUUUGACAUAGUGUAACAUGCGGCCGGAAUCUUGUACUUGGACACAAUUCCAGUAUCACUUGCUUUAAUCGGUAUUGGAUAUAGUUCUUUUCUUAUGCCCAUCUCCAUCAAGUCCAUACGGGCAUUCAAGUUAUCUUUACUCUUUCCAUCAUUAUCCAUCAAUGUACUAAUUAUAUUAUCUCCCAAAUUUUUUUCGAUAUGCAUGACAUCCAAGUUGUGACGAAUUAAUAAGGUAUGCCAAUAUGGCAAAUCGAAGAAAAUACUAUGCUUCCUCCAAUUCAAAUAGCAUUCAUUAUUUCGACCACGCCUUCUCUUUUUAUUUCCUUUCCCAAAUGUUACCUGCUUAAAUUGAUUCAAUUGCUCCAAAACUUCAUUACCUGAUAAAACCUUAGGAGCUAGUUGUGUUUCCUUUUCCCCAUUAAAUAAUUUUUUAUCUUCUCGCCAUUUAUGACCAGGUGGCAAAAAGCGACGAUGACCCAUAUAACAAAAUUUCUUUCCAUGCCUUAACCAGGAGGAAGCAGUGUCUUUAUUACAGCAAGGGCAUGCUAGUUUUCCUUUUGUGCUCCACCCUGAUAAAUUGGCAUAUGUUGGAAAGUCACUUAUGGUCCAAAGUAUUGCGGCACGCAUUUUGAAAUUCUCUUUCUUGGAUAAAUCAUAUGUUUCAACCCCCGUCUCCCAUAACUCCGUCAAUUCCUCAAUAAGAGGCGCCAUGUAUACAUCUAUGUCAUUUCCAAGAGCCUUUGGACCAGGAAUAAUUAAAGAUAUCAUAAAAAAAUCACUCUUCAUGCACAUCCAUGGAGGCAAGUUGUACGGAACUAAAACAACGGGCCAAAUGCUAUAACUAGUACUCAUGUUCCCAAAUGGGUUGAAUCCAUCAGUUGCUAAACCCAAUCGAACAUUGCGUGGCUCUUUGGAAAAUUCGGAAUGAUUUAGAUCAAAAGAUUUCCAAGCCAUGGAAUCAGCAGGAUGCCUUAAAAUACCGUCAUUGGGUCUCAAAUCAUUGUGCCAUCUCAUAGCAGUAGCUACUUCAGAAUUCAUGUAUAAUCGUUGCAAUAGAGGAGUUAGAGGAAAAUACCUCAACACCUUAUGCGGAAUCUUCUUCCUCAUCUUCAAUGUUGCAUUUUUCUUUCUCUGGCCUACUCUCCAUCUAGACUCACCACAAGUUGGGCAUUCAGUGGCAUCCUCAAGACUCUUCCGAUAAAGAACACAGUCAUUUUUACACGCAUCAAUCUUAAUAUAUUGAAGACCCAAGUCUUUAAUAAUAUUUUUCAUUUCGUAGUAUGAUUUGGGAAUAUUUGCAUCAGCAGGCAAAAAAUCCUUAAGAAACUCCAACAACAUUGUAACUGAUUUGUCCGUCCAUCCAUUGAGGCAUUUCAAAUUUAGCAAAGUCACCAGAAACUUCAACUUAGAAUAUUUCUUACACCUAGGAUAGGCAUCUUGUUCACAUUCUUCUAAAAGGUGAAAAUAGUUUUGUGCAUCAAUAUUAGAUUGCUCACAUCCUAUGGACUCCUUUCCUGCUUCACUAGUUUCUGCAUGCCCUUUAUGUGCAAACAUGUCCUCCACCAUUCUAUUAAUGUCUUCACGCCCGUCGUCACUUGACAUGUCUUCAUCUACUAGCUCAUUAGAAUCGGAUUCAUCUGAUGAUUCACCAUGAUGAUGCCACGUGGUAUAAGAUUGAGUCAUCCCGUUGAAAAAUAAAUCCGCUUUCACCUCAUCACGUGUCUUAAAUACCACAUUAUUGCAUUUAGUACAAGGGCAACGAAUUCUCCUAACAUCUCCUAGUUGAUUGAAAGCAUAAUCCAAGAAUGCAUCAACACCCAUUUCAUAUUCGAUAAGAGAUCUAUCUUGGAUGAUUAUCCAACUUUUGUCUAUUCCCAUUGUCCUGCUAAGAAUGUAUUAGUCGCACCAUGUACAAAAAGCAUAACUAAUUAACAAAAUUUGUCAAAGCUCUUGCUCUGAUAGAAAACUAAAAUCAACUUGAGUAAUAACCAAAAAAAUAAAAUAAAAACUUGCUUUCUAAGCUCUGCUCAAAUUGUACUUCUAUCCAAUUAGACUACACGGAGGAGGAGGCCACAGGAACAAAGCCAAACGAGGAGGAAGUUACAUACUAGGACCACAUUUCAACUUACAACUAACCUACAAAUAUACAAGUGUAUUGACAAUUUGAUAACAUGAAAGAACAGCUGGUUUCUGAUUUCUAUUUGAUAUCUAGCCAGAUUUGAAACUAACAAUGGUUCCUAAUUUGAUAACUCUUGCCGCUCGGUUGUUGCUACUUCUUCCUUAGUGAGACUAACAAUGGUUUCAUUAGUGCUCCUAACCUUGGUUAUCGUUGUACUUAAAAUUGACUACCUCUCUCCUACUUUGCUGCUUAUUUCAUUUGUUAUCUUGUUUGUAUAUUGUAUCUUGUAUUCUUAUUCUCAGCUGAAAAGCAGUACAAAUUGUUAUUGUUAGUGAGGAAGAUUUUCCCCAUGAAGAUGGCAUCUUAAAUAUUGAAAGAGCUAGUAUUCCUUUCAGUCAAUUUACAAACUUGCUACCUAGUCAUUUUUAUGUACCUGAAAAACAAUAUCCAAAUUCANNNUGCUUUUUAAGACUUUAUAUUAUUUAUUAUAUAUCAUGAUAUUUCAAACAACAAAUUAUGUUAUGAUCUUUUAAAUAUUAUAUAUAUAUAUAUAUAUAUAUAUAUAUAUAUAUAUAUAUAUAUAUAUGGAUUACGUCUCCUAUACUUUCGAAAGUAUGGGACCUUCUGUGCUUGUAAGUUAUUUUUUAUAAUGGAGCAUCCGAUUCGGCGAUCGGCCCCAUUAGGCAUGAUCUACGCUAUUAUAACUAUUUAGAAACCAAAUUUUAUAAUUUUUUGACAUCAUUAACCAAGUGAUCAAAGAGUCUCAAAAAUGACUAUUUUAACGGCCGAUGUGGUGCGUUCUGAAGUUUAACGGUGUAGAAGAAUCCAAAUUACAUGAAACUUUAAUAGAAAAUUUUACGUAAUAUCAAGAGUAAGAACAAUACUUCCGAUUUGAAAUUUGAGUCUUUUAACAUUAUUUUUUGUGAGAUUUUUAUUUUCAACCGUUCAUUUUGAGCUUACUCGUUCACUAGGCAAAUGAAGGUAAAAAAUUAUGAAAUUUGAUUUCUAAAUAGUUCUAAUAGUGUAGACCAUAUCUAAUGGAGCCGAUCGCCGAAUCGGAUGCUUCAUCAUCGAAAACAACUUACAAGCACGGAGACCUCCGUACUUUCGAAAGCAUAGGAGCCUAGCUCUAUAUAUGUGAUAUACUAUCUUAUACUAACUUUGAAUAGUCCAUCUUAAAUACUUUGAUGAAAAAUUAUGGGUUUUUCCUCAGCGAUAUUACAUAAACAACAUUUUAUCAAAUGUCGCAAAAUGAUAUUAUGAGGAAGUAUUGUGUAUUGUAAACAAAAAUAACUAUAGUAAAUUCAUCAUACUUGCAGUAGUUUUUUUUUGAGAAAUAGAUAGCAAGCUACCUGCUUCAUUCAUUAAGCAAAAUGAACUAGGCAUACAAAGUGGAAGCAGCUUCGGCCUCCGAAAAUAGGGAAAAAAAUAGUAAGAAGAAGCGAAAAAUAGAAGAAUGGGGAGGAGGAAGGAAGUAGACAAAGGAGAGAAGUAAGAUGCAGGUAGCUAAAGACAGAUCAUAGUAGCUCGUUCCAAGCCUUCGUUAAAAGAUUAACACGAGCCAGAGACCGGGUAGCGUCUGGGGGUGAUACCCGGAAAAUGGAAUUGUUUCUAUCCGUCCAGACGACCCACCAAAUUGUCGACAAAAGGGUUAAGCCAUUUGUUCUCGUCGUGGCAUCAGGGGUGUCAAUUAUUUUCAACCAUAGACCUCAUAGAUCACCCAGGAUGUCAGCUUGUACGUCUAAUCCCUCCGUGCUGAGGAGUAGGUAACGAACAAAAACACAAUUACAGAUUAGGUGGUCGCAGCUUUCCGUUACUAAAGCGCAGAAAACACAGUGUUGCUUCACGAACAAACCUCCCUUGAGUAGUCUGUCGGCUGUGAGUAGUCUCUUUCGAAGUAACAGCCAGAUGAAGAUUUUGAUUUUGAGUGGGAUCUUCAGACUCCAGAUGUGCCGAUUUAUCAAGUCUCUCUGUCCCCCGCCUGUGAGGAACAGAUAAAGGGAUUUGACUGUGAACAUGUGAUUGGAAGUCCACCGUCAUUUGAUGAAGUCCGGACCGUCGCCUGGGCUUCUGUGUAGGAGCAACUCUUUAAGCAUCGUCAGCUGUCUGCGUCUCUCCACUGAUUGAGACGGCGCGAAACCUCGUCAUAUGAAGCGCCAUUUCCAUCAUUUUGAGUUCCAGCAAUGAGAUACUCGGAUCUCCUAGGGGGGUUUCUCCAGUCCAUAUGUCAGACCACAUCCUGAUAUUUUCACCAUCGCCUAGCUCGUAGGUGACCUCGCAGAUGAACACAUCGCGGCACCGCAUAACGCUUUUCCACCACUGCGAAUAAGGUACGAAGGCUCGACCCUCGUGUAAUGGCCUUCGUCUGGCAUAAUAUAGAGAUCUAAGUAAUUUACACCAACACAGAUGUGGCUCGUUAAAGAAACACCACCACCAUUUGGUUAAGAGAGCCAAAUUCAUAGAUUCCAUGUCUUUGAUCCCUAACCCUCCUUAUUUUUUACUUUUGUAGAUUAUUUUCCAAUUGACUAAACAUGCUCCUCCGAAAAUUUUGGAGCAUCUUUUCCAAAAGAAGGCUCUUCUCAAGGCGUCUAUCCGGUGUAAUACCCACAGUAGCGCUUUGAAAAUGGACAUGUAGAAUAGCAACAAGUUGUUAAGAACCGAAUUGACGAGAGUGAGUCUUCCCCCUUGGGAAAGAAGUUUUGCUUUCCAUUAUUCAAUUUGUUCAUUUGUACGAUUGAUAACCGAAGCCCAAUCUUCUUUACGUAGCGAUUUAUUGUAAAGUAGUAACCCCGGAUAGCGGAAUGGUAGAUUGCCUACUUUGUAUCCUAAAAUGUUAGCUAGUCUAUCCGCGUUGCGAAAAUUGGACCCCAGGUAGUACAAUUCCGAUUUGUCCUGAUUGAUUCGGAGUCCAGAGGCCUAUUCAAAUAAUUUCCAAAGGAACUGCAUGUUCUGCAUGAUGUAUUUCCUUGGCUCGCAAAAGAAGAUUGUGUUGUCAGCGUAUUGAAUAAGCACUGUUUGGCAAUCAUCGGAUGGUCCAAUGCUAUGGAUGAGGUUAUUGCCCCUAGCAGUUUCGGUUAGCCUGGCCAUGCAGUCAGCCACCAGUAGAAAGAGAUAGGGGGACAGAGGGUCUUCAUGUGUUAGUCCCUUUUUUGCUUUCAGCCAUGAUGUCGGAGUGUCAUUCACUAGGAUGACAAAUUUGGCGUUGUAGAUACAUUGUUCGACUCAAGUCCACCAUUUGUCGUUGAAUCCUAGCCACUGGAGAAUACUUUUCAGGAAGUUCCAUUUGACAUUAUCGAAGGCUUUUUCGAAGUCUACUUUGAUACUGACGCAUUCUGUUCUAGAUUUGGAGCACCAGUUAAUUAGCUCGCUUGCUGUGACAAACGAGUCUGCCAACAUCCGGUCUUUGAGGAAAGUCGAUUGCGUUGGAGUGUUGAUAGACAGUAAAGUAACAGUGAGCCUGUUUGAAAGGACUUUAGAGAUGAUUUUUUGAAUUCCAUUAAUGAAACUAAUCGGUCGGAAGUCUUUAACCUUGCGCGUUCCUUCCUUUUUGAGGAUGAGGCACACAAAACAGUAGUCAGUCGGGCCAGUGAAUAAUCUGUCUUUGUGGAGAUCAGUGAAGAUGUUGUAGAUAUCCUCCUUGACCGUCUCCCAAAACGUUUGGAAGAAAAUUGGGGGGAAACCGUCAGGUCCAACAGCUUAUCGCUGCCUAGUGGGAAAGUGGCCGUCUUAACUUCCUCGAUAGAAAAGAGGGACGUUAAGAGAUUAGGGUUGAGUAGUCUAUUGGAGUGGUAGAGACCACUCCAAUCUCCAAAAGAUGGUGGACUUUUCUCUAUCUGUUCAAACAGUCGCUCGAAAGCAUGGAAGAAGUAGGAUCUCUUAUGCUCUUCUGUAAUGAUCUGUCGCCUUGUGUCAUCAUUAAUGAUUUCAAUCGUAUUGUUCCAUUUUCGUCCGUUGGCCACAACGUGGAAAAAUUUAGUGUUACCGUCGCCUUCCUUUAGCCAGCGCUGUUUGGCCCUAGUUUUUCAGAGAAUUUCUUCAUCCUUUAAGAUUAACCGGAGUUGAGAUUUAAGAUCAGUUCGUUUGUCCAAGGUUGCUUGAGGCAGGUUAUAUUGUUCCUCGAGACGAUCAAUUACUUGAAGUUCAUCCUGCAGGGUCUUCUUGGCGAUCGAGAUUCUAUGGAAGUUUGUCUUACACUAUUCUUUUAUCCUAGACCGAUAGUGUCUGAGCUUUGCAGUGUGUGAUAGACUCCAAUAAUCCACAUCGGAUAUGAAUAGGGAUGUGAUUGGGUAUAUAAGAGAGUUAGACACCAGUAAUAAUUAUUGAGCUUAAGCAUUUUGGGCUGGUGGUUUUGGUCCCAACGAGUUAUUGUUGCAAGUGGGCUGGGUCGUUACAGAUAAUGAGGAUGGCUGAGUUCUUGGGGGAAACCUCAUUCCACCAAAGAGGUACUUUCGACAGAAAAUCCUCCUUAGUGAGCCAAACUCUCUCGAACCGAAGCCUCCGCACCGCGAGGUGUCGCCUCGUGGUGAGGACGAUAGGGGUGUGAUCGGACGUGAUACUAGGAAGAGCUUUGACCUUACAAUAGGGAAAAGAAUGGUCCCAUUUCAUUGAUACCAGGAAUCCGUCGAGCUUGGCCAGGGUUGGUCGAUGUUGCAUAUUUGACCAAGUGAAAUUUUGGUUCGACAUAGGUAGAUCAAUGACCGCUAGAUUAUUGAUGAGAUCCGAGAACAAAGCCAUAGCUUUAGUGCUCCAGGUGUUUCCUUUUCGUUUGGAUUGGUUUUUAGUGAAGUUGAAGUCUCCGCAGAUGACCCAAUUGGUGGAGCAGGAACCGUUGAGAGAUAGGAGUUCAGAGCAAAUUAUUCCUUUCUGUCCCAAGAUAGAGGCCCCUAAACAUUUGUGAGGUAGAAAGUUUUCCCACUAGCGAGGUGGAUCAAGUUAAGAGUCAGUGAGUGCUUUCUUACUAAAACCUCAGAGCACGAAAAAAAUUUUGAGCUCCAACACGUAAUUAAGUCACCAGAAGAGCGAGAUCUUGGAAUAAACUGACUUCUGUCAAGAGCCACAGCAAGAGCGGAGAAAAGAUCGAGAUACAAAAUCCACUUUAGAUUCUUGGAUACAGACAACAGAGCUGAAGAGAUUAGAAACUACUAACUUAACAGAACGACGCUUAACAGGGCUGUUGAGACCACGAACAUUCCAACUCAAAAUGUUAAACAUCAUAAACGAGCGAGACGCACAAAAAAGAACAACACGUUCUCUGAGAAAGCCCGGAGCCUAGACUUCCGCACACAUGAACAUCCUGAGGGCGGUAGCAUCAGCGUCAGAAAGGUUCACCCCACAAAGGAGGCUCUUCGCCUUGACCUUCUAUCUACUCCACUUGCGCGUCGAAGGCCCCGAAUCCAUCGUCUCACCCUCUAGGAGUCGUGCUUUUCUGUGCAUUUCCCUGCUUAACGUGGAGCCUAUUAUCUGAUUGUGGAGUCAAGCACUGGACCUUGGCGGGUCCUGUCAUCGCAUGGGGGGGGGGCCUAAUGCAGGAGACAAUUUUGCAUUAACAGGAGGUGGGCUAUCGUAGGGUAGGCUGCUAGUGUCACCGUAGCUGGCAGAGUCCGAUCCAGUAGAGGGCCUAAGUCCAAGAGCACCAAGGGGGAGCAAAUCCCAGGUGCCUGUGGGGGCUGGUCCCGAACAACAUGGAGGGAGUGGGCCUUGGCCCGAAGAGAAUAGAUUAGGCCCAAAUUCGAUAUCACAUGAGGCGAGUACCAGGUAGGCAGUGGACCUCAGUUGACUAAAGGAAAGGGGCUUGGUCCACAGUGCAGCUGUUGUUAGCCCUGAGCACGGUCACGUGAAAUUCGAGAAAAGUGGCAGCAGACCGAAAUAAAUGUGCCAUCUAAACUCCAGAGGGUUGAAAAAAUCACAAAUUCCAUUCCUGGCAAACACCUCGAGGUGGGGUUUCUGCCCCAUGACCAGGAAGCCUCCCAACUCGAGUAAGGGCGAGUUAAUGGUGAGAGAAGGACUACUGAAUCUCGAGGGAAUAGAAAGAAGGUUGUGGCCACCUGACGAUCUAGUACGGCGGCCAUCCUUGGGGUCAGGUAGCUUGAAAAUGGAAAGCCCAGUCAGGGGAGGUUUUGAAUUUGAAUUUGAAUUUGAAUUUGAAAAAAGGGCAGACCAGCCAACCGUGUCACCACCGGCCGGGGAGGUGGCGGUAGGGGGCACCUGCCGCGGCGGGAUGGCAGCAGGGGGCAGAGGGAUUUCGGCUAUCCGGGCCUCCAGUCGAGUGGGCAUCUCUUGCCUUCUAUCGUAGAUCUCUGAAGAGUUCCAGGAGGUGUCAGAGUUAGUUGAACCCCUUGUUCGAUAAUUGUCUCCCUCCAUCCGUUCCAACGGUGCGACAAUAGACAUCAGAGGAUCGCUCAAGGGGAUCAUGCUGAUAUGAUUGCUCAAUGUGUGCAUUUCGACGUCUGUCGUCAUCAGUGCGGGCCCAUAUUUCGAUCUAGAUUAGCACCGAAAUCGACAAAUUGCCGAAGGUGAUUUCCAGAUUCUCCGAGAUGUCGAAAAAAUGAUUCACGGCAAUCAGGUAGCGAUAGCCGGAGAGAUCUACCAUGCAGGCGCUGAAAUCAUCUGCCCGAAUAAACCGGCUGAAUCCGCCAACGAGGGCCGCCACAGUACGGGAGGACCAUCACUCAUAGGGGAGGCUCACCAGCUGGAUCCAGACCUUGUAUGGCAACGACGGCCGUCGAGCACCACAAUAAAGAUACCACGGGAAGCAACAUAGUCGGAGUUCCCCCAGAUUGAGAACAUCCAUGUGAAUGAGGUGGUCACUCGGCACCCAUUCAGGUAGGAAAAUGACGAAGUCUCGCUCACUGUAUCGAGCGACGUGGAAGUCGGUAGGGUACCCACCAAAUCGGCUAGCGAGCCCAUUAGCGAUAGCAUCUUGGGGAAAAUAUCCGAGGUUUGCCGGCAGGAUCACGUCAAAGAAGUCAUCGAAGAGAGGAAUGAAAGCACUGAGGUACGCAAGGCAGGCGUGCAUGGCCCAGUAGACGUUUAUCAGUAGGCGAUUCACGCAGAGUCUGGCUUUGUGUCCAGAUUUGAAGCACCUGGUGCACCAGAAAGGGUCUCGGCAAUGUGAGGCCAGGUGAUCUUUUUCCAAGCAUCUAAAGCACCAACCUUUGAAGGAAAACCUUGUCACACCUCAAUAAUCCCACAUCGGAUAGGAUUGGGAAUGUGAUUAGGUAUAUACUAGACUUAGACACUAGCAAUAAUAACUGGACUUAAGCAUUUUGGGCCGGUAGUUGGGCCCAACGAGUUAUUAUUGCUAGUGGGCUGGGUCGUUACAUUUGGUAUCAGAGCCGGUUCACCAGCUGGACAUGUGUGGCGAGUCUCAGUUGAGCCAGGGUCUAAAUGACAGGCUAGCGAGACGAGUCUCACAUCGCCUGGUGAUCUUGGGCUGUGUGUGUGAUUGGACUGACGAGGACGUCAGGACCUUAACGGGGGGAGUCUGUCAUACCCCAAUAAUCCCACAUCGAAUAGGAUUGGGAAUGUGAUUGGAUAUAUAAUAGACUUAGACACUAGCAAUAAUAACUGGGCUUAAGCAUUUUGGGCCGGUGGUUGGGCCUAACGAGUUAUUAUUGCUAGUGGGCUGCGUCGUUAUAUUUGGUAUCAGAGCCGGUUCACCAGCUGGACAUGUGUGGCGAGUCUAGGCUGAGCCAGGGUCAGGAUGAUGGGCUAGCGAGAUGAGUCUCACAUCGCUUGGUGAUCUUGGGCUGUGUGUGAUUGGACUGACGAGGACGUCAGGGCCUUAAUGGGGGGAGUCUGUGACACCCCAAUAGUCCCACAUCGGAUGGGAAUGGAAUUGUCAUUGGGUUUAUAAGAGACUUAAACACACUAGUAAUAAUAACUGGGCUUAAGCAUUUUGGGUUGUUGGUUAGGCCCAACGAGUUAUUAUUGCUAGUAGGCUGGGUCGUUACAAACCUGCCGGACUUUGAUGAGAGGGAGGGGGAGGCUUUCUGUGGGAUGCAGGGUUGGGACAGAGAGGGUGGAGAAAGUAGAGCUUCCUUGUACGCUCUUCUGAUGUGGGGUAGUUGGGCGAUUUAUCCUGUGCGGCCUAUCGGUCAGAGGCUUGACCUCGGAUGGAGUUUGCCUUCAGUACGUGGUUGAUGGGCAGUAAAUGUCCCCGUGUCAAAGUGGGGGUCAUCAUGUUUGAAGAAGACGGUCUGAGUUAAUGCAAGGCCAGUUUUGUCCGCCCAGAGCACUUUCUUGGAAGAGGGACGACCUUCGUAUCCAGUGUUUCGAAGAUAUUUUGCCGCAUUAACUCCAAUGCCAGAGGCUCGUUUGAGCUCUUGGAACCUCAACUCUAGGUCAGAGUCCAAACCACCUAAGUGAGACCUGCUGGAGGAGCCCUUCUAGGGUCCAAAGCUGCUCCGCGAUGACACUUUCAUCGAGUAUCCCAAUUUUGACGAUUCCCUCGCUUGUGCUCCAUCCCUCUGUUCCUCCGGUUGCUCCAUCACCUUCUCCUUUCCUGUCCUCCCCAUGGUCGUUAUCAUCAUUUCUUUUGAAUUCUUUUUUUUUACUUGCAGUAGUUUAAUUUACCCAGAAGAAUUUGUUGGUCGUUACACGCAUCUUAUCGCUUCCUGAAUCUUUGAUCGGGUAUCGAGUUGGGAUCACUACGCUAAAUUGUCAUGGGAGGCUACUAGAGUCUCCCACAAUGGGAGGCUACUAGAGUCUCCCACAAUCGUUCACCUUCUAAAAGCUCGAGAAUAUAGGUGGGAAUGUCAGAGAAACAUAGAAAAGGGAAUUCUUUUUCUUUCUCACACGUCAAACUUUAAUAGAAGGGUUCCUAUAUACAGAUGAUAAAAUUUUUUUAAAAAAUUUGUUGGUUCUCACACAGAGAUUAUUAAGAGCUGCAAUAUCUACCAACAUCUUUAUUAGGAAAUAUAUUUCUUAAGUAAUUGUAAAUAUAUGAUUUAUUUUUAUUUUUAACUGAUUAGGAUAAUUUCCUCUCCACAUUCUAUCUGGAUUGGGUUGAAUUAGAGCUAGCCAAUGCAAACAAAUUAUAUGGCAACAAGUACAAACUGCAUUAGAAAGGGAGAGAAUAACUUAGGCUGUGUUCUGUCCGCACUUUUCAGGUAUGGCCAUGACGAAAAAAGUUUUUUUUUUUUUGAGAAUAGGUAGCACGCUACCUGCUUCAUUCAUUGAAUAAAUGAAUUAGGCCACAGAGAUGAGACAACCAGGGUCUCGAGAAGAGGAAAAAAAAAAAAGAAAAAGAAAAAAAGAGAAGAUGUCAUAGAGUGUCUUUCCAAGAAUCAAUCAAAAGCUUGAGUCUUCGCACCGCUAAAAUAGGGUCAAACUGAAUAUCACGAAAAACAAGGUUGUUUCUGGCCUUCCAAAUGGUCCACCAACAUGCAGCCAAUUCAGAUAAACCGUUCCUUCUACUAUGUCCACCAUCCCUUCCCCUCCACUUGUCCCAGACAAUGUGUACAUCGUCGCCCAGCUCUCUCGGCUGAACGUCCUCGAGUCCAGUGACCAUGAUAUACUUAAUAAAGACGCAUUGGGUGAAUAGGUGGUCUACCGACUCGUCAUGAACCCUGCAUAGCACACAAGCCAUACUUUCUAACCAUCCUAUCUUUCUGAGAUUGUCCGUCGUAGGCGUUCUUUUCUUAAGAACUAACCAACAGAACACUUUGAUCUUGAGUGGAAUUCGGAGUCUCCAGAUAAUGUAAACCCGUCCGUCCCUCAUGCCCCCGUCGUUCAACAUCCGAUAGGUCGAUUAGACUGAGAAUAAACCGUUGCUGCUCCAUCUCCAUCCUAACUUGUCCUCCCUAUGCCUAAUAUUAAAGCUAGUAACUCUCUCUUCGAGAUCCAAAAGGAUGCGGCAUAGGUGCGCCGGGACCGAGGUCUCAUCGCCCAGAAUUCUACUCCAAUUCCAGCCAUCACUUCCACAACAAUCCUUAACAGGCGUUGGUUUGCAAUCCAACGCCGCGUACACCUCCGAAAAAGAUGCUUGAAGUGUGGUAUCCCCGCACCAUCUGUCCAGCCCUAAGUCAACCAAUCGGCCAUUGCCUAGAGUAUAGUAGGUUCCCCAUUUAAAGAUAUCGUUAAGGCUUAGGAUCCCCUUCCACCAGUACGAGCGUGGCCUGAAGGAUAUUCCCUCCCACAGAGGCCUUCUUUUGCGGUAAUAUAGAGCCCGGAUAAUUAUGGUGCACGGCAGAUGAGGUGACGUAUGAAAUCUCCACCACCAUUUGACUAAAAGCGCCUUAUUCAUGUCAGCCACAUCUAGAAUGCCUAAUCCCCCUUCCUUUUACUCAAACAAACAUUUUUCCAUGCAACAAGGCACCACUUGCCAGGGGUAUUGCUUUGUCCACUCCAAAAGAAGUCUUUGCGUAGAGCUUCAAUGCGCUUGAUCGCCCAACAAGAUGCCUUGAACACAGACAGAAAGUAAAUUGGUAGAUUGGUGAGCACCGUAUUGACCAGAAUAAGUCUACCCCCUCUCGAGAGGAGUUUUGCCUGCCAUCCAUCUAUUCUAUGCUGCAACUUCUGUAUGACCUCUCUCCACACCUCCUUUGUGGGAGGCUUAGGUGAGAAGGGGAACCCUAGGUAAGUGGUGGGGAGUGUGCCAACUUUACAAUCGAGCAGUUGUGCAAGUCUCGCCGCUUUGCCCUCAGUCUGUCCCAGGUAAUAUAGCUCGGAAUUUUCUCUGUUGAUUUUCAAUCCUGACGCCCACUCGAAUAGAUUCCACAUCAGCUUUAGGUUUCUCAUAUAACAUUUUUUAGCCACGGAGAAAAAAAAGUAUCAUCCGCAAAUUGUGUAAGUGUUGUUAAGCUCUCAUGAGAGGGACCAAUUCCCUUGAAAAGAUUAUUAGAUGUGGCCGUGCUGGUCAAUCUAGCAAGGCACUCCGCCACCAACAGAAAUAGGAAUGGCGAAAGUGGAUCACGUUGCCGUACCCCUCGCUUAGUUUUGAUCCAGUUCGUCGCCUCACCGUUAACCAAGAUAGCAACUUUAGCAUUACAUACACAUUGUUCGAUCCAGUUACACUAUUGCUCGUUGAAACCCCACCAUCGUAGAAUACUGAAGAGGAAGGGCCAAUGGAUCCUAUCAUAGGCCUUUUCGAAGUCCACUUUUAUGCCGACCCCUUCAAUAGCAUCCUUGCUACCCCAUCGAACUAGUUCUGAUACGGUGAUAUACGCAUCGGUAAUAUUUCUCCCAUUCAAGAACGCGGAUUGGGAAGGUGAGAUUAGCUCGUUUAUACCCACUGCUAGUCGAGUUGCUAGGACCUUCGAGAUGAUUUUUUGAAUACCAUUAAUUAGGCUGAUAGGUCAAAACUCAUUUGCUCUAUUUGCCCCUUCUUUCUUGGGUAAUAGGCAAACAAAGGAGUAAUCUAUAGGAGCAGUAGAAAUCCUCCCCUCGUACAACUCAUGGAACACAUUAAGAAGGUCUCCUUUUAGGGUGUCCCAGAAAGUUUGAUAAAAUCUUAAUGGAAAACCAUCCGGUCCUGGUGCUUUAUCGCUACCCAGCUGAAAAACCGCCUCUUUUAUUUCAUCGACACUAAACUUCUCCGUUAAUCGCCUCAUCAUGGGAACCGAAACGCGUCGAGAAGUAAAAAGCCUACUCCAAUCGCCGAAGGAGCGCGGGGCAGAGCCCUCUGCCGUAAAGAGAUCUCGAAAGUAUUAGAAAAAAUACUUCUUCUUAUCAUCCUCUGAUUGGUACACACGCCCAUUGUCGGUAACGACUCCAAUACCAUUGGCCCCUCUUCUCCCAUUAGCAAUACUAUGGAAAAAUUUCGUGUUGCUAUCCCCCUCUCUCAACCAGUGCUGAUUAACCCUGGCUCGCCACAUGGCGGUUUCGUCGUUUAAGACACCCCAUAAUUUAGCUUUCAAAUCCUCUCUUCUCACUACCCUCUCCUCAUCAAGCGUUCCGUGUUCUUCUGCUAUAUCCAGUUGGAGGAUUUCCUCCAUAAGACUAUUCUUAAGGUCCCGGAUACUAUAGAAUUCGCUGUUGCACCAUUCUUUAAUCCUUUGACGGCAGUGUCGCAGCUUCGCUGUAAAAGUAAGCAUGGCUGAACUAUUGGUCCUUCCCUCCGUCCACCAUCCUGGUACUUUGGUUAGGAAACCUUCAUGAUUGAGCCACGCUUCCUCAAAAUGAAAAACUUUCUGCCUUCCCUUCGUUCCUCGCUCAACCGUUAAUAGAAUAGGACAGUGGUCCGAAGUGACACGAGGUAGCGCAACAACCUUGGAUAGCGGAUAGUCCUGAUCCCAUUCCGUAGAAGUUAGAAACCGGUCGAGCCUCGCAAGAGUCGGGUUUUGCUUCAUAUUGGACCACAUGAAGGAUUGGUUCAUCAUCGAUGGAUCGAUAAGUGCUAGGUCACUUAUAAGAUUAUUAAAAAGCGUCAUGUUUCGAUCACUCCAAGCCUUCCCGUUUCGCUCCUCUUGUUUACGAAUGCUAUUGAAAUCACCACAAAUAAUCCAUCGACCUUCACAAUGCGAUUUUAGAUGUGCCACUUCAAAAAAAAACUCAGUUCCAGACUUUACGUGCGACAGAAGCACAGUAAUCGAAUAUUUUCUCACUAGGACAUCGCGACCGGUGAGCAAGUGGGAAUUCCAACACGUAAUGACUCCUCCCGAGGUACCGUCACAAGCGAGGUAGACGCAUUUGUUGAAAGAAGAACCGCCGAAACUACGCAAAAAAGAGUUAGACACAAAGUUCACUUUCGACUCUUGCAAACACACAACCCUAUUACAAAGCUUGGAAAUAACCGCCCUAACGGCGUUCCGCUUCGAGGUGCUGUUGAGCCCUCGGACAUUCCAACUACAAACACCUAACAUAAAAGAAAAACUAAGGACACCCCCAAAAACCCACACCCAAAAUAGUGUCCACUACCCUUCGCAAGACUCCUGAUCUACGCACACUUAGUCACGAACUCCUCGAAGUGCGUCGCCUCAUCGUUACCCAAGCUCACACCACAAAGGCGGCUCUUCCGAACCAGAGUUUUGACCGCAAGACUGUCCCCACACCUAUAUCCACCCUCCCGUUGGUAUGCCUUGCUGAUCAUCACCCGCUGCAUAAUCGAGGUCUUCCCUCCUCUAACUAGUCGCUUGCUGAUCCUAGUACCGAUAGGCUCUGUCGAAACGUCCCUGUCACCCCGAAUCGCCACCACGUAGCUCUGAACCCCCCGCUCCUCCUCCAGAAUGGGCCCCGCCGAAGCCAUCUGAGGCCCAAUCCAAUCAUUCCGUUCGGUCAAUCUGUCUAUAAUGAUUGUCAGGCGGCACCCCUCUUGGUCCUCCAUCUCGAACCCUCAGCAAGUGGGCCCCCGACUUGGGCCCGGAGCAAAACGCCAAACACAUGCCCCCGUAAUCACCAAGCCAGUACCAUAGUCCCUUGGGCCCACAAAGACUUGCCAAAGCACAAAACUAGAAUACAAAAUAGAACCCCAGUUCCUCGUUUGUGCUCCCAAGGAGUGUUGCAAGUCAACUAAGGCGUUGGACCCUUCAACCUUGGAACCCGAGCCAGAGGCUUUCCCAAUCCCCAAAACAGGUAAGAAAGAGAAAACCCAGCUGCUCCAAAACCUUUUUUCCCCUUCCAUCUACGAGUAAGUGCACUUUCCCAUCUUCUUCUCCACGAGCCUCGUUUCUGAUGCCCCCCCACCCUCGAUCGGCACGCCAUCAGUGACCGUUGCGAGCACCCCCCUGCCCUCGAUCGCCACGCCACCGGUGAACUUUGUAAUCCCUGGCCUUCCGCCACGCUACGACGACGCACCCGCGCCUCGAUCCGCCACCCCGCCCGAUUUCUCCCUCCAUCUCCGGCUCCAGUGGGCACCAUCACCCAGCGACUGAGAUCCGAGACUCACCGCACCUUCGUGCACGGUCGUCCCAGCCGCGUGACAGCCAACUCCUCCUGCGAAAGCCGCCCUCCAUCUUCAGCCCCGACGCCCACCAUGUCCUGACCCCCCAGAUCCACCCCUCCCCAGUUCCAUCCUCUGGUUCGUCGGUCCGCGAGGGCCUAAUUGGGUCUGCCGUGGUUCAUCCGCCUCUUCCACUUCGCCCUCUCCCGCUUCCAUCUCAUCGUCCGGAGCUGCCUGAUCAUCCCAGCCUUCGUGCUGAAGGUUGUCGUCAUCACCACCUUCAUCGAUCUCCCCCUCCUCCGGUCCGACCUGUGGAGGCUGCGGUGGAUCACCACCCCCCCCUCCGUCGAUCCUCUUCCAACUUUCGAGAUGGACCAUGACGUUGAACAGCUCCUCGCCCAACACGAUGGACAAGUUUUGCGGGAUGUUGAGGAGAGAAUCUAGAACGAUCUGACAACGGAAAGCCCGUAGAUCCGUUGUAGCUCUUGAAACAGCGUCCGCCUUCACGAACCGGCCGAACCCCCCCACGAUCGCCGCCACCCGGGGAGUGGUCCAGCAUUCGAAGGGGAGGUUAAUCAGGCGAACCCAAGCCCGGUACCUUGACCGAUGCGGCCGGGCAUUCCAGUGCCUCCCCCAUGGAUAGCACCUUAGCCAGAAAUCGCCUAUUGACAACACUUCUCUCCUAAUAAGGUCCGCAGCGGCGACCCACUCUGGCAGAAAAAGAGCGAAGUCCCUCUCCCUGUGGCGAGCGACUGCGAAGUCAUCAGCGUAGCCCCCAAACCUCCGCGCCAUCGCAGUUUUGAUUGUGGAGAUUGGAUCGACGCCGAGGUUCGCUGGUCGAAGGACAUCGGUGAGGAUGGCGUUGCGGCGUAGCUCCAAUCGUCGUAAAUACUCCUCCGUAUAGGGGACGAAUACCUUCGACACCGGAGCACGCUCCUGACCACCCGGACGCCGGUAAGGCCUGAACAUAUCGACAUCUGCCUUAACUCUUCUCUUGUCUUUACACUGAUGCGCUCGGGGCCGGGAUCUUAGGCACCUACGGCACCUUACCGGAUCUCGGCAGUCAGCAACCAAGUGAUCCGCGGCGAGGCACCGAUAGCACUUCCUGACGAAACUCUUGCUACGAAGCAACUUGGGCCCCUGAAACAGGGAGGUUUUCCUGGUCCGCCGCAUCCGCUCGUAUCAAAUGCUUGCCUCCUAAAUGGCCUUUACUACUUCCAGGUAGUUGUUCCAGACCAGCUCUUAACUCUCCAUCAAUGCCUUCACCCACCGUUGUUAGGGCCUCACCAACCUCGUCCGCCCACACUAAACGCUUCUGGAUCUUCUUCCCCUUCCCCUUGGCCAAGACGAGAGAUGCCAUUUUUUUCCAUGAUGAAAGAAAGUUGAAAGAGAUUUUGAAAGAAGAUUUGAAUUGAGGCUAGUCUGUUGAAAGAAGAUUUUGAAAGCUAGCGGAACUUACUACGUCACGGGUGCUAAUCAAAGAGGGAAUGAUCUGAUCAAAUUUCCUCACCCAAAAAUGGGUCAAAUCUCCAAUGAUAACUUCGAGAUCUAGCUAUGGAUCGGAGCAUCAAAUUUCCUAUUGGUAGUCGGCCAUUGGAUUGGGCUGACACCGUAGAGAGUACCAUCGCGAAUUAGUGAUCCCUCGAGUCCAAUAAGCUAUUCCUAUUGGCGGCGAGCAGCAAGGAAUGAUUCAUCAGUUGAGGGCCGGGUGGUCAGGUGAAGAUGUAGAAACCGAAAUUUUUAAAUAUAAAUUUAGAAAAAGUUGGGGCAUAUAUCUCUCUAAUUAGACAGUCUGUAAUGAAACAAAAUUGCCACUUCGGAGUCUGACAGCGCUGUAUAUCACGAGAAAGACUUUUGUGCAAUUUUUCAUUAUAAAGUGAUGUUUCAGAUACGAAAACGAUCGAGAGAGUAAACUGAUAAAAUGGGUUUUUAUGUCACAAAAAGUUUGAAUUUUUAUGUACUGAAUUAUAUAAAAUUUUUGACUGGAAGUACUACUAUGCAAAAUACACUGUGGAUUAUAGUUUUGAGUACGAAUAUGUAAAUCAGAGGGGCUAAAACAUAAUUUUACAAAGUGGAAGAAAUAAGCAAUCCGCGAAAAUGUUAUAAUUUCAUGUGUGAAAAGUGAAAAUUUUUCGAAUAGAGAUGGCUCCUAUGUGAAAUGGACUGAGAUAGAGCCGAAACGAGCAAGAAGUGGUACUGCAAGGACUAACCUGUAAUUGUUAAAAGUGUCCAUUUCAAGAUCGCUUGUAUAUAGUAAGACAGACUGUCCCUGGCGCAAGUGGUAAAGAGUUUGAUGGUUGAUACUCGAGAUCCCAAAUUCGAAUUCUAAUUGAUUCACAUUUUUAACUAAGUUUAUUUAUAAAAGAAAUAAACAAAGUGGGUAACAUGCUAUCUUUCUCUCCAAAAAAAAAAGGCCUAUAGUGAGAGGUCUCCAUACAUUUUUAUUCACCAUUAAGUAAGAGUAAAAAUGUCAUUUUAUCAUAAUUUCAUCUCAUAAAGCAAACAAGAAAAGACAGCAAGAGCAUUUGCACUAACUUACAAGGUUUGGAGGCUACUUAUUAUAUAUUUUAAACUUUUGAGGAGUAUUUACAAAUUUUUGAAAUUUACAAAGGCACUGAUGAAAUUGUCUCUCUCUCGUCAUAAGCUAUUUGAUUUAUUUAAGAAGUAUGUACUGUGUGGUAGAUGAAUAUGAUUAAUUGUGUAGAAUGGAACAUGCUAUAUAUAUUAAUUGGCAUUCAAGUUAUUUUUUUAAAAAAUAAUAUAGAUCAUCUUGUAGAUGGUACAACCUAUCCUAUUAAAUUGUAGAUACACCGACCGUCCUUAGAGCAAAUGGCAAACGGCUUGCUGGUUGGUACCUGAGGUCGACCCAAGUUCGAAUCCUAGUUGAUUCAUAUUUCCAACUAAAUUUAUUUGUANGCGUGGUUGGAAAAUUAAAUUAAACGUACCGAGAAUUAACACAGCGUCGAAGAAAUUAAACCGGCAUCGUACAUAUAUAUUAUGUACAGAGGAUUAAUCUCAGAUUAAGAUUAAGUUAAUCUUAAUGUGAGGAUUAAUAUUAGGUAUAUACGGUUUAAUUUAGAUUUAAUAUAUAUUAGGAUUAAUCUAAUCCUAAAUUGAGGUUAAAUCUAUUGAUGUUUAGAUUUAAUUAUAUUGUUAGAAGUAGAACCAAAUUAAACAUCAAAUCGGCAGCGAUACGCUGAGACUAUUCUUCGUGCGCUAAUUAAUUGAAGCCUCUUGGAGCAAGAUCCCUCAAGCAUGGUGUUCCGUACAGUCAAGAAGCCGGAUUCUUAUUACCAUGCUAAUUAAUUAAGGAGUGUUUCUUGUAUUCGAUCGUGCAUUCUUGCGUGUCGUGACCCGAGCCGAGUUGGAGCUCUAAUUAAUUAAGGAGCAUUGAGGUGGUCCGUACGGGUGGUGAGAGAGAAUCAAGUUUUGGAGUCUCUUUUAUACGUCGCGACUUUCGGCGUUUCGGAUUUAAUUAAGUUUUGGUCUUUUGAGAGAUAUUUUCUUGUACUCCGCCUUUUCGACAUUAAUAAAUUAUUUGCUCCGUCUUCGCCCGUGGACGUAGGCCGUUGGCCGAACCACGUAAUUAUCGGUGUGUUCUUUUCUUAUCUUUUCUUUUCCUGCAUUAAGUUAUUUUCUGGAUCUAUUUUUCGCCGUUCCGAUUUUAACAAAAAUCAAUCCGAUCAGGUAUCUACUGUGAUUGAAAAUUAGGAGUUUGGUCAAAUGUCUAUAAUAGAGUGAAAUAUUUGCUCUUGAAGUCUUGUUGGUGAAAAUUUACUGUCCAAGUAAAUCAUGAAUGCUCAGAUAUUUUAUGGAGCAAAAAUCAAACUAUCAUAUUUCAAUUAUAAAAAAAAAAAUCUUUAUAUGGAGUAAUUUAUUAUUGAAUAAUUUGUUUUGAUUUUCAAACAAGAUUAAAAAAAAAAACACUGAAUAAGUUGUUAUCGAAAACUUAUUUUUCUAUUGAUUAUAAUUACUCUCCCAUUUGCACUUUUAUGACUCUGAGUUCGUACUUAGAAAAAUAGAAAAAAAGGAACAGUAGUAAACAAGGUAUUUUAAAGAAUACAUAUAAUUAAUUACUCCAAUAUAUAGGGACAAAAUAACAGUCAACCGUUUGAAAAUUAAUCUUUGCCAAACAUUAGGACUGAAAAAAAUUACAGGGUCAACUUUUGUAUUGCCUAAUUUCCUGGGGAGCAAUGAUAAAAUAGUUUAAAAAAAAAAGAAGAAAAUCGCAUGAACAUGCAUGGAAGCUUAUAACAUUUCUGGGACCAAAAAUAUUUACUUUAGUUUUAAUAGCUAAGACGCGUUUUCGGUGGUCAUUACAAAGAAAAUCAUGUUAAUUAGUGUUGUGUUAGCUAGCUAGGUACUUGUUUAUUCAAUAGAAUGUCAUGGAAUGUUAUGGAAUCAUAGUUUUUUCUACUUGUUGCCAUUUGGUUUGUCCACAGUGGCAGGUUAUGAUUAAACCCGAUCCACAUAAGAUGUGGAUCAUGAUUUAUCCUAAUAAGUUUAGAAUAAGUAUAAAUUAUAUGUUUCUUAUCAGUUAAGAAACAUAUCUUAUAAUGGAUAUUUAUUAUAUAUUAAUAAAUAUCACAAUCCUUAUCCUAAUCUAUAGGAGAUUCAUGAUAUUUAGGGGUUCCGUUAUUUUAUAUAUACGCCCCCGUUUUCUCCCGUAGAAGAGACGAUUGAAUACGAUUUAAUUCGAGAAUCCACAAAAUCUUCCUUCUUCUCUCCUCUUCCUCUCUGGGAUUUCCACCUCCGUUCCCGGAGUUUUAGAGUGUGGACAUAGGAGAGGACUCUGGUAGCCCUCUCCGAUUGGCAUCCGUGACGUAAGGCGAUCCGUUCCGUGACGUAAGGCGUACGUGUGGAAGAAGACGAGAAACGUGGGAGAUCCAGAAGCAUCGAAACAAGGACGAUCCAAGAAGGCUUGUAAAACGAGUAACCCGAUCCGAUUCCGGUUCCCGGAUACGUUGGCUAUCCGGUUUGUAAGUUUCCGCUGCUUAUUAUUUCCAACACUACUAAUACCCAUGAAUUAGAUUAACAUUGAUGGCUCUACAUUUACGAUAUGAAUUAAAUUUCUAUACGCACAAUAGCUUCUUUUCUAGUUAUAUAAGCCGGAUUAAAUUUUACCUUGCAUGCAUGAUGUGACACUCUAGAAUUUAAAAUAGUUCUAUAUAAUUAAAAAGGAUAAUAGGAUAAAGCCCUUUACCUGGCAAUAACAUUCUGAGUGGUAGCUAGACCUAAACAAUUGAGGGGGUUAAGCAUUGCUAGCACUAAAGUAGUUUUAGGAUGAAUAAUCCCCUUGUAAAGAAGGUAACUCCUUUGGAAAGUGGGGCGUAAUAGUUGCUAUCAAAGGCAAUCAUCAAUCGGAAGCAUAAGAUGACACUAGGUUGAGUGAGGGUCUAAAUGACAUGCUUAGACAUGAUCUAAAAUGAUAGAUUAAAUCAAAAUCUGAAUGACAAAUCUAGCAAGACGAGUCUCAUAUUAUCUGAUGCUUGUGAGUGUGCUUAAGCCUGAGAAGAAUGUCAGAGCUUAAAGAAAAAAAAAAUGUGACACCCCAAGUUGUGAGUGUGCUUAAGCCUGACGAGAACAUCAAUGCUUAAAGGGGAGGAAUAAUUUGAAACAGUCCUCUAUAUAAGGUAUAAAAGAACUAAACUUUUUAACCCGAUUAUAAUAUUUUACUAGAUGGCUAGGCAUAAAAAGUUAAGAGGAUUAAUCGUGCUAGAGUUGGAAUAGUUCUAGGGUGAAUGACCCUAAGAAGCAGGGCAUCACUCAUGGAUUAGCUAAUGUGAGUUAGGGAAUUAGCUUGGUAAGUUUUAGCUGGCUAGCUAUGUUCUUGGAAAAAAAAACCAAAGCCAUUUUUAGGCUCUUUAUGUGCAUCACUUGAUGGCAGUUUCAAGUAAUGUUUUUUUUUUUUUUUUUUUUUUUUUUUUUUUUUUUUUUUUUUUUUUUUUUUUGAGGAAAAGAUAGCACGCUACCCGCUUCAUUCAUUUAGUAUAUAAACUUAGCUACAUGGGUGAGCCAACAAGGCCUCAAGGGUGGCGGAAAACGAGCUGGAAAAAAAAAAAAAAGUAAUGUUGCUAGCUAGUAGGUCUGCAUCUUGCCUAUGUUGCGAAGGUCUGUUUGGUGCAAAUCACAAUUGAAAUUUAUAGGUGUUGUAUUUAUACGCUUUAAUAAAUUGGUUAUUCAUUUUCUUUUAGCUUGAGCUUAAUUUUGUUACAGUCAUUAGAAUUUCAUCUGAUUCUUUCAAUCCAUUUAUAUUUGGUUCUCAUCUGAUUUAGACUAGAUUUUCUAUAUCAGUUUUGUCCAAUUCCCAUAUAAUUAUCAAGGGGCAUGUUAAAAAUAACUAGUGCAGGGAACCGCGCGAUGCGGCAGAUAAAUCUUUGUUGGAGUAGCAUAUCUCAAAUUAGGGUUUAUAAGAUCUGUACAUAAUCGUGCUCCCAAAAUUGAGGAUUUACACUGAUUGAUCGAUGGAAUCUAGCUCAAUUAGGGAUCAUUCUUUGUAUCUUUCAAUAUGUUUGAUCUUGAUCACUUCUUCUUCCUCUUCGAUCGAUCCUUCAUGAUCUUAAGAGAGAUUGGGGAGUGAAGAGCGAGGUUGAAAAAGGGAAAAGGUCCCGCUCCCUGUCGUGUUCCCGGUCUUGAUCUUCGUCACGCCACCACCACACUGAGGGAAGUGCGGUGAUCGAGGGGGAGACAACUUGUAAGGGUUUAUAUAAAAGAGAAGUGGGAUUUCAAGUUAGAUUUUGAUGAGUUUAGAAAAAAGCAUGAAAACCAAACAGAUUGAAUGGAAAACCACAAAGUCCCUAAAAAUUGUCUUCUACCGAAGAGACGGAAAGAAAAAUAACACGAUCUUUAAAAAAGGGCAAGUUUAAAGAAAGGAGAUGAGUAAUAAAGGAGGUGAGCCCCACAACUAAGGCAAACCUACCACAUGGACAAAAUUAUGGAAAUUAAUAAGAAUUUAUAGAAUUAUAAAUAGUUCCACAUACGGGAAAGCAAAAAAAUUAUUCUAACCUUUAUUAAAUAUGAGGGAUUUCUUCCUCUAUUAAGCUUAAGCUUAUGCGUUUUGCCAGUGUCUGCCGCGAACGAACCGGCCCCGCCGUAGAUUGUUUCUAGGACGAGUGGUCAUUCAUGGUAGAGGUUAAGUUUGUUUAAAUUUUCAUUUUGAAAUCAGGAUUAUAGGUUCAUGGCUUCCAACAGACUCAAGAAUCUGCUGUUAAUUACCCCACACUUUCAGUGUUAAGGAAUCCUCGAUUAAGAGACCAAAUAUGAAUGCUGAUAAUAAAAGAGACAAAACAGGCAAAUAAAAUUUUAUUAAUAUGAUUUGCUGUAUACAUGGCUUAGGCAGGGGCAUACCCCCACUGUACAUGAAUUUUUCAAUUUAGCGAAUUAGUGGUUGAUUGAAGUUUUGAUUUAUUGAAUCCUAAAUAUAUGUAUUAGGAUUCAGUUGGAUUUGAGAUUGAUUAGAUCCUAAGUAUAUGUGUUAAGACCUAGUCGAUCUUAGACUCUAUGUAUUAGAGUCUAAUUGGCUCUAAGUAUAUGUCUUAGAGUCCGAUUAUGUCCACCUUGGUUAUAUGUUCCAAGAUGGAGAUGUGACCAGACCUCAAGUAUAUGUAUUGAGGUGGGUCGAAUUACCCGAAAGUAGAGAGUGGCUAAUUCCUGAGUAUAUGUAUCAGGAUUAACCGAGUUUCACUCUAGUUAUAUGUGCUAGAAUGAAGAUCUGACUAAACCCUAAGUAUAUGUAUUAGGAGUAGUCGGAUUUGAACUCUAAGUAUAUGUAUUAGAGCUCGAUCGGGUAUGGGUUUCACUCUAGGUAUAUGUGCUAGAGCAAAAGACUGACUAGACCCUAAGUAUAUGGGUUAGGACUAGUCAAGCACGGUUUGACUUCCACUCUAGGUAUAUGUGCUAGAACAAAAGACUGACUAGACCCUAAGUAUCUGUGUUAGGGUUAGUCGAGCAUGGCUUGACUUCCACUCUAGGUAUAUGUGUUAGAGCAAAAGACUGACUAGACCCUAAGUAUAUGGGUUAGGGUUAGUCGACCAUGGUUUGACUUCCACUCUAGGUAUAUGUGCUAGAGCAAAAGGCUGACUAGACCCUAAGUAUGUGUGUUAGGGUUAGUCGGAUGAACUCUAAGUAUAUAUGUUAGAGUUCGAAUAAACUUGAUAUCAUUUGACUGAAUUCUAAGUAUAUGACUUAGAACUCUGUCGAUUUGGAGAUGUUUCGCCUUAGUUAUAUGUGCCAAGGUGAUUGACAUAGCCCUAAGUAUAUGUAUUAGGGGUAGUCGAUAUUUAAUUUUUACUCUAGGUAUAUGUGCCAGAGUAAAAAAAAGGUUCACGAUAAGAUUUGGGUAUUGGCUCAUGAGAUUUGAGUAUUGGCUCAUGAAUUUGGAUAUGGUUUAUGAAUCUGGUGUGUGGACUCGGUUCAUGAACUUGGAUAUGGUUCAUGGAUUUGGUGUAUGGAUUUGGUUCAUGAACUUGGAUAUGGUUCAUGGAUUUGGUGUAUGGAUUUGGUUUAUGAACUUGGAUAUGGUUCAUGGGUUUGGUGUAUGGAUUUGGUUCAUGAACUUGGAUAUGGUUCAUGAAUUUGGUGUAUGGAUUUGGUUCAUGGUUCAAGGAAUUUGGGUUUAGUUUAACGACUUUUCGGUCGUUUGGAUUUGGGUUUAGUUUAAUGACUUUUCGGUCGUUUGAAAUUUGGGUUUAGUUUAAUGACUUUUCAGUCGUUUGAAAUUUGGGUUUAGUUUAAUGACUUUUCGGUCAUUUGAAAUUUGGGUUUAGUUUAGCGACGUUUCGGUCGUUUGAAAUUUGGGUUUAGUUUAGCGACGUUUCAGUCGUUUGAUUUGAUUGUUUAGUUUAACGGCUUUGCGGUUGUUUGAUUUGAACGACUUUGCGGUCGUAGGUUUUAUUUGUGGACUUUUCGGUCGUAGGUUUUGGCAUUUUAUUUGUGGACUUUGGGUUUUGGGAUUUAUUUGUGGACUUUGGGUUUUGAAAUUUUAUUUGUGGACUCUGGGUUUUGAAAUUUAUUUGUGGAUUUUGGUUUUGGAAUUUAUUUGUGGACUUUGGUUUUGGAAUUUAUUUGUGGACUUUGGUUUUGGAAUUUAUUUGUGGACUUUGGGUUUGGGUUGGCUUAAACCUCUUGUAUUUGAUUUGGGAUGAACCGUUAUGUUUUGGUUCGGGACCCAUCAGGACUUGGUUUGGGUUGGAUUCUUUAUAGUUUGGUUCGGAUUGGACGACUUUGGUUCGGGUCGGAUCCUUCAUGGUUCGGUUCGGGUCGGAUCCUUCAUGGUUUGGUUCGGAUCGGACCACUUGGGUUCGAGUCGAGUCCUUCCUGGUUGGGUCGAGUUGAAUCCUUUAUGGCUUGGUUUAGACCAGAUCUGGUUCGGUUCAGCUUGGAUCGGAUCUGCUUCGGUUUAAAUCGAAUCCAUUAUAAUUUGGUUCAGACAGGAUCCAGUUCGGUUCAGCUUGGAUCGGAUCCACUUCAGUUCGAGUUGAAUCUUCUAUGGUUCGGUUCAAAUUAGAUCCACUUCGGUUCAAGUCGAAUCCUUUGCAGUUUGGUUCAGAUCGGAUCCACUUUGGUUCGAAUCGAUUGCUUCCUGGUUCGGUACGGAUUGGAUCCACUUCGGUUCAAGUCGACUCCUUCCUGGUUCGGUUCAAGUCGGAUCCACUUAGGUUCAAGUUGACUCCUUCCUGGUUCGGUUCAAGUUGGAUCUACUUCGGGUCGAGUUGAAUCCUUUGUGGUUUGGUUGGACCGGAUCUGGUUCGGUUCAGUUCGGAUCGGAUCGACUUCGGCUCAAGUUCAAGUUGAAUUCAUUAUGAUUUGAUUCAGACGGGAUUCGGUUCGGUUCAGUUCUGAUCGGAUCCACUUCGGGUCGAGUUGAAUCCUUUAUGGUUUGGUUCGACCAGAUCUGGUUCGGUUCAGUUCGAAUCGAAUCCACUUCGGCUCAAGUUCAAGUCGAAUCCAUUAUGAUUUGGUUCAGACGGGAUCCGGUUCGGUUCAGUUCUGAUCGGAUUCACUUUGGCUAAAGUUGAAUCUUGUUGGGUUCGGUCCAGAGAGGAUCCGGUUUGGUUCGGAUCCGGUUUGGUUCAGUUCUGAUCGGAUUCACUUUAGUUCAAAUUGAAUCCUGUUCUGUUCGGUCCAGACAGGAUCCGGUUUGGUUCGGAUCAGGUUUGGUUCAGUUCUGAUCGGAUUCACUUUAGUUCAAGUCAAAUCCUUUAUGAUUCGGUUCCGUUCGGAUCGGACCCACUUCGGUUCGGGUUGGAUCCUUCAUGGUUCAAUUCGGAUCAGACCCACUUCAUUUCAAGUUGAAUCCCUUAUGGUUUGGUUUAAACUGAACCGACUUGUAAUUUGUUCGACUUGGCUUGGCUCGAACCUCUUAUGCUUUUAUUUGAGUUGAACCCGGCAUAUGCUUUGGUUCGGCUUGACUUGGAACCCUUCUGUGGUUCAGUUCAAUUUGAACUAACUCGUGGUUCGGUCUACUUGAUCUUCAUGUGGUUCAGUUUGAGUUGAACCAACUUGUAAUUCUGUUCAGGUCGAACCGGUUUAUUAUUUGGUCCAAAGUUUUUGAACCUUAGUUCGAUUUGAGUUGAAUCGGCUUAUAAGUAAGUGAUGAAUUGGACCAAUUUCAAAUAGUCCAAAUCCAACUCUUUUAUUUCUUGUAUUUUUUUUUUUAUUCCUUUUCUUUUCUUUAUUUUUUUUUGUUCUUCCUUUCUUCUUUUUUUUUUUCUCUUUUUUUUUUGCUGAUUCUUCCUUUCUUUUUUUUUCUUUUUUUUUUGACUGCCAAAUCCCUCUCUCUCUGUAUGAAACCGAGAGAGAGAGAGAGAGAGAGGAAUUCUCCUCUGUCAUUUUUUCUUUGUUUUUGAUUCUUCUUUCUUUUCUUUUUUUUUCUUUAUUUUUUUUUUGACCGAGAGAAAUAAAAAAAACUCUUCUUUUUUUUUGUUUUUCUUUUCUUUCUUUUCUUUUCUUUUUUUGUUGUUUCUUUUUUUUCUUUUUUUAUUCACUUCUCUUUUUUUUAUAGUCCAAAUAUACGAAAUUAAUCACGUAGAGUCAUACGAUCGAAUCGAACGAAAAUGUCGAAUCCAAACGGAACCCGUUAUUUUUUAUUAUCAUUUAUUGUAUCACAUUUUGUUCAAGUACGCGGAUUUAUCGUGUCCGAGCCUAUCACGAAGAUGGCGCUCGAUUUACGCUUUCGACCAUGUCGAGCCUAUCGCGAAGAUGGCGCCACGGUUUUAUGUUUUCGACCAUGUCGAGCUAUCAUCGCAAGAUGGCCCGCACGGUUUACACUUUGACUAUGUGAGUCUCAUCGCAAAGAUGGCCGCAUGAUUUUUUUUAUAACCAUUAGUCGAGUCCUAUUCACGAGCGAUGGCGCACGGUUUAGUAGUAAUAUGUCCGGUGUUCAAUCAAUCAUUUUGACCAUGUCAGAGGCCUAUCGCGAGAUGGCCGCACGGUUAGAGAUUAGCGAUGCAUACGUACGGCGGGAGUCGACUUAGUAUAAAAUUGAUCGGUUCGAAACCUAUCACGAAGAUGGUCAGGUUGAUCAAACCAACAAAAAGCCACUUGCACUAUUCGUAUGCAUGCAUUUCUCUUGUUGUCAUUGGGGAAGUCGCCAUGAUCGCCGUCGUCAUCGUCGUCGUCGGAAUCGUCGUAGCCGUCGCCGCCGUGAGUGAAAGAGCAGCUUUUUUUUUUCUUUUUUCUUUUUUUUUUUUUACUGGUUCGGAUUUUGGGGGAGGGGUGUGCACACUGCACACCCCCUCCUUUUUUUGUUGCUAGCGCGCAGAGGGGAGGAGCGGGUCAAAUACUCUUGUGGACAAGUAAAAAGGAAAAGAACAAAAGAAAGUUUUUUUUUUAUUCAUUCCUUUUCUUUGCUUUCAUUCCUUUUCUUUUUUUUAUUUCCUUCUUUUUUUUUGAAUCUUUCCUUUUCCCAUUUCAUUCCUUCUUUAUUUUUAAUUUGAAUUUUGAAUUUUUUUUUGUCUCAAACAGCCAGAGCCCUUUAAUAUACAUUUAGACCUUUCAUUGGCGAAAGAUGGAGAUAGCAAGCGGAGAACAUCCUAGAGGUUUUAACUAAUGUGAAAGAACUAGUUAUCAUGUACACAUUUACUAGCGAAAGCAGAAUUUCUCAUAAAUGUUGGAAAAACUCAAAAUUUUCUAAUAUACAUAUUAUUUAUUUAUAUUUGUAUAUUUAUUAUUUUGAUGUUUAGAGCCGUUUGGAAUUCGAGAGCGGCGCGGACGUUACGCGCCAUAGUGCGCGUCGUCAGGCGUGAAAGCGCUCGAAGGCGGACUUUCCGGAGCCGAACGUUGGAGUCCAUCUCGUACUCACCUUAUACGUAUAGAUGUUGUCCUUCACCUUGACACAAGGGGAUGAAAAGGACAAAAGAGCUCACAGAGAGAGCUACUAAUUAAUUAUUUUGAGAUUUGAUUUAAUUUUUUUAUUCAUUUUAUUUGAUAUCGCCGAGUGUUGAAAGAAGCUUCGUCAACCUCUUCCGCGUUCGUGUUCGUAGGAGCAGAAAUUCCAGUCGUAUCUUGGGGCGGUGUUUCCAGUUAAUCCUGCACGAAGGACGGGAAUAAGUCUUAGAACAGUGCCUCGCACGCUUCCGGAUAAGAUCAAAUCUUUAUUGAAAUAUUUGCGUUUAUCUGUAAGUUCAAUUUUAUCUUUAUUACAAAUUAGUUAGAUUUUUAAUCGCAAUCGAAUUUUCGUUGCGGUAUUUGUUCCAACAAUAAAUCCACAUAGCUAUGUCGACAAACUAAAAGUAUUAUUGAUGAAAAAAUAUGCAGUACUAUGUGAAUCCUCAAAAAGUUUAAUUUACCUGUUAAGUUAAUAUUAAUUUCUGCUAUAUUAUUCUCACCGCACCAAAAAUCUCUUUUAAUUCACAAAUGCCCUAGCUAGGAAGAUUGAACAAGGAUAUGAUCGGUAAAAUAUUUAAUUAAGUAACACACAAAGCAUCUAUGUUUACUCAGAGUAAGCCAAGGGCAUAGCUACUGUCCCUUCUUUCUAGCUGGCUCCAACUACUAAACAGCAACAAAGACAUGCACAUGUUUGACAACUACUCCACAUGCUUUUCCCAUAUACACCAAAUAGAAACUGCCUAUACUUGUUAACCACUACCCACAUGGCACAUAUGGUAAUAAUAUUGUGUUCACAAAGUGAUAGUGCAUUCCACAUGAUCUUUCCCACGCUUUUAGCUGUGUAAAAACAUGUAACCUCAAAUUCAAAUCAUUGGAGAGCUCCAUUCAACCUAAAAUGUUCACACAUCCACAUGGUCAGUAGUCAACAACACUAACCUGGAGUUUUCUAAAACCCUCUAUUUAUAGCAACAUGUAGCUCUAAAACAAACCUCAAUACACUCUCCAUUCCUUUGUUCUUGUGGCACCAUGGCUUCAGUGAGAGCUGCAUUGGUCUGCAUUGCGUCGAUGGCAGCGAUGGUGCGGUUUGCGAGGAGCGCGGACUACACGGUCGGCGGGCCGAGCGGUGGGUGGGACACGAGCACCGAUCUGAAGACGUGGGCCACAAAUCAGAAGUUGGCCGUCGGAGACAGCCUGAGUAAGUAUAUUCUUUUUAGUUAGUUAGACUCAUGCUGAUUUUCUAGCCAUGGUUGAAAAGCCAUUACCAUGAAAUGUUUGAUGAUACUUUUUUUUUUUUUACUUUUUUAUGCCCUCCCCCAAGAAAAUUACAGCAACAAACUUUAAAGAUUAAUGCAGCUUAUUUCUUAAAUAUAAGAUUAUACGACCCCAGUUAAAAGAGUAGUUUAAAAUUUUGUUCAGACUAUUUCUUGACUCUUCUUUUAGGUAACAGAGUUGUUCUGAUGAAAAUGAAGCUAUAAACCAGUUACUAUGAUAAUAUGCUUAUUUACGCAUUUAAAAGUAUCACUUUUCAAUUCCUUGCAUUUUUUUAGAUUUUAGCCAACAUUUUAGCCUUAAAGAUCAAAAUCCACAUUUAGUUUGCUCUUCUUCCAAUUUCGUUUGUCGCGCGCCUUAGGCUCAAAAGCUAUUUUAAUGAGUCGCUGUAAAGUGCUAGUUUGUGGUCCCUUGGGCACACUUGUCCUUGUGAAUGAAGUUGUCAAACCAUAAAAAAAUGGGCAACUUAAAUGCGGUAUAGAUAAAUUUAUCUAAAAUAUAAAAAUUUAUAUUUUAACUCACUUAUUAUAAUACAUGCAACGUGGAACAUUUAUUUAUUUAUUUAUUUAUUAUUUAUUUAUUUUUCUGAGAGAUAGAUAGUACGCUACUUGUUUCGUUUAUUUCAUUUAAAAAUAAAUUUAGCUAGAAAUAUGAAUCAAUUAGGAUUCGAACUUGGGAUCUCGGGUACCAACCACCGAGCCUUUUGCCACUUGGAACAUUUAUUAACAUAUUAAGAAAGUUUUUGGCAGUGGUCCCAUGCACAAAAGGGCUUUAUUUCUGAAUCUCAAAACAUUUCGUCCUGAACAACUCCAGUACACAUAAAAUAGGUGCAAAACUUAUAUCAUACUUUUCUAAACACUUCUCUUUCCCACUAGAUCCCAUUUACAAUAACUUAGUUUCUCAAUUGCUAAUAUUGUUUCAAAAUCUAUGCUAGCCGUGCAACCAAAAGUUGAUUGUAAUGAUACAACUCUCCAAUGCAAUUGUUAUGGUGGUAGGCACACUCAAAACAUCACCACACUUGUUAUGGUGUGUGUGAUUCACAAAAAAAUUAAAAAUAGCAAAGAAGAGAUGCGGUAGAAUAAUAUAAAGAAACUGAAUCAAUUGAUGGAUCCUCUCUCUGAUACAUUAAUGGCCUAGCUGGUUACCAAUAUAAAUAGGUAGUAGUGCUAAUAAUCCAACAAAUUGAUUAACAACCCAACUAACACAUGUUUAUCAAACUAAACAAAUAAAGGAUUAUUCUAAGUAACUAAUUUCCUAACAAAUAGUUUGGUCUUAUCUUCAACACACACCUAUAAGACCAAACUCGUUGAUGCCAAGUCCUUCACGACACCAAACGAAUUUCUCCACUAGUAAUGACUUAGUGAAAAUAUCUGCUAGUUGCUGGUCAGUUGAACAAUGCUUCAACACGAUAUUGUCGUUUGCCACCUGGUCUCGAAUAAAAUGGUAUUGAAUUUCGAUAUGCUUGGUGCGAUUUUGGUGCACUGAGUUCUUUGUCAGGCGAUCAGAGAUUGGUUGUGGCAGUAGAUGACUGUCUAGUCCGUUUGGUUCUGCUUUAGAUUGCAUAAAAUUCGCCGCAACCAAAUUGCCUGGAAAGCUGCACCAGUAGCCGCAAUAUAUUCGGCCUCAGAAGAAGAUAACACCGUUGUGUGUUGUCUUUUUUAGGACCAACACACCGCAUUCGAACUGAGCUUGAACACAUAUCCACUUGUGCUCUUACGGUCGUCGAUAGAACCUGCCCAAUCACUGUCAGAAAAACCAAAAAGAGAAAAAACGUUAGAAUUAGUGAACCAUAAUCCAUGGCCACUAGUCCCCUUCAAAUAUCGUAUGAUCUGCUUUGCAGCACCCAAAUGGAUUUUACUCAGAUUUUGCAUAAACCGAGAAAGCAAACUUGUCGAGAAUAAAAUAUUUGGCCUCGUGUGUGUCACAUAUAGUAAACUCCCAAUUAGACUUCUGUAAUUAUUGACAUCAACUUUUUCAGCACUGUCAUUAACUAACAACUUCAAAUUUGUUCCCAUCGGAUUUGCCACUGAAUUACAAUCCUUCAAACCAAAUCUAUCAAGUAAUUCAGAUAUGUACUUCUUUUGAGAAAUAAAAAUUCCUUUCUCUGAUUGUACAACUUCAAGACCCAAAAAAUAGUUCAUCAAAUUGAGAUCCAUCAUUUCAAACUCUCACACCAUAUGAGACUUAAAUUCAUUAAUCAUUUUUUGCGAGUUACCAAUAUAUAUUAAAUCGUCAACAUAAAGACAAACAAUCAAAACUUCUGUACCUUAGGUCUUCACAUAAAGUGUAUGCUCACUUUCACUUCAGCUAAAAUCAUUUUGAAGAAAAUGGGCAUCAAUUCGACUAUUCCAAGCCUGCGGCGCCUGUUUGAGUAGAUACAAUGCCUUCUUGAGCCUAUACACUUUAUUUUCCAUAUCUUUAAUUUCAUAUCCUUGAGGUUGCUUAACAUAAAUUUCAUCAUCCAAAAAAUCAUCUAAAAAUGCAUAUUUAACAUCAAGUUGAAAAACUUUCUAUUUAUAUUGUGCCGCAAGAGCCAAAACUGUUCUUAUUGUAUCAAAACGAGCAACUCGAGCAAAGGUUUUAGAAAACUCAAUACCUUCUCGUUGUAAAUACCCUUCGGCAACAAUUCUAGCCUUUAAUUUUUGAAUGGAUCCGUCAGGCUUGAACUUGGUUUUGUAAAUCCACUUUAAGCCAAUAGCUUCUUUAUCUGGGGGUAGAUCUACAAUUUUCUAUGUUUUUCCGCUCCAACGCCGAUAUCUCCUCAUUCAUUGCUUUGCACCAAUCUGGUGAGUUCACUGCAUCUUCAAAGAUCUCGGGUUCUAAUGUAGAACUGAAUUGGUACACAUCUAUUCUUUUAUAAAUUUCCUCCCGCGACCUCAUCCUUGAUGGAGAUGAUUCGGGAGAUGAACUUGUUUUAGGGCUUGCUAAAGUGUGAGCGGGGCUCGAACUAGCACUUUCCGUCUCAUUAGUCGUAGGCAAUUCUCCAUCAACCAUUCCAAUAAGUCGAUCCUGUACAACUUCAUCCAUCUGCCAACUAUUUUGUUCAUCAAAUAUUACAUCACGACUAAUUACUAAAGAACAUGAAAUGGGAUUAUAAUGUCUAUAUGCCUUACUUCUAUCACUGUAUCCCAUAAAAAUGCAUUUUUGUAAAUUAUCAUCCAACUUCUGUCGUUUUUGAGAUGGUACAUGGACAUAAGCGAUAGAGCCAAAAAUUUUAAAAUGUUUUACUUUCGGCUUUCGUUUGAUCCAUGCUUUAUACGGAGUAAUAUUCUCCAAAAAUGAUGUAGGACUCUAGUUUAAAAUGUAAACCGCUAUAGAAACUGCUUCCGCCCAAAAUUUUUUUGGUAGUUGUUUAGCCUUCAACAUGCUCUUGGCCAUCUCUACCAGACUUCUAUUUUUCCUUUCCGCUACUCCAUUUUGCUGUGGGGUGUAACUCGUCGUCAAUUGCCUAUGAAUUCCAGUUUCUUCACAAAAAGCUUCAAAUUUGUUAGAAAUAAAUUCACCGCCUCUAUCUGUCCGGAAAGUUUUUAUAUUAUAACUCAAUUCUUUUUCCACCAUAUUUUUAAAUUUUUUAAAAAAUAAGAAAGCAUCGGAUUUUUUUUUUUUUAUAAAAUCAACCCAAGUCAUAUGACUAUAAUCAUCAAUGAAUAUCACAAAAUAAACAAUAUUAUUUAAUGCGAGGAUUUGCAUAGGGCCACACACAUCUGCAUGUACUAAAUCCAACGGGUUCUUUGCCUUCCAUGAGCUUCUGUUUGGAAAAGAAUUUCGAUGAUACUUUUCGCGUAUGCAGUUUUCACAAAGCGAUUCGUCAUGUGCAAUUAGUGGCAAACUGUCAACCAUAUCCUUCUUAUGUAGAAGCUCCAAUCUGUCAAAACUCAAAUGCUUAAACCUUUCAUGCCACAACCAAUUUUCAUCGAUAGAUGCCUUCAUAAUAUGACUUUGAAAAUUAACAUGCAUAGAAAAAAUCUUAUUUUUUGCCAUGGAAAUUUAAGCAAGUAAUUUCUUUUUCUUAUCAUCUUCAUAAAUAAGGCAUUUAGAAUUUUCAAACACUAAAGAAUAUCCAAACGCAAGAAACUAGCCAAUACUAAAUAAAUUUGCAUCUAAUUCAGGAACAUAAAGAACAUCCGAUAUUUUAGUAAUUUUGAAAAAAUUUACCUUCACCACUCAUUUUCCUUGUGCUUCACGAACUCGGCCAUCUCCCAUUUUGACCAGUUUCUGUAUCGAUCUGUCCAUCUCAAUAAAUAGAUCUUCUCUUCCUGUCAUUUAAGCACUACAACCACUAUCCAAAUACCAGAUAUUUUCUGAACAAUUGUUUAUAGUAUAACAAGCAAAAAGGACAUCAGAUUCUGCAUACUUAGCAUUAAUCGAUGCAUUGUUCUCCUUUUUUAAUCUACAAAAUUUUUCAGUGUGGCCAUAUUUCUUACAAUAAUAGCAUUGGAUAUUCUUAUAAGUGUUACCUCGAUUGGAUCCAUAUGAUCUAUCGCUACUUCGUUGAUCUGUCGCCCCAGAUCUACCUCCACCUCUAUUUCCGUGGCCACGGCCACGAUCAUGUCCUCUACCACGAUCUCGAUACGAUGAUGCUUGUUGAUUACAAUCUGUAUUAUUUUUUUCUACAUCUUGCGAAAUAUUCAACUGAGUCUUAAAGCAUUCUCGAUAAAAUUUUUAUGAGGCCUAUCCAUCCAUUCUUCAUGUGAUAAAAGAGAUCCAAGUAAUUCACUACAUGAAUAUUUAGAAAAGUCUUUUGACUCUUCUAUUGCUGAAACAACAUGCUCAUACUUGUGUGUUAAGCUUCGUAAAAUUUUUUCAACAACAGUUUCAUCAGUAAUAGUAUAACCAUAAGUACGCAUCUGUGUAACGAUUUCCAUCGUUCUUGAAAAGUAAGAAUGAAUAUUUUUACCUUCUUCUAUAAAAGUGGUUUCAAACUUUCUUUUUAAGGUCUAAAGCUUAACUUUUAAUACUUAAUUUAGUGGUAUCUUGAUACUCGAUUUGUAGUGUGUUCUAUGCUUCCUUUGCUUUCUUAGCCGCAACAAUAUGAGGAAAAAUUUCUUCAUCAACGGUUUGCUGAAUAAGGAACAUCGCCUUAGCAUCCUUCCUUGCGGUAUCUGGGCUCGCAUCUGUGGACCCUUUCUCCACAAGAUUCCAUCGAUCUUGUGACCGUAAGAGCGUCUUCAUCUUGACGCACCAGAAAUCAUAGUUCACCCCUUUGAAUAUUGGGAGAACCGGUUGAGAUCCGCCGACACUGUUGACCGUCAUUGUCUUCUUCUUACGACAAAACCUCACUCUGAUUCCACUUGUUAUGGUGGUAGGCACACUCAAAAGAUCACCACACUUGUUAUGGUGUGUGAUUCACAAAAAAAUUAAGAAUAGAAAAGAAGAGAUGUGGUAGAAUAAUAUGAAGAAACUUAAUCAAUUGAUGGAUACUUUCUGAUACAUUAAUGGCCUAGAUGGUUACCAAUAUAAAUAGAUAGUAAUGCUAACCCGACAAAUUGAUUAACAACCCAACUAACACAUGUUUAUCAAACUUCAAACUAAACAAAUAAGGGAUUAUUCUAAGUAACUAAUUUCCUAACAAAUUAUUAGGUCUUAUCUUCAAUAGCAAUGACCUAUAUUCUUUUAUUAGUUUUAUUACUUGUUUUUCAAUUAUUAAAAUUUAAAAAAUAUUUCAAAUCCUAAGAUUAGGAUGAUAACCUUUGGAUCAAAAAGUUCUAACCUAAAUAACCUCUUUGGGCUGUAAGAUUUGGCAUCUCUCUUUUUCUGGUAACUCAUUUUACAUUCAUUUCUUCGUGCAGCUUUCACGUACCAAAGUUUCCACGAUGUCGUGGAGGUAAAAAAAUCCGGCUAUGACUCCUGCAGCGCGGCCAACUCCCUGGCCACCUACACCGGCGGCCGCACUGCCAUCCCGCUGGCCUCGCCCGGCAAGCGCUACUUCAUCUGCGGCGUCCCCGGCCACUGCACUGCCGGCAUGAAGCUUGAAGUCGACGUCCUCCCCUCCGCCGCCUCCCCCCCACCGACCGCCACCGCGUCCCCACCCCACUCGCCCAAACAUAGCAGCAACAAUAGGCACAACAGCAAGCCGCCUGCCGCCUCCCCUGCGAAUGCGCCGACGUCGUCGGAGGCCAUCUCGGCACCGCCCGAGCGUAGUUCAGACUUUCAGCCCGUGAAGGCUGCGCCUGCAGCAGCACCUACGUCUGCGGCUGCAGUUGCCGGCUGUGGCCGGUGGGUGAAUGUUGCCUUAGGCGCCCUUGCUGGGCUAGGUCUGCUCGCAGUAGUGAACCUGUGAGAAAGAGGGUGAAAUAAAUUUGGACUUAUUAGUGUGUAAAUUAUCAUUGAGACGUGGUUUUUUUUUUUUUUUUUUUUUGGGAUCAGUUAGUGUUUUUUUAAUUUAUUACUAUGUACCUGAGUUUAAUGAGACAUGAUCAUAUCCGUUAUUAUUUUGGGGGUAAAUUACACACCAUUGCUUAACAGUUGAAUGGCUAGCAAAUAUUGUAAUGUUAGGCGAAAUUAGGUGCCUCAUUGUUACUUCAUCAAAAGAAUUAUUGGAGGGGCUACGGCGGCGGUGGCCCGCGGGGGAGGGAAAGCGUGGGCCAACGACGACGGCAGCCUGCGUGGGGGUGGCGGGUGCAGGAAGUGGGGGUGAGGUGAUGGUGGGGGAGGGUGGGUGUGUGGACUGAGAGUGAGAGAGAAAAGAGAAAUUAAAAAAGAUAGAAAAAAUUGAGGAAAAAAAUUUUAGAAAAAAUGAAAGAUUAAUUUUAACCGUCCAUCAAAAGUCAUAGAUGAUGAGAAAUUUAGGAACACAAAAAUUGUUGCGCUCUAAUUAAUUGAGUAAUAACACAGCAGUACUACUACAAAAAACCACUUAAUUAAAAUAAACCUAAUUGAAAUAGAAGUUAAACUUCAAUAAAUAAAUUAAAGUUCAGUGAUUAGAAUAAAAUUUCAACGAUGGUGUGACUGAUUAAAAGUUAUGGAAAUUCCGUGGAUCUAUCUAGAUCUAUCAAAUAUCUAGAGGAAGGUUAAUAGGUAUGAACGUCAAAAUUUUGAAACUCGAUACAAUAAAAAUAAAUACGAAAAAUAAAAAUAGUACAUCGAGAUUUAUGUGAAAAAAUUUCAACUUUGAAAAAAAAAGAACUCACAGGACAAACAUGUGAUAACAAUCCACUAAGAAAAAAAAUUAUAAGGUGAUUAUCAACUUCAUGAGUUCAAACCUCUCUUUUAUUUUCUCUGAAUCUCGUGCUAUUCAAUGGCUAGUCCACGCCUCACAAUCAAAUCCACGAACGCCACUCGAAUUCACGAGCACCAACGGUUCGUAUCUACAAAUCAUCUUUAUCACGUCGAAUCUACGAGUUCUACUCGAAACCACAAGCUCACUCCAUUUGGAACAAGAUGAAUAAGAUUGGUGAUGAUUUAUUGCUUAAAAUAUUAUUAAAAAUCUGUGGGAAUAAUUUCUAAGCAAUUCUCAAAUUGAUUCUAAAACAAUAUUAAGAAUUAGGGUACCAAUAACCAAUUUGAGAGAAACUUAUUGUAGAAGAUGAGAAAGAAGGGUUACCUUUAAGCUUUUAAGAUUUCAAAAAGAUAAUCUAUACUUAACGCUGUUUUAAAGACACCCCAAUGUUUUAUUUAUAGGUUCGGAAGCAAUUAGAAUCGUUCUAGAAUUGAAAACCUAACUUUAAAAAAUUUGAUGCGGGUUCGGGGUUCUGACUCUUUUACAGGGUUGGAACUUUGAUACCUUCUAGAGUAUCAAGGUCCGGAUGCUCUCUGCAAGGUUUGGAUCCUGCCAGCUUCAAAGUCCUUAUCUUUUUUUCAGAAUCCUAACCUUGACAGGAUCUUGACUUUCAAAAAUUUUGGCGUUUAGUAUUAUAAUUUUUUUUCAAUUCCAAUGAUUUACAAUGACUUAAAUAUAUUCAUAAAUCAUCAUUAAUAUUAUAAAAAUUUAUCGAGUACCAUGAAUUUAUAUGUUGAGUUUUUGAGUCUUCAACUUAAACUAUUCCUUUUCGAUUCUUCAAGACUCUCACUCCAUGAAAUAUAUCAAUAUAAAAUCCGUAACACUGACGGUGGAACGUACCUUUUUUUAGGAUUAAUUAGUACACCAUUGGUCCCUAACCUUUGCACCGUUUUUUAAUUUGGUUACCAAUUUUUUUUUUGUAAUCAAAUCCUUAAUCUCUUAAUUUUAGUCCAAUUAAGUCCCAGCUGUUAGAAAAGUAUUAAAAGACAAAAAAUGCCGUGUAAGCAACAUGUCAGCGCUACAAAGGCGCCAUGUCAGUGCCACAGAAGUGUGCUACGUUAGCACCAGCUAAUUAUAUAAUUUAAAUUUAAAUUUUUAUACUAUAAAUUUAAAUUAUAAAUUAAAUUUAUAAUUAAGGGAUCCUUCCCCAACAUUCCCGACCGUCGUCGUGGCCAAAGAAGGGAGCCUGAGCCCGAGCCCUCUCGUACGGGCUCAGUUUUGUCCCGCGCCGCCACCGCCGGCUAGGGCGAGCGCCGACACCCCAAUAUUUUAUUUAUAGGUUUGGAAGCAAUUAGAAUCGUUCUAGAAUUGAAAACCCAACUUUAAAAAAUUUGCGACGGGUUCGGGGUUCUGACUCUUUAACAGGGUUGGAACUUUGAUACCUUCCAGAGUAUCAAGGUCGGAUGCUCUCUGCAAGGUUUGGAUCCUGACAACUUCAAAGUCCUUAUCUUUUUUUCAGAAUCCUAACCUUGACAGGAUCUUGACUUUCAAAAAUUUUGGCAUUUAGUAUUAUAAUUUUUUUCAAUUCCAAUGAUUUACAAUGACUUAAAUAUAUUCAUAAAUCAUCAUUAAUAUUGUAAAAAUUUAUCGAGUACCAUGAAUUUAUAUGUUGAGUUUUUGAGUCUUCAACUUAAACUUUUCCUUUUCGAUUCUUCAAGACUCUCACUCCAUGAAAUAUAUCAAAUAUAAAAUCCGUAAGACUGACGGCGCAAAGUACCUUUUUUUAGGAUUAAUUACACCAUUGGUCCCUAACCUUUGCACUGUUUUUCAAUUUGGUCACCAAUUUUUUUUUUGUAAUCAAAUCCUUAAUCUCUUAAUUUUAGACCAAUUAAGUCUCAGCGGUUAGAAAAGUAUUAAAAUUGACGAAAAAUGCCAUGUAAGCAACAUGUCAGCGCUACAGAGGCGCCAUGUCAGUGCCACGGAAGUGUGCUGUGUUAGCACCAACUAAUUAUAUAAUUUAAUUUUAAAUUUUAUACUAUAAAUUUAAAUUAUAAAUUAAAUUUAUAAAGGAGCCUUCUCCGACAUUCCCAACCGUCGCCGUGGCCAAAUAAGGGAGCCUAAGCCCGAGUCCUCUUGUACGGGCUCAGUUUUGUCCCGCGCCGCCACCGCCGGCUAGGGCGAGGGCCCUCCGCCCCUUCAUCGGCCGCACCUCCCUGCCACCAGCCGGGCUCAACGCCCUUUCUCCCAGCCUACCUAAUUAGGGCCAUUUUUGGGUCAUCUUCAUUGUUCCGGCAUCCCAAGGCUAUUUCGACGCCUCCGGAGUUGAGCACAGUGACCUCUGGUCGGCACUAAUUAUAGUUCUCACCUCGUUUGCUGUCGAAGGGGCCCGGAUCAACGAGUUCAGCCUUGUUGCUCCCCGUGUGCAUUGCUCGCUGAAGUUCAGCUUGCUCCCGUGUUCCUCAACGAUCCGCAAUGCUCUGGACAGCAAGCAUGGCCUCCGCCUUGUCGAGAUUUAUCAUCCCGAGUCUCGGCUGACCCUAUAAACCCUCGGUUAGUGGUAAGAAACCAUAAUUCUCCUCUAAUGGCAUAUAUUAAUGUGAUUGCAUGUAAUAUUAGGGGCUUUUGUGCAACUUGUUGCAUCAUGGCUGCUGUGGCCAGCGUGUUUAUGUGGUUGAUAACCUUUGGACUGAUCGUCCAAGGUUCGAAGUCCUUCGCGGAGACCUACUAUCGGUUUAGGUGCGUUUUUCGACAAAAUUCAGCUGCAGAAUGUGGUUUCGAGUCGGAUUUUAUCCGACACUGUUGGAACACCCUGAAUGCUGCCACUGAGCCUUGUUGGCUGGUCACCUACAUCGUCUUGAAUGUCUGGAGAUGGUGGGUGAGUGGCGGAGGAUUCCGGUGUCGAAAUUGAUACUUUCGGGAACCCGGAUCAGAGCGAUUAUCCAACGAUAAUCGUUUCGACGUGUGACCUUGGUUUUUGCUGCUAGGACAUCAAAAAUGAUGUGUUUUGAGGUAGCAGGUGACUUAUGACACGAGUCGAUGAGUUUUGGGACACUUCGUGGGUCCCGGUGGCAUCCCGGUGCGAUUUUCAGGAAUUCCGGCGAGUUACGGAGAUUGAUUUUUGGGAAACCGAUUCUGUGAAAGAUUUUGGGGAUUGUGAGUAUUGUAUUUUGAGUUGUCUGACUCCGUGGACCCUUCGUAUGUCCGGUUAACUAUCCUACGCAUCGUAGGGGCUGACACGACAGUGUUACAGAUGGGUAAUUCGAUCAGAAGUCGGUCUAGUGGUGCACACUUGGUGUCGUUCCCUCCACUCUCUCUCUUUUUUUAUUUUUCUUGCAUUACCUAUGAUUAUUGAGCCUAGCACCAUAUGACAUCAUUACAUGUGCCCUACUUAGUUGUUUUUGCAUUCGAUUAUCAUAAUCUAGGAGUAGGGUGGUUGUUGAGUAUAUUUGUGCGUGAUGUGACAUUAGUCGUGACCUAGUUGGUCGACUUUGAGAUUCUGGUUGUUUGAUGACCUAUUCAAUGGGCACACCCCAAGAGGUUGAUUGUUGGCUAUUUGUCGACGGCUAUUAAUCAUAUUUGUAUUGAUCGCUACUGUUCAUACGCAUUUCACGAACACUAGCGGUCUGAUCCACCACAUGAGAGUAUUCUUUUCGAGAAAAGUGGUCGAACUUCCGAUCCGUGAGCCCAAGAGCAUAUUGUCGUGGAUAAAAUAUUUGCUGCUGACUUCCUCUUGACAAUGGCCCAAUCUCACAGGUUUUGCUAGGGCGUCCUAGAAGCUUCUACGCGAAUCUCAAGACUGAUGAUGCAGAUGCCUAAGAGUCAAGAGUCCCUUAGAGUUUCUAGGUGGGCAAUAAUAGUAAUCUCUUGAGAGUUUGUAGCAUCUCUCUUUGCCUUGUAGUUAUGUCCCACUUGGCACCUUUCCAUUUGUUGCCUGGGUGGCGAGUGGCUUAUAUAAGGAUGUGGCCUCCACCCCUCUCCUAAGGAAAUCAGUUGUACUCUCAACUUCUAUCAAUAUACGACAUUCCUCAAACUCUCUCUCUUGUACUUAGUCUUAGGACGAGUAGGUCUAGACUUAGCAAGUAGCUAGAGAGGUAGGCUUACUCACUUCGCGAAUGAAGGCGAGCACUGCACGGGCUAGGCGAACGAUUUUGCUUAAGUCUGUGACAGUUGGUAUCAGAGCAAGAUUGUUGCUGGGACGCCAUGUCGACGUCGGAUGCUCCCGUCAAUGAUGUUGUGCCUAAGCCCAAGGCGACCAAGCGCGGCAAGAGUAAGGAGCCGCGAACUCUGGUAAGAAAGACUGCCUCGCUCGAGGAUUGCAUAAACAUGCUAGAGGACUCUAUAGCGAGGUGGACGAGCAGUACUCCAUCCUAUCCCAACAUGUCGGGAUGAUGGAGGAUGGACUGCAUACCAUGGAGGAUAGCGUCACGGCUGCUAUGGCGACUUUCCACCAACAACUCGAGAAGUUCCGUAGGGACCUCGCCCAUCACGAGGACAAGGGUGCUAGUGGAGGACUUGGUCACUAGGGUCAACGAGGUCAAGGACCUCAAGAUGCGGGUGACCAUUCUUGAGAGGGCGGUGGCUCGAGACGUUGAGACGCAGAAAGAGCGCACCCCAAAGAUCCAUGUACCUGAGCCCCAAUGCUUCAUGGGCAUGCGCGAUGAGAAGGAGAUAGACAACUUCCUAUGGCACAUGGAGCGCUAUCUCAAGGUGCUGCGGUUGGAGGACGAGGAUGACAAGGUCCAAACCGCUUUUAUGUACCUCGCUGACGAUGUGAUGCUAUGGUGGCGAUGGCAUUUCGCAGAGGCCGCGAAGGGCCAAUUCGAACUAAACACUUGGGAGGACUUUGUGCGUGAAUUGAAGGCACAGUUCUACCCCGAGCAUGUCGAAUAUCUUGUGCGGAGGCAAUUUCGACUGCUCAAAUAUCAGGACACACUCAAGGAGUAUGUCCAGGAGUACUCGAAGCUCAUGUUGGUAAUCUCCAGCAUAGCCGAUGAGGAUCAGCUAUUCUUCUUCUUAGAUGGCAUUCAACCGUAGGCCAACAAGGAGCUCGUGGCGUGGAAUGUGAAAGACUUGAACUCCGCGAUCGCUUUGGCCGAGAAGUUGUCCGAGCGGGAGCGAAUCGAGGGCGAUCGAGGUGAACCACAAAAGACGAGCGAGGCCAAAGGUGGGGGAGGACACCGCAAUCUAGGGGGCGCAAAGGGGCACAAGCCAAACCAUGAUGUGAGAAGGCAACAGCAGAAUCCCUCCCCACUACCUGCAAAGAUCACUUGCUAUAUUUACGGCGAGAACCAUUAGGCGCGGGACUGCCCAAAGAGGGGCAACCACAAAGAAAAGCUGGUUCCUGCGGUCCAAGCUGAGGAGGGCGAGGAUGAGGACAUGGUCGAGCUGCCGAGGAUGGGUACGCUAAGGCUCGUCAAUGCAGUUCGAGGUCAGCGAAGUGACGACAAGCUCCGCAGGAGGGAGCUUAUGUUCGUCGAUGUGAUCCUCAACAGGAGAACCACGUAGGUGAUGAUCGACACUGACGCGAUACACAACCUUGUCGCGGAGUCGGAGGCCAAGCGGUUGGGCCACACACUCAAGAAGGAUGCGAGCUACAUCAAGGCGAUCAACUCCAAGCUGCGGCCAAUCGCAAGAGUUGCCAAGAGCUUAGAGAUAGCCAUCGGCCCAUGGAGAGGCAAGGCUAAUCUCAUUGUUGGGCCGCUCGACGACUUUGGAGUGAUCCUCGGGAUGGACUUUCUCUUUUCGUUGAAAGCGGCACCCAUGCCACACUUGCGGGUGCUGAGCUUCUUGGACCAGUCACCACCGUGCAUGGUUCCAAUGUGUAGGGGCGAGCCGACGAAGGACCAAACUCUGACAGCCCCGCAACUUUACGAGGAGGUGAAGUACAAGAAGGCUGAGGGACUCGAGGAGGAGGACCCAAGCAGUAGCGAGACUAUCAAGUCUCAUGUGGUGCUGAAGCAGUAGGCGCCCAAUCAAAGUGCAAGUCAUUCUGUCAAGCAAAGGUCCGAGAGUAGGCGUUCUGCGGCUUGGCGGAGUGCGUGUGUGUGUUUCGAAGGACAUGCACACUUGGCAGAUACUUCGCACAGCGGGCUCGCUGGUGCACAUGCUCAGAAGGGCAAGGCACUAGGCAUUGGUGCGGGGAUAAAAGGGGACUGCAGUAGCAAGGCACAGAACCGAUUGGGUACGAAGGCACAACAAACAGCAUGGAAGGCUACGUGAAUUGGAAGCAACACGGUGCUCGACGAGAGCAUCUGCGCGUUAGGUAAGGGAGAUUGUCACGGACAAAAUAUUUUUCGCUGACUUUCCCUUGACAGUGGCCCAAUCUCCGAAGGAGCAUUCUGUCAGAGAUUUUGCUGGGGUGUCCUAGAAGCUUCUACUCGAAUCUCAAGACUGAUGGCCAAAGGGUCAAGAGUCCCUUAGAGUUUCUAGGUGGGCAGUAACGGUAAUCUCUUGGGAGAUUGUAGCAUCCUUUUUUGCCUUAUAAUUAUGCACCACUUGGCACCUUUUCAUUUGCAGCCUGAGUAGUGAGUGGCCUAUAUAAGGAUGUGGCCUCCACCCCCUCUUCUUAGAAAAUCAGUUGUACUCUCAACUUCUAUCAAUAUACAACAUUCCUUAAACUCUCUCUCUCUUGUACUUAGCCUUAGGGCGAGUAGGUCCAGACUUAGCAAGUAGAUAGGUAGGCUUAAACGGUAAUCUCUUGGGAGCUUGUAGCUUUCUUUUUUGCCUUAUAAUUAUGCGCCACUUGGCACCUUUUCAUUUGUAGCCUGAGUGGUGAGUGGCCUAUAUAAGAAUGUGGCCUUCACCCCCUCUCCUUAGGAAAUCAGUUGUACUCUCAACUUCUAUCAAUAUACAACAUUCCUUAAACUCUCUCUCUCUUGUACUUAGUCUUAGGGCGAGUAGGUCCAGACUUAGCAAGUAGAGAGGUAGGCUUGCUCACUUCGCGAAGGAAGGCGAGUGCCACACGGGUUAAGCGAGCGAUUUCGCUUAGGUCUGUGACAUUAUGUUAUGGUUAUAUGCCAUUUAGAGCGACGUGCCACUUGCAUGUGUUCCUUAGACCGACACGGCGAAUUCUGAAUUGGAUAUUUUGGACUAAUCGUCCGAUUGACGCAUGUUAUUUAUAGUAGCGGUACUUGCAUAUGUAUAUAUUUUGUUUUCUAUUGACAUUGCUACUAUAUUACCUUUCACUGUUACGUUUUUUGUUACCAGUGAGCACACUCGCCCUCGUCGGCUUGUGGUACCCACUGGGAGACCGUUGUUGGUUUCUCAGCCUCCCCCCAAUUUUAGGUGAUCUCAGCAGACCGAGUUGGGACGAGACGUGAGGCGCGUACCUAGCGAUAGAGGUCUCGACCUAGCUAGUAGCAUUCAGUUCUAGAUUUCAGCCCCUUUUUUUUUAUUAAUAAAUAAUUUAGACUCUAUGUGGUUCAGUUUAGCUUUAUUUGGUUUUGUUUUGGUUUACUCUACUUAUGGCAUGGUUUGCAAUUAAUAUAAAAUAAAAUUUUUUUGUGAACAUUAUGUGGAUUUAUAAAAAUUGGUUUUCUACCCCUUGUGUUAGCUCGUUUUCAAAGAAAAUCAAAAGUUUUCGUGUGGGAAACAGUUUUUAAAAAGGUUUUUAGCUUUUCGUGAUUUUAAUAUUUCAAAAUGAGUUUUCGGGUGAAAAAUACUUUCAACUAGUAGAUGUGGAUGAUUUAUAAUUAUUAUGCUAUGUCAUGGUGGAUGUUUUUGUAAAUAUGUGCUGUGAAUGGAUGUGGUUGUAACUUGUACUAUAUGCGACGUCGUGCAAAUAUAGGGGAGACUCUGUCCGCAUGAACAGUGGAUUCUCUGCGUUUGUGGCGGGUUUGUCACCCUUGGGUCAAGGUUUCAAAAAAACAAAAAUUGGGCAUUUUUCGUUGAUCCGCAAACUAUAAAGGGACCCCGGAGCGUGACACAAAAAUGUAGAUCUAAUAGGGAAAACUCGAUAGCACCAAACACUUUGAACUAUCGAUAGUAUAAUAGUAGACUCAUAUAUAUAUAUAUAUAUAUAUAGAACUAGGCUGGAAUACUAUCAAUAGCACCAAGCUAGCUAUUAGUGCUAUUAGCUUUUUAAUGCUUGGAUUGAGAAAUGUGUGGUUAGAAUGAUAUGGGUCCCCUAGGGUUUAAUGGGUGGUUGGUUGAAUAGUAUAAUCUAACGGAUAAAAAUAAUCAAAAGGUUAAAUCUAACGAUGAAAAACUUGAUAGUACCAUAUCCUUGGUGCUAUCGAUAGUAUCCCAGCCGGACUCUAUAUAUAUAUAUGUAUAUAGAACUAGGCUGGAAUACUAUCAAUAGCACCAAGCUAUUGGUGCUACUAGUUUUUUAGCACUUGGAUUGAGAAAUGUGCGGUUGGGAUGAUAUGGGCUCCUUAGGGUUGAGUGGAUAGUUGAUUGAAUAGUAUAAUUUAACGGGUAAAAAUAAAGAAAGGGUUAAAUCUAACGGUGGAAAACUCGAUAGCACAAAAAUCUUAGUGCUAUCGAUAGUAUUCCAGCCGGACUAUAUAUAUAUAUAUAUAUAUAUAUAUAUAUAUAUAUAUAUAUAUAUAUUUAGUUCCACUAUGGUGCUUUUAAAAGCACAAAAUAUUUGGUGCUUACAAGUUUUUUGCUGUUAGAUCUAUCUUUUUGACCAAUUCCAUCCUUUAGAUUAUAUUAUUCCACCAACCACCAACUCAACCUUAAGAGAGCAUUAUUUUCCUAACCCUACAAAUUUUCAUCUAAAGGUUGAAACCCGGCAAGUAUCAAUGACUUGGUGCUUUUAAAAGCAUAGGAGCUCAAUUUUGUCAAAGGCUAUACUGCAUUAUUUGAGACAAAUUUAUUCUAAAUAGUGCAAUUUUGUAUCAACAUUAACAGCGCUACUUAUUCUUUAGCAGUAUAACUUUUAUUUUAAACAAUGCAAUUCCGUCUUCUUGUUCUCUCUUCUUUCUCUCAAAUAGUGCAAUUUAAUCUCAAACACUUUAAUUUAGUCUAAAAACAAUGCAACUUCUAUUAUAUAUGAUGUAAUUUUGUUUCAAACAGUGUAACUUAUUCUCAAGCAAUACAACUUUGGUCUCAAACAGUGUAACUUCAUCUUUUUUUUUUUUUUCUUUGUUACUAAUUAUUUUAGGAGAAAAAUAUUUUAUUUAUUUUUUUUUUUUUUCACCCUCAACAUCUUGUUUUGUUACCACAUCUCCUCCCUUGCCCUUCGCUAGCCUCACCCUGACGCGCUCUCCCUCUCUAUCGUUCUCAAAACCUACGGCACUCUCGUCGCUGUAGCCGUCACUAUUCGCGGCCAUGUAUUUUGCCGAAGCCGGCGCCGGCAGAGGUGCAAGUGAAGUAAGAGAGAGGAGUGCGGCAUUGACAUCGACGUGGUGGAAGAGGAGAAAGGAGAGAAAGUGGGAGGAGAAAGAGAACAGAAACAGCAAGCAAGAAGAAAACAAGCCAUACAAAAAAAACGAUAAGCGUAAAAAAAAAAAGAGAGAGAGAAAGAGAAAUAAGAAUAUUUUGAUCAGUUUAUUAAAAAUUCUGAUCUAAUCUAUAAAAUCUAAAAAGCCAGUCUAUUUAUGUAAAAACUCAAAAUCGAUGAAUUUUUUAUGCAAAUUGGCCAUAAUAAAUUCAUUAGAUCUGAUAAUUGUUUUUGAAAUUAACUAAGUAAUAAAACUCAAAUAAAAAAAAAAAGGUGUUGAGGCGUCUGAACCCAAAAAAUUAUUAAGUUUUUAGGAGGGUUUCAAUAUUUGCUAUAUAGUCGAGGGACCUCUACAAUAUUUUACCUUUUUAAAUUCAAAUCUAUUUAUGUUCUGUGUACUACAUUAAAGGAGGAUUAGGGGGGACCUUGGGGUGACACGUGUUUUCCCAACCCCCACCCCCCUUUUCUCUCUCUCUCUCUCUCUCUCUCUCUCUCUCUCUCUCUCUCUCUCUCUAUAUAUAUAUAUAUAGAGUUUGUCUUUUAUACUAUCUAUAGUAUCGGGCUCCGGUACUAUAAUGUCGUUUUCGAUCUUAGGAUGUUCAAAUCAACGAUCCACACCGUUAAAACUGAUAUUGGGUAUUUAAAGUUUUUAAAAAUAAAAUUUUAUAUUUUUUCGACAUAGUUUACUUUAUGAUCAAAUUAUUUCAAAAUUGUCAAUUUUCAAUGGCUACUAUGGCAAGUUUGGAGUUUAACGGUGUAGAAGAAUCUAAAUUUCUUCAAAUUUUGAUAGAAAAUAUUUUAAACUAUCUAGAUUAAAGUUAACAUUCUUGAUCUUGAAUUUAAAAGUCCUAUAUUCAAAUUUUAAAGAUUAUUCAAUUUUCACCGUCUAUUUUGAUAUAAUUUAUUUACUGAGUAAACGAUGUCGAAUAAAACUAAAAUUUUAUUCCUAAGAACUUCAUAUACUCUAAAUCAUAUUUAACGGUGUGGAUCGUUAAUUUGAACACCCUAAGAUCGAAAACAAGACUAUAGUACCGGAAGCUCCGUACUAUAGAUAGUAUAUCGGAUUUUAAAAUUUUAGAGUAUAAAAUUUUAAAUUUUCGAUAUCAAAAUUUAAAUUUUUGAUACUUUUAAAUUUCAAAUUUCAAAUUCUAAAUUUAUAUUCAAAUUUUAAAUUAAUAUAAUAUUUAUUUCUAAAUUUUAAACUUCAAAUUUAAAAUUUGAAAUCCCUAAACUCUAUAAAAUUAAUUAAUUGAUUUUAUUAAUUAUUUAUUUUAUAUAAUAUAAUUAAUUAAUAAUACUCAAUAAAUUGCAUGAUAAAAUCUAAUCUGAUCAAUGUAUAAAAAAAUACAAAUUUAAAUUUGACGAGUAAGAUUUUAGAAAUAUCGUGCGUGUAUGUAUAUAUAAAAUUAAUUUUAUUAAACAAAUUCUUUAUUUAUUUUAUUUCCUUCUAUUUAUUAAUUUCUUAAAUUAUUAUUUAUCUCAAAUCUAUUUCACAUAAAUCUUUAUAAAAUAAGUUGUUGUUUUAAUAAUUUUUAUUUAAAUAAACUUAAAUAUUUAGUUAUUUGUAUAUAAUUUGUAUUUAAUUAAUAAUUAGAUUUAUAAAAUUAUAUAAAAAUAUAAAAAAUUAAAAUUUAUUAUAAAAAUAUUUUUAUAUCAGCGCGGCAUGGGACGGGUAUUUCACUAGUAGUGCACCAAUGGUAGUGGGGCCCAUCAGAGAUACACUGCAUAUGCAACGUGAACUCGACAACUGUAUCGGCCACGUGUCACCAUACUUUUGACUACUAUAAACGUUUCUCUUGAGUCUACAGUACAUUCCAAAACAGGAGUAACUAUAACUCCGUUGGCCAAAUUUUAAAGAACCCCUUGCACGUUAGCCAAUUCUCAAUUACCUCCUAACAUAGGAAUUCUAUAUUUUAUCAUUAGCUAGUUUUAAUCAGUAUGCAAAAUUAAGAAUGAUUGUUAAAUUUGGACAAAUAUGAUUUACGAUCGAUAAUAAGUUAAUAAAGGAAUCUUUGUUUUUUACCUAGUUUCUGACCGGUCACUUUAAGUAAGAACUUAGUUGAAUAUUCACGCGCGUAUAGUAUUUUCGUGCGCAUCUCAAUUCAAUAAUUUUUUAAUACCUAUUAGUUAAUUAAGAUUAAUGUAAUGUUUAAUAAGAUAUAUAUAUAUAUAUAUAUAUAUAUAUAUAUAUAUAUAUAUAUAUAGUAAUUAAGAUAUAGGAAAAGGUGUGAGGGGUAUUUUGUAAUUGAGACUUAAUUUUGAAGGAAAUCUAGUGCAAUAAAUGAGUGAAGCAAGUACAUCGCACUAGGUGGCUUUCUAAUUUGGGGUUUGAGCCUGCACCUGUGAAAACAACUUAGCAUAUAUGUCACAGAAAUAGAAAAGGCGUAUUGCCUGCACCAGGUUCAUCUCCCGUCGACUUAUCAGCCAUUCAGCUAAUCUCAUACUUUUAAUCUAACAACCCAAAUUUAUCACCAAAAAGCACUACGUUUACCGAGUGAUAGUGCGGUGUAUCAGAUGUACAAAUGCAUCGGGUGCAGAUAAUAAAUUUUUUUCAUCUUUGGCUCCCUGUACAUAUAUUUUGUAACCCCUAACAUUCUUUGCACUUCACUCACAAUUUAUCCUAAUCAUCUCUCUCUCUCUCUCUCUCUCUCUCUCUCUCUCUCUCUAGCAAUUAGCAAGCAAGAGCAAGGAGGAAAGAGGCUAGUGGUUUUCUUGUCCCUAGAAAUUAAAAGGAGAUCUCAGGUUAGGGCCCUUCCUUGAUUUACUGUGCCAUUUUUCUCAUGAAAUGUACAUUUUUUUAGGUAGGAGAUUUUUUUUUUUGUGCUUUUUUGGCAGUAGAAUUAGAUUCGGCGAAAUAAAAAAAAAAAAAGAGACAAAGAAAUAAUGUUUAGAGUGAUGUAGAAGUGAGUGACUUUCAUUUAUUUAACCUUAAUGCAUAUAUAAUUGUUGGAAACAAUAAUUCAAACUUAAUUUCCAACAAUAAUUAGAAAACCUAUGACAUGCACUCUUAUCAUUAACUUUUAAGCACAAGCUAGUAAAUUAUAUAUAGAGAAAAUGUAGAAUUCUAUAUAACAAUAAUCAGUAAUUUCCAUAUUCAUCAGUGUCUAAAAAUGUAGAAUUCUAUAUAACAAUAAUCAGUAAUUUCCAUUUUCAUCAGUGUCUAGUGUAAAUUUUAUCGAAACAAUAUGUGUAGAUAUAUAUUUGAUGCCAAACGGUUGAUUAUUUAUGUCUGAUCAUAUAAUAGAUAACAUUUAUUUAAUGAAAAUGUCAUUACCGAUAAUUUGUAGUAUGUGAAAUAAUUAGAUGAGUAAUUUUGUUGUCCUUCAAAUUCGGUUGUUGCAUGCAUGAUAUAUGUACAUAGAAGUUUUUCAAAACGGAUUUAUCUGAUUUUUAUGUAAUCUCUUUAGAUUCGUCGCAUAUACCGGAUGCAAAUUAUAAUCCUGAGUGGUAUAUAAUAUAUAUGAGUUGCUCCAUCUGAUGAUUUAUAUUUUUGAAUUGGUUUGGGCCCUUAAACAUGAAAAACACUUUCAAAUUAAAUUUUCCAAGCAUUAAUUAUUGAUUUAACAAUCUAUAAAAAAAUUAAAAAAAAUACAAAAAUACAAAAAAUGAACCCUUCUUAUGCACCAAAAAGUGCAAGAAGAAAAAAAAAAAAUUUGAUAAAAAAGAGUAUGAAGAUAUCUUAUUUUACUCAUUUUUUUAAAAGCGAUUUGGUGAGAUAAAAUUGAUCAUGUGAAUAUAUUAGUUAGAAAGUGGACGGGUGGAAGACGAAGUAUCAGGGAGUGAGAAGGGGGGGGUGAAAGAGGAAUUGCCACGUCACAAAUUCUAUUGAAAUAAUAUAUAGGUAUAGAGGUAUAGAUAUCUCUUAUACCAUAAAUAAGUCCUAUUCUCCGAAUAUGCAGAAACAAGACUAAUUUUUUAUUUGAUAUAAAAUUAAGUUAUUUUUGAGAAUAUGAUAAAUUUAACAUUAGAGAAUUACGCUAGAAUCAAUAUGAAUAGUAAAUAUUUAUAACUUUAAAAUUGAAAUACUAUGGCUAAUAAAUUAGAAUCAAAUCAUUUAUUAUAUAAAUAUUUAAUUAAUUGACAAUCAAUUAAUUUAUCGAUUGUAAUUUAAUUACAAAGAAGUAAAUUACUAUGUACAAUAUAGGUGGUUAAUUAGUUAGUUAAAAAAUUUGUAAGUUUAUUAGUUAAGUAAUUAGUUUAUAUUUUGAUUAAUUAGUUAAAUACUUAAUGUAUAUCACCUUCUCCAAAAAUUAAGAUAGCUAAUAUAUAACGCACUAAGGGUCCGUUUGAUUGCACAUAUUUGCAACUACAGUACAGUUGCAAAUACAUGCAACCUCAAUUCAUGUGUUUGGUUUAGUGCAGUUGAAUCCAACUACAUAAGAAGAUCCAAAUUAAUGCUAUAGUUGGAACUGCAUUCAAAUUGCAUGUAUUUCCAACUGCAGCAGUUGGUGAUGAAUAGGAUCACCCACAAAUUAACAAUAAUAAAUAAAUAAAUAGCUAAAUAAAUAAAUAAUAUAUAUACAUGUACACUUGUAUAUGGAUAAAUAAAAAUACUUGUAAAUAAAUUCAUUCUAAUAAAAUGUUUUUGAGAAUGUAAACUUAAUUAAUAAAUUUUAGUUAAUUAUAAUUAUUAAAUUUAAUUGAUNAAUAAUAAAUAAAUAAAUAGCUAAAUAAAUAAAUAAUAUAUAUACAUGUACACUUGUAUAUGGAUAAAUAAAAAUACUUGUAAAUAAAUUCAUUCUAAUAAAAGUUUUUAGGCAAUACGAGCUUUUUGUAAAAAAAAAAUAAAUUUUUUUAAAAAUUAGAUUUAUUUAAAAUAUAAAAUAAAUUGUUUUCCUAAGUUUUCAUAAAAUGUGAUUGUGUAUGUUAACUUAAUUAAUAAGUUUUAGUUAAUUAUAAUUAUUAAAUUUAAUUGAUAAAAAAUGAGAGAAUCAUUUAAAUUUUUUAAGUUUGAUUUACAUAUUAAAAUUGAAUGUAUUGAAAAUUUUAAAUGUGUCAAUAAGUUGAAGAAUUAUUAAAAAAUAUAAAAAUAUUACAUACAUCCACUUAUUUAUUUAUAGAUAGUAAGUUUAAAUGAUUAAUAAAAUUAUACAACUAUUUUAUGUAUAGUUAAGAUAAUCUCACCAUUCUAUCUGAAGAUGUGACGAGAUCACAAAUACAACUAUCAACUUCAAAUUAUCAAACAGAAAAAAUGGAGCUGCAAUAGUUGCAUCUACAUAAAAUCAAACAAACUAUGUGUAAUGACAACUGUUGUAUUUUCAACUGCAUACAUUUUUAACCAUACUAUAUUUACAACUAUAUCCACCCAAUUAAACGGCCCCUGAUUGUAUCACAAUUGUUAAAUGACAAUUUAGUAAGCUAAUUAUUUAAUGCAUUAUGGCUUUGAAUGAUAAGUUAAUUUCUCAAGUAAUUAACUAAGUAGCUAUUAAUUUGAUAAGGUAAAAAUAGUUAAUUACUUAGCUAGUUGGCAAAUGAGUCAAUGUAUGACACAUUAGUCAGUUAUAAUUUAUGAUAUUUAUAACUCAAUUAGUACUUCUGAUAGGAAAACAAUAGGAAUGUUGGCAAUCCGGUACUCGCCCCGGUACCGGAUCUUGUGAAUCCGCAACCCGCUCCGAUACCGACUGCUGUGAAUCCGGUACCGAUGGUUGGGAUUCCGCAACGGAAACGUCAAAUCGGGUUUUUACCAUAAACCCGUCUCCUCAGCAAAAGCUGAUACAAUCAUAAAAAAGAGAAAUACCAAAACUGAAAAUAUGCGGGUAAAAUAAGAUUCAUUAAAUAAGAGAAGAUUACACCUGACUCCUCUUCUGUACAGAGUAGCUACAAUCCGAGCUCUCUUUCUGAAUCUCUCCUACCCUUCUCUCGUCUUCUAUAAUCCCAUAAAGAAGACAAUCAUCCGCGCGCACCCAUGCACUAGGUGCACUAAAUAACUCUCUCUCUCCCUUUUUCUCUCUCUGGUACGGCACCCAAGAGGCCUUUUCUCUCUCCCGUACUCACAUCUCAAAAGCAAACCCACAAAGAGCUAUUUAUAAGGCUCCACAAAAAAAUACCCAAAUCCUAAUAUAUUUAGGAUUUCUACUCCAAUUAAUAUCUAAAUCUAUCUUAAUUAAUCUCUAAUAGAUUUAAAUAUUAAUCCUAAUCUAGUUAGAUUUUAUCCUCUAAUUUAAUAUUUAAAUCUUAAUUUAUCUCCAAUAGAUUUAAAUAUUAAUUCUUAUCUAACUAGGAUUCAAUUACAAAUCUAACCAAAUCCUAACAAUCUCCACCUUGGUUGGAUUUGUAAUAUUCAACCGUCACGUCGAGCUAACCAUGUAAGCUCCACCUUGAGCUUGUCUCCUCCACUCGAUGUCGCCGCAUCCAUCGCUUCGCCUCGAGCGACUGCACCUCCGCGAACUUUUGGAACCCAAACCGUCUUCGCUCCCGUUUUGACUGUGCUUUCGUUCAGAACGUACAAGUUGCCACGCUUGUUCGCCUCGCACACGACCCGAUCUCGUUUUCGGACUCUCAUAGCUCCACCUGAAGCCAAAAUAUCGCAACCCUUCGAGUCCAAUGCACCUAACGAGAUCAAAUUUCGCUUCAAUCCAGGAACGUACCGCACACCUGUCAGCGUCCUCACGACCCCAUCGUGCAUUCGGAUCUUCACCAUGCCUGCUCCCAAAACUUUGCACGUCGUCCCGUUCCCCAUUAGAGCUUUUCCACCUUUGAUCGCCUUAUAGGUUGCAAAAGACUCCUUCUCCGGGCAUACGUGAAAAGAACACGCCGAAUCGAGCACCCACGCGUCAUCCGAAAUUUUCGCACCUCCGGUCGCCGCAUAUAGCACAUCAGAAUCGAUCAUCUCCAACUCUGCUGUCUGCGCUGUCGCUGAUACCGUCUUGUCCUGGUUCACAACAGUUUGCUCCUUCUGUCCCUUUAACUCCUUCAGAUCAUCGUGAAGUUUUCGACAAUUGCGCUUGAUAUGCCCCUUCCUGUGACAGUAAAAGCAUUCUACCUCAGAUAGCGGUUUCUUCUGUCGAUAUCCGGUCGCCGAUAUUCUCGCAUCCUUCUUCGCAGUCACCAUCAGUCCUACAUCCUGACUUUGCGUGCCGGACCCCUGAGUCAUCUUCCGCAUCUCGUUCGAAAGAAGCGCCGCCGUGACCACCUCCACGCUUAUGGACUCCUUGUCAUAAAGUAACGUGGUCACCAGAUGCUCAUAUGUCGCCGGUAGCGAAGAUAGUAAAAUCAGCGCCUUAUCUUCGUCAUCCAGAUUGACUCCGAUGCUAGUCAACUGGGCCACCACCUUGUUGAACUCGUUCAGAUGAUCAUGUAGACUCGCCGCUUCUUGCAUCCGCAAUGUAAACAGUCGCUGCUUCAGAUACAAUCUGUUCGUCAGGGAUUUGGUCAUGUACAGAUCUUCCAAUUUCUUCCACAACUUCGCCGGUGUCGUCUCGCUGGCUACGUUGUAAAGAACCUCAUCUGCUAAUAAUAGAUGAAGCGUACUCAGCGCCUUCCGCUCCAUCUUCGUCCAUGCCGCAUCCGUGACCUCCGCCGGCUUCGCCUCCUUCCCGUUCAACGUCUCGUCCAAUUCUUGCUGUACGAGGAUCGCUCGUACUUUAAUUUGCCACAAUCCGAAAUUGUUCUUGCCGUCGAACUUCUCGAUUUCGAAUUUCGUAGCCAUCUUCGUCGAUCUCUCCCUCGGAUCGAUAACCUUCAGCUCUGAUACCACUUGUUGGGAAUCCGGUACUCGCCCCGGUACCGGAUCUCGUGAAUCCGCAACCCGCUCCGAUACCGACUGCUGUGGAUCCGGUAUCGAUUGUUGGGAUUCCGCAACGGAAACGUCAAAUCGGGUUUUUACCAUAAACCCGUCUCCUCAGCAAAAGCUGAUACAAUCAUAAAAGAGAGAAAUACCAAAACAGAAAAUAUGCGGGUAAAAUAAGAUUCAUUAAAUAAGAGAAGAUUACACCUGACUCCUCUUCUGCACAGAGUAACUACAACCCGAGCCCUCUUUCUGAAUCUUUUCUACCCUUCUCUCGUCUUCUAUAAUCCCAUAAAGAAGACAAUCAUCCGCGCGCACCCAUGCACUAGGUGCACUAAAUAACUCUCUCUCUCUCUUUUUCUCUCUCUGGUACGGCACCCAAGAGGCCUUUUCUCUCUCUCCCGUACUCACAUCAAAAAAGCAAACCCACAAAGAGUUAUUUAUAAGGCUACACUAAAACGUACCCCAAUCCUAAUAUAUUUAGAAUUUCUACUCCAAUUAAUAUCUAAAUCUAUCUUAAUUAAUCUCUAAUAGAUUUAAAUAUUAAUCCUAAUCUAGUUAGAUUUUAUCCUCUAAUUUAAUAUUUAAAUCUUAAUUUAUCUCCAAUAGAUUUAAAUAUUAAUUCUUAUCUAACUAGGAUUCAAUUACAAAUCUAACCAAAUCCUAACAAGGAAAUCAUAAUAGUUCAAUAGGUAAAAUAAAACUGCUAUUCUCCUCACUUAACAUAUUAUCGUAGCUAGGAUAAUCCAUUAAAAAGAAAAGGGAAAACUUUAAAAAACCUCUCUGUGGAUUCACACUUUUUCAUUUUAGUACCCUGUGAUUUAAAAUGUAUCAAGUUGGUACCAUGUUGUUUCGCACUUUCUCAUUUUAAUACCCUAUGGUUUAAAGUGUAUCAAGUUAGUACUCUAUAAUUUUAUUUUUGUAUCAAAUUAGUACCAUGUGGUUUUAUUUUUUUAUCAAGUUAGUACCCUGUGGUUUUAUUUUUCUCUUAACGAAAUAUUAAACCACAUGGUACUAAAGUGAGAAAGUGCGAAACCAUAGGGUACUAACUUGAUACACUUUAAACCACAGGGUAUUAAAGUGAGAAAGUGCAAAAUCACAGGGUACUAACUUGAUACACUUUAAAUUAACCAUAAGGUACUAAAGUGAGAAAGAGUGAAACCAAAAGGGAGGUAUUUGAAGUUUUCCCAAAAGGAACUUGAAGUUCUCGGUAGAAUGUAGGGUAAAAAAGAGAGUAAUUAAGAUCCUUUAUUCCUAUCUUGUUCACGAACCAAAUAGAGCCUCAGACCCCGUUUGGAUUGCGUACAAGAGGGGAGAUAAGAGCCUUAUCCCUCCAAUUGUACCCAGACAAAAAUUUUUGGGUGGGAACUAUUAGCAAGUUAUCCGGGGAUAACCCGCUUUGGGUGGAAACUAGUAGUUCCCACCAAGCUUGUUCCCACCCACCCCUGUUGGUAGAGAGAGAGAGAGAGAGAGAGAGAGUUUUGUUUUAAAAUAAAUUUUAAAUUUUAAAAUUUUAAAAUUUGUAAACUAAAAAUUAAAAAUUAAAAUUUAAAAUUUAAAAUUUAAAUUAUAAAUUUAAAAUUUGAUAUUUUAAAUUUUUAAAUUUUAAAUUUGAUAUUUUAUAUCAUUCAAAUUUAAAUUUGGUCUUAAAUUUAAAUUUUAAAUUUUUAAAAUUUUAAAUUUGAAGAUUUAAAUUUUAAAUUUUAGUUUCAAAUUUUAAAAUUUAAAAGUUAAAAAUUUAAAUUUAAAAUUAUAAAUGUAAAAAUUAAAAUUUUAAAUUUAAAUAUAAUAAGAGUGGUAAUAUAAUUAUUUUCUAUUUAUAGCUAUCCAUUCUUUUUCUUAUUAUAUUUUAUCUAUUCAAACACUAUUUUUCUUAUUUUCGGAAACAAUCUAAUUUUCAUCCAAAUACAAAGUUGGUCUAGUUCUCGCUUAUAUCUGAACUUUUACCUAUCGCUGAAAUUAGCAGUUCUUAUUUAUACCCGAACCAAACGAAGCUGAGAAUCCUUUAAGCUCACUAGUUCUUGAAAUAUUAUCCAUGUACUCUUUAGUUCUUGUAGUUUUCUUUUUUCUUUUUUUUAUGCGGGGGUGUGAGAAACUCGCAAUUGCAUAUCAUUUGCCCCUCUAUGUAUUUGAUAAUUUUUUUUAACUAUAUACAAAUUUCCCACAUAAUUUAUUUGAGUGAUGUUUCUGUGCUAUUUUGGUAUCCUAGCCUUUCAAUCUAUCCCAUCCAGUGGCAUCAAGAAUGUCACAAUAUGGGUACACUAAAUUUCAAACGCUGGUAAUGAGAAAAGGUGCUUGCCAAUGUUGCCUCAAAGCAUAUACUUAAAACUAUUUGUCGGCUUGUCGGUGAAGGGGCUUUUUUUAAUAGUUAAACCAAAUUGUUAGCCUUCAAGUGCUUGUGCAUAAAGGUUCUAUUACAUUGCUAGUGCAGUUAUGACUAUCUAUAGAUUUUCUGAAUGUUAACUGAGCGAAUGGAUUAGGAGAAACUUCAUUAGUAUCAUGGAGACAAACUGGGUAUUCCUAUGGUAAUUAAUGAAAGAAAAGGGUGUUUCUCAGUUUAAUAGGAGAGCCCAUAUAUGCUGAUUGAAAGAACAAAGAGGAUCUGGUUUGAAACCAAUUAAGCAAUUUAGUUCGUGUCAAAUAAGAAAAUGGAAAUAGAUGUCAAUCAAAGAAGAUUUUAAUAAAUAUGGACAGGUUGGUGUCGAAAAUUACUACUUAAAAAGUACAAUAGGCUUCUUUAUAGAAAGCCCAGGAGCUUAAGUGCAAGAAGAUAAAACUGCUGAACCCUGCUUCGAAGCUUGCCGAUCCUUCUACUUCCGCUGCCCCACCUGAAGCAUCCAACGCUUCGGACCUUCCUCAGGUCCAUCCUCCUGACUCUGGGCUGAGUCUCGAACCUCACCAAUCCUCUGCAGGGAAGGAUUCGCUGAUGACCGAUAAGGCCGGAUUGAAGCCUGCAGCCACUCUGGAUAGAGACCCCGUACUCCCCCUUACUCCGGAUGAGAUCCAACUAAUCAAGACUGUUUGUGGCAUUUCCGACAAAGAUGCUGAUAUCGUGCCUACCUGCGAGACACCUGCGGCCACCAUGACAAGGGUGUAGCACUCUUUUGCGUAAAUUCUUGGGUGAUCUUCUUGUACCUAUGGCCAGGAAUAGAACCUUUCGCUUUCUCACGUGGAAUGUACGGGGCCUAAGUGACAAUUCUAAAUGCACUGUUGUCAAAUCCUUUAUUCAAUAUUGUAGAUGCUGUGUGGUAUGCUUCCAAGAAACUAAACUUCCUUCUAUCUCUUCUGCCAAGUUUCGUUCCUUCGGGGGUUUUCAUCUGCGAGACUUUCGAUCUCUAAAUGCUGAAGGGACUAGAGGCGGCCUCUUAACUGCGUGGAAUCCGUCUCUCUUUGACUGCGUACAUGAGUGGUCGGGCAAAUUUUCUCUCACCGUAUUGCUAAAGAGGAAAGUGGAUGGAAAACUUUUCACGAUCUCGAAUGUUUAUGGUCCUACGGCGGCUAAUCUGAAACUGAAUUUCUUUCUCAAGCUACGUUCCAUCAAUGCAUCGUCUACAGGCUCAUGGGUGGUGCUUGGCGACUUUAACGUCCUCCUCUCACUUCAGGACAAGAACGGCCCGAUUGCAAACAUCAAUGACAUUUUGAACUUCAGGGAGGUCAUCCAUGAGAUUGGGUUGGUCGUCCUCCCUAUCGUCAACAAAUCCUUUACUUGGUCUAAUGGUAGGGGUGUCCCGACUCUCGAGCGCCUGGAUCGUGUUUUCAUCUCCAAUGCUCGGGUUCUUGCUUUUCCCCGAUCUACCCUCCGCGCUCUCCCUCGACCACGUUCCGAUCACACGCCCCUGGUACUCUCGGCUUAUACCUUUAUCCCUUCAAUUAAUCUGUUCAGAUUCGAGAUUUUUUGGUUGCACCACCCUGCUGUCCUUGAUGUAGUCGCCUCGGCGUGGAAGUCUCUCUUGCCUGAUGCCGAUCCCGUUAAGCAUUUCUCGCAGAAUUUUGAAUCGGUCCAAUCAGCCCUAUGCCUAUGGGAGCGCAGGUCUUUCUUCUACUUCUAGAGAACAAGGAAAACAAGGAAAACGUUGCUUACUCUGGAUCGAAUGGUUGGACAAGGCUGAAGAACGCAGACAUCUAACGGCAGCAGAGUACACUUUGAGACCUAAACUUAAGGCCAAAUUUGAAGACAUUUGUCUGCAGGAGAAAAUUAAGUGGAAGCAGCGGUCAAGAGUCCAAUGGCUAAAGGUGGGAGAUGCCAAUACCAAAUUCUUUCACCUAAAGGCCAAUGCUCGCAGAAGCAAGAACUUUAUUUCACGUCUUUCAAAUGGAUCAGCCAUUCUCUCUUCGCCUGAGCUGAUUGCUGACCACCUCUUUUCUUUCUUCCGCAACCAGCUGGGAGUUCAACAACUUUCCUCUGUCAAUAUAAAUCUGCAAGCGAUCUAUGAAGUCCUCGGGACCGAAUGGAUUACCAAUGGUCUUCUACCAGCGCUUCUGGAACCUCAUUAAAGAUGACAUCAGGGGAAUUUUCAAUAGCUUCUACGAUGGUGCAACAAAUCUCGACAGGGUCAACACUGGGUGGUUAUGCCUUAUUCCUAAGAAGAAAGAAGCUUCAUCCGCCAACGACUUCCGCCCUAUAAGCCUGGUACAUAGUGUGGCCAAAUUGAUUUCGAAGGUUCUAGCUUCGCGGCUACAAACCUUCUUGGAUCGACUGAUAAACCCUCAUCAAGCUGCCUUCAUCAGGGGUCGACAUAUUACCGAUAAUUUCAAUUGUGCCCAUAUACUGAUUCAUCACCUACACACUACCAAGCACCGAGCAGCCUUAUUGAAAAUCGACUUCGAGCGGGCCUUUGACCGAGUAAACUUGAGCUUCCUGCUUGACCUUAUCCAGGCGAGGGGCUUCAGCCGGCGCUGGAUCACUUGGAUUCACUCUCUACUUCAAACAGCUAGCACGUCAGUGAUUCUAAAUGGCAAUCCGGGAAGAAGCUUCUCCUGUAAGCGUGGGCUAAGACAAGGUGACCCGCUCUCUCCCCUUCUCUUUAUCCUACGUGUAGAUGUUCUUUUCAGACUAUUCCAGAUUGCUACCACGGCACGCCUACUGCCGGACCUUGGGAUCAGAAAUGCUCGGCUACACACUCUACAAUUUGCGGACGACCUGAUUAUCUUCUUCGAUAGUUCCACAAGAUCGGCGGCAACUAUAAAGCUUAUUCUUGACGAUUUUGCGGGGUGCUCGGGCCUCACAAUCAACUACAACAAAAGCUCUGUCACCUCAAUUAACUUAUCUGCCACUCAAGCCUCGUCCCUAGCAAACUCCCUUAGCUGUGCAAUGAAGGAUUUUCCACUAACCUACUUAGGAUUACCCCUCUCACCUAAGAGGUUACGAAUAGCUGACUAUAUGCCGCUCAUCGAGAAGAUGGGUAAUUGCCUGGCGGGUUGGAAGAGACAAACACUCUCAAGAGGGGGGCGACGUAUUCUACUUAAUUCGGUACUUUCGAGCAUCCCUGCUUACUUCUGUUCAAUGUUUAGGCUACCAACCUGGGUGAUUAAUUCUAUAGACAAAAUUCGCCACUAUUUCUUUUGGAGGGGUCAAUUGCUACAUAAUGGCUUCCACAGCUUAGUUAAGUGGGAAUAUGUGUGUCAACCAAAAAAAUGGGGAGGAUUGGGUAUCUGAAACCUACGUGUCAUGAACUCGGCUCUACUAAUGAAAGUACUUUGGAAUUUUCACAACUCCCACGACCUCCCAUAGGUUAAACUACUAAUGCGGAAACAUUACAAGCAUCGGCACCCUACUACCGAAUGCAAAUCCACUCCUAGGUGCUGCCCGAUUUGGAAAGGGAUUCUCGACACCGCCCCGCCUUUUCAUGUAUCCACUUCUGUCUCGCUGGGCAAUGGGAAGGCAACGUCCUUUUGGCAUGCGAGGUGGUCCGGUGAGCUUACCUUGACAAACCAGUUCCCAAACCUAUAUGCCAUUUCGAGACACACCAACCUGUCUGUUGCUAAAUGGCUCCAGUGCUUCGCCCAGAGCAACACCCUCGGUUUCGGACCAGACUUGUGUCUUCAAGUGCAACAGGAGGAGCUGCUGUGACUCAAAACUCUGAUCCAGAACACAUCGCUCUCAAAUGAGAACGACUCUAUCUCUUGGCGAUGGAACGAUGAUGGAAAGUUUCAGGUACGUCGUGCAUACGACUUGCUUACUUUUGAUGGUAUAAAUAUGAAUUGUACCCCUUGCCUUUGGAGGCUCAAGAUUCCACUAAGAGUGAAAAUAUUUAUGUGGCUCGCUGCGAGAAAUAAAAUCUUGACAGCUGAUACUCUGGCGAAAAGGGGUUGGCAUGGUCUAUCGAUUUGCAUCCUUUGCUCACGGAGUGGAGAGAAUCUACAGUACAUCUUCUUCUCCUGCACAUACGUGGCGACAGUAUGGAACCAUCUACCACAAGAAUGUCCGACGACUCGACAUGCUUUGCUAACACUACCAGGAGACCUACCUACUCGAUGGAAUCGUGCUCGCACCACAGCGAGGGUGCGGCCCAGGAGAAGGUUCGAUAUCUUACUCAUAACAACAUGCUGGGAAUUGUGGAAGGAAUGAAACAGACGUAUUUUCGACGCCCAACUAUCUACAAGCGAGGAAAUAGGAAGAAGAGUGAUAAACACUGUUACUCUAUGGCAUUUUGCUCUAGGGACGUGAUGGGUGAAGGAUUGUAGUUUCUUCCCUUCUUCCCAGUCGUUCAGUUUUCUUUCCUCCUUUUGAGUGUGUUGUGCUAUUCUUUGUUUCAAUCAAGCUAUACCCAACCGGGCAUAUGUCGCAACUGUAAACUCCCCUAGCUUUACUUCAAUCACAAAUAGGGUAUAUCCCUAUUUACUCAAAAAAAAAAGUACAAUAGGACUAAUAGCACUCUUUUUUUCUAACCUAAAGUGUGUUAAAUUUUGUAUUUCCGCCCGACUCCAAUUACCAUUUGCUACGAAUUUCAAAUUUGAGCUUGAUAAGAUUCAACUUUUUAGUAUUUAAAGUUUCUUCAAGAACUUUGAAGUUUCACCCAUGAGUUUCAUGGUCUCAAGUUAAUUCUAUAUGUAACCCUUGGAUUUUAACACAAUCUGGAUUGAGCUCUUACAGAGGGAUCUAAUGAGUGACCGCCGAGCUAGAAUCAACUCAAGCCAACUGGACUGUCGAUCGCAUAAGGAAGUCCGGUCGACCACACAAGCUAAUUCAGCUGCUUCCACCUGCCAACUCUCCCCUAUAUAUCUCUCUCUCCUCCCUUCCCUUUCUCCUCUCUAGCAUGUCGCCACCUGUCACACCCCAAUAAUCCUGCAUCGGAUAGGAAUGGGGAUGUGAUUCGGUAUAUAAGAGACUUAGACACUAGUAAUAAUAACUGGGCUUAAGCAUUUUGGGUCGGUGGUUGGAACCAACGAGUUAUUAUUGCUAGUAGGCUGGGUCGUUACAUUUGGUAUCAGAGCCAGUUCACCAGCCGAAAAUGUGUGGCGAGUAUCGGCUUAGCCAGGGUUAGAAAGAUAAGGUGAUAGGCUAUGCCGGAGUCUCAAUGACAAAGUGACUGGCUAUGCUUGAGUCUGGAUGAUAAGGCUAGCGAGACGAGUCUCACAUCGCCUGGUGAUCUUGGACUGUAUGUGUGAUUGGACUGACGAGGGCAUCAGGGUCUUAACGGGGAGAGUCUGUCACACCCCAAUAAUCCUACAUCGGAUAGGAAUGGGAAUGUGAUUGGGUAUAUAAGAGACUUAGACACUAGUAAUAAUAACUGGGCUUAAGCAUUUUGGGUCGGUGGUUGGGCCCAACGAGUUAUUAUUGCUAGUGGGCUGGGUCAUUACACCACCACCAUUUUACACCUCUCUCUCUCUCACACACACACAACCACCUCUACAUCUUCCUCUCUAUCAUUCCUCUCUUCUUUCUUCUACUCCCCUCUUCUACUUCCACUAGAAGGCCAUAUUUCUUUCCUCUUGAAUGGACCACCCUAAAGGCCAUUCCACUUCCUCCUUGACCUGCUUUGUGCAUGCAAUGGUCAGACACCUGGAAGAAGCAAAGAUCAUUGCUCGAAAUGUGAAGAUCAUGCAUAGUAAUGGGCCAUUCUUUAACUCCCUACUCGAUGCUCAAGUCCCUUUUCUUACCUUUACAUGUUGAUAUUUCUCAUAUUACGCUGUUCUAAUUGUAUUUUAUAUUAGUUGGCAUCAUUUGGGAAAAAUUCCAACCUAGUUGUGAGUUUGCGUAGAGAUGGUUGAUUGACAUCAUCCUCUUGGUCAGCUAGAAGAAUUACAAACAGAACUCUAGCCUUUGAAAGCUCACCGUUGAUUGACUGCAAGUUAACCAUGUGACUAUUUAAGGUCGACUGACAAUUGUCUUUUGGUCAACUGCAGGUCAACUAGCAAGGCGAAUUUCAUUCUUUUGAGAUCAUAUCAUUUGCUAGGGUUAAUAGUACUUCAGGCAAGACCUUUACUUUGGCCUCCCUUGUUAUUAUUCUAUGUUAUGUUCAAACUUUCCUUAACCGUUUUUCUACGAUUCUGUCACGAAUAUGCUACAAUUGGUGAGUAGCAGCUUUUAUCUGUACAUAUGUACAUACAUACAUAUGUGUGUGUGUUUGUAACUAUGCUUGUAUACAUUCAAAAAUACAGAGGUCUCUAUAUUUUUAGAUUAUUUUCCACGAUAGGACAUCCAAUUCAAUAAUCGCCUUUGUUGGACAUAAUCAAUACUGUUGGCACAAUAACCCACCCGCGGUUAAUCGAACCGCUAGUUUGCCACACUACAACAAAAACGGUCUAUAGCGACACUUUUAAAUGUCUGUACAUGUCAAAAAAAGUGCUGCUGGCUAAAUUACCAACAUUUUUAAAAAGUGUUGCUAUAUGUGGGGUCGCUAGGUAUAUAGUGACAGUUAAAGAGUACAGCUAUAACCUAAAAAGAGUGCUGCUAAUUUACCAACACUUAUUUAAGCAUUUAACAACCGUCGAAACUCUACCUCGUUGACUGCGGUGGCGGAGGAGGACGAGAGGGAAGGGCUUCUGGUCUAGGAUUUCAGUGGAUUGAGUGAGGGGAGAAGGGGAGAUGGUAAUCGAUUUUUUUUUUUUCUUUUCUGUUUGUAAUUGGGCCGAAUGGGUUGGGUGGGGUGGGUUGAGUAGAGUAACAUUUUAUUUUUGGUUGGAUUGUGCUUUAUAUUUAGGCAUUAGUAGAUAUUUUUUUAAGUUUUGACAUAAAUGGGACACUUACACAAAAGUGUCCCAAGCAUGUAUCUCUAUAACCUAAUUCUGUUGUAGUGCCAGGUCUACUGAUGGCUAGGCUAGUGACACAUGUGCACUUCAUGAAAAUUAAUGCUACACUAGUGUAGUAGACCGUGCGAUGCGACGGAUAGAUAAUUGAAAAAAAAAAAAACGGUGACAAAGGAAUAGAAAACGGCAAUGGAAAAUAUGACGAUGAGAGAUGGGAUUCAUCUUAUCAAUAAAGGAAGGUAACAGUAGAAGAAAGAGAAAAAGAAACAGCCACGCUCACUGCAGAAAUGUUAUUCGGUUCUGUUCAAACAAAAAAAGGGAAAUCCGGUUCAGUUCAAGCAAAAAAAAGGAAAGUACUUGAGCAGGUUCCAGGUGGAGUCCACACUCGAUUUGGUUCAAGCAAAGAAAGAGAAAAAUUCAAAACAAAGAUGAAAACAUGUGGAGUAGUGGGGCCAGUUUGGCCCAAUGCAAUAGGUUGACCCAAUUUGGUUCAAGUAAAAAAGGAGAUUCGGUUCAAGCAAAGAAAAAGGAAAAUAUGUGGAAGACUUAAGCUGCUUUGGAGGAGCCCACACUCAACAACGAUCGGUUCGGUUCAAGCAAAGAAAAAAAAAAUUCAGUCGAGUUCAAGCAAAAGAAAAGAAAAAUAUGUGGAGAACUUAAGCCGGUUCAAGGUGGAGCCCACACUCAACAAAUGAAGGGAGUGUUGCCAUGUGGCAAUUUAGAAGGAAUAAUGUAUAGAUAUAGAUCAGUUGUAUAGUGACAUCUACCCAAAAGAUAUAACUAGAUAAUCCGGAAGAAGAUAGAAGGAUAUGGCACUUUAAAGAGGAAAGAAAAUUUCUACCAAUAAUUUUAUAAAGACAUUAGAGAUUCUAUAAUAAAUAUGGUUUAGAAAAUAAAAAUCUUAUGUUGGCUGAUAAUUUAAAAUUAAAUUAUAACAAAAUACGCUCUUAUUAAGAGAGGCUAAGAAGAAAUAUGCAAUGGAUAUUCUAUUAUUAGAGUACUGAUAUUAUUAGAUUUUUUUUUUGGUAUUGCGAUUACUGCAAUAGAAUUCAGUUCGGCAUUUUUAAGUAAAAUCACAUUCACAGAAUGUUGCAUAAGUAGGUGCCUAUACACAACUCUUUGGUCAGACCAUCAUAGAUACAAUUACUACAAUUUGGUUGAAGUGGAGGAAAGAAAUUAUUAAUAACAGUUUGUUGGAAGGCUUUAUAAAAGUGGUAGAAUCUUAUAAAGAGUUUUGAGUUCGGAAUCACAGGUCAAUAUUGCAAUUAAAAAAUUGUUCACAAAUGAUGUUAUAGCCAAUAAUCUAUUGGUUAAAUAUGGUCAUGAGUGGAGAAAGAAAGUGAUAACAUAGACAUUACCGAGUUAUUCCAAAGCAAAGAGGGAAUUGUCGACUUGGAGGCUUUAUAGUAACAAAUGCAAAUUGAGACAACAAGGGCUACAUUAGUAAAGCUAGCUAGUUAGUUAUUAUGAUCACUUUUUUUGAGAGAUAGUUAUUAUGAUCACUUAUAUCUAUAUAGUUAGUUAUUAUGAUCACUUAUAUCUAUACGGAACAAUAAUAACAUCUUAUGAUAGAGGAGAUGUAGUGCUCAAAUUUAAUGAGGAAUACGAUAUAUGAUGCAUAAAAUAAAACUAAGAAACACUUUUCAGUGAGAGAAUAUGGUAAAAGAGAUAGAUAUUAGUAAAGAGGUGCUACAAUUGAUAUAUAUUAGAGAAAAAUGUGAUUCAUAUGGAUUAGAAAAUAUAUUAAUCAGUUAUUUAGCUUGAGACAUCAAGCAGAUCGAUUAUACCUAAUAAAGAUAUGACGGACAAUUUACUCGAGAAUUGUCAAGCAAGAAAGCUAAUUUAUUUCUUUAUUAAUUUACUUAGUGAUGAGAAUUGCAAUAUUGAUCCUUAGUGUAGAAAAUGCUCUAAUGUAGAAUUUUAGAGGUGGAUAGGAGAAAAAUAUUGGCCAAAAUUAAGUUUUCUUUAACUUCAUUAUUUGUAAUUAAAGCGAUUGCACGGAUCCUAUUUACAAGGCCUUAAGUCCUACUUUUUCUUGGGAUGGAAUAAAAUAUAUAAUCCUACCCCAAAUUAGAGUGGUAAUAGUUGAGAUUCAUCCUUCUUGUUACAGAAAGUCGGUCCAAUAUCACAUUUCAAAAGAGCAAAUUGAGUAUAUCAAAAUUGACUGUAGGACAAAAUCCUAAUUCUUUACAGAUAAGAAAAUAUUCAUAGUCAAACUUUUUAUAAAUAUAAAUAAAAAUUAUAGUUGUGAUUUUGGAGUCCUAAAUUAAUGAUCAUAAAAACAUGUUACAAUGUAUGUAAUAAUUGUACCAUUUUUUUUUAUUAUCUUUUUAAAACUUGAGGUACAAGGAUAUAUAUAGAGUUUGAUUCUAAGGCAUUCCUAGAAUCAAGCCAUUACAGAAAUCAAGUCCCUAAUUACAGAAUCUAAUUUAGGAAAGUGUAAUCACAUAUGAUUUCAGCCUUAUUUAACACCCCCUCUCAAGUUGGUGCAUAGAUGUCCCACAUGCCCAACUUGUCUAAAAAUUUUAAGAAUACCCGACUUGAAACAGCUUUGGUAAGAAUGUCCGCCAGCUGAUUCUCUGAUCGAAUUUUAGGCAAUUCCACAAUCCUUCCAUCCAACUUUUCCUUAAUGAAAAAUCUGUCGACCUCGACAUGCUUUGUGCGGUCAUGUUGAACUGGAUUAUGCGCGAUGUCACAUGCUGCUUUGCUGUCACAAAAUAGUUGGAUAGGUUGCUCAGAUAAAUAACCUAGAUCCUGUAAAAGGAGUCUCAACCAUAAUGUCUCACAAAGUACAUUUGCUAAGCCUCUAAAUUCAGCUUCUGCACUUGAGCGAGCUACAACAUUUUGUUUCUUGCUUUUCCAUGUCACAAGGCUACCUCCUAGAAAAGUAAAGUAUCCAGAAGUAGACCGCCUAUCACCCAGAUUGCCAGCCCAAUCAGCAUCAGUAUAGGCUUCUAUGUUUUGAUGGUUGGUGUUUUUAGUAAAUAAUACUCCUUUUCCUGGAGCAGACUUUAGGUAUCUCAAAAUGCGAAUCACUGCAUUCAUAUGUUGUUCUCCAGGAUUAUGCAUAAAUUGGCUCACAAUACUCAAGGCAUACGUCAGAUCUGGUCUGGUAUGAGAUAAGUACAAUAAUCUCCCUACAAGUCUUUGGUAUCUUGCUUUGUCAACUGGUACUUGAUCAGGCUCAACAUAUAGCUUUAGACCUUCUUCCACUGGUGUAUCAACUGGUUGACAUGCUGACAUACCAGUCUCUCGUAAUAGAUCUAGAGCAUAUUUUCUUUGAGAUAGAACUAUCCCUUUGCGAGAUCGGGAUACUUCAAUCCCAAGAAAAUAGUUCAGAGGGCCUAGAUCUUUCAUUUCAAAUUCUUUGGACAAGUAAUUUUGUAAGGCCUUCCUUUCAUUAGGAUCAUUACCUGUAACUACCAUAUCAUCCACAUAUAUAAUGAGCGCAGUUAUCUUACCUUGCUGUCUUUUGAGGAAAAGAGUAUGAUCUGCAUUGCUCUGAUGAUAGCCAAAGGCUAUCAUAGAUUUUGUGAACCUUCCAAACCAUGCUCUAGGGGACUGCUUCAAUCCAUACAAUGAUUUCUUUAAUCUGCAAAUCUUCUGGCUGUGUCUUUUGGGUAUCAUGCAUCCUGGUGGAAGAUCCAUGUAGACUUCUUCAGAUAAUUCACCAUGUAAAAAAGCAUUUUUUACAUCGAAUUGUUGUAAGGGCCAAUCCAAGUUCGCAGCUAAAGACAGCAGAACACGAACCGUGUUGAUUUUGGCUACAGGUGCAAAGGUUUCUGUGUAAUCAAUCCGGUAGGUUUGAGUGUAUCCCUUAGCUACAAGUCUUGCUUUAAAGCGUUCAAUUGUGCCAUCAGCCUUGUACUUCACAGUGUAAAUCCACCGACAUCCAACUGGUUUCUUUCCUGGUGGAGGAUCAACUAAUUCCCAUGUUUCAUUUUUUUCUAGAGAUUUCAUUUCCUCGUUCAUAGCUUCUUUCCACCUAGGAUCAGAUAAGGCUUCCUACACACUGUUAGGAAUAGAUACAGCAGAUAAUUGAUUCACAAAUGACAUAUUUGAUUCUAACAAACGAUGGUUAGACACAUAAUGACUCAUGGGAUAUUUUGCUUUACUAGAAAGUUCAGGUUCAUAUGUGGAUUUAGGAAUACCUCUAGUAUGACGUUGUGGUAACUGUCUUCUGUGUGGCUCAGGGACAUCUUCAGUAAACGAUUGAUGUGAUAUGUCGACUGGGGAUGUAGCUAUAUUUUCAUGAAUCUCAAUUUCUUGCUGGGUUGGAGAAUGAUCCAUUUCUUCAGUUACUUGGUUCUCAUCACAAUUUUGAUCUAAUAUCAUAUCAAUCUGAGAGCUGCUACUCCAAGGAUCAAGUGCCAUAUCAGUUAUCUCUAAAUUUUCCACAUCUUGGUUAUCAUGAUCCAAACUUCGAAUUUCUUCUUGGUACUCUCCCUGAAAUUCAGGUUUGGAGAAAUACAUUGUAUCUUCAUGAAAAACAACAUCCAUUGUGAUAAAUAGUCGACAUGUUGGAGGAUGAUAGCACCGAUACCCCUUUUGAUGCGUUGCAUAUCCAACAAAAACACAUCUCAAUGCUUGAGGAGUUAACUUGGUGCAUUGGUGCUUGUGUAAAUGUACAAACACCACACAUCCAAAGACAUGAGGAGUUAAAUUUGAGACAGUUGGAGUAACAAUCAUGUCAUUAAGGGAUUGGAACGGUGUUUUGAAAUUGAGAGUGCUUGAAGGUACCCGAUUGAUUAAAUAUGCUGCAGCCGUUAAAGCUUCUCCCCAAUAAGACAAAGGCAUAUGGGCUUCGAUUAGCAAAGCUCGAACAAUCUCUAACAAGUGUCGAUUUUUUCGCUCGGCCACCCCAUUCUGUUGGGGUGUGGUGGGACAAGUGGUGUGAUGGAUUAUUCCUUGUGUUUCCAAAUAAUGUUGAAAUUCAGUACUAUGAUAUUCUCCAUCAUUGUCACUGUGAAUAAUUUGGAUUUUUCUAUUGUACUGAGUUUCAAUCCUUUUAUGAAACUUUUGGAAUAUCGAGUUCACUUCAUUUUUAGAUUUCAUCAAGCAAAGCCAUGUCAUUCUGCUACAAUCAUCUAUAAAUGUUACAAACCAUCGUGACCCACCCAAAGUAGUAACUUUUGAUGGACCCCAAACAUCGGAAUGAAUAAUCAUAAAUGGAAAUGGACUUUUAUUUAAUCGUAAUGGAAACGAAGCACGAUGACUUUUUGCAAGUUCACAAGUAUCACAAUGAAAACUAGAAAUAUCAAAUCUGUAAAUAAACUAGGAAAUAAUCUUUUGAGAUAUCCAAAAGAAGCAUGUCCAAACCGUCGAUGUCUAAGCCAUAUUUCUUUUCUUUUUCUGUCUUCAGAACCUCCCACUGCUAGAGCUUGUUGUAGGCUUUUAGUACUCUUUGAUUCCAAGUCCAAGUAAUAUAGCUUUCCCCGUCUAAUACCACAACCAAUCGUCGUCCUGGUUUUGAUGUCCUUAAACACACAAAAAUCAGGCCAAAAAAUUACAAUACAAGAUAAGGCAGUGGUUAUUUGAGAAACAGACAAAAGAUUAUAAUCUAAAGAUGGAACAACUAGGACAGAAUCUAAAUUUAAUGUUUUGGUGAGAGUUAAAGAUCCUUCCCCAAUGACUUGGAUCGAAGAUCCAUUUGCAGUAGAGACAAAUUUUUGGUUAGAGUGAUUGAGUGGUGAGACUUGCCUAGAAUCAUAUGUCAUGUGAUCUGUUGCACCAGAAUCAAUUAUCCAUGCAUUAUUCAAAACAGGUGUUAAAAUAUUUAAAACCUUACCACCAUUGUCUGCAGCAAUUACCAAUGCCGAGGCGUUGUCUGUGAUUUCAUUUUCCAUUUUUGUUUGGGCAACUGCUGUCGUGGAAGGCUUUUGGUGAUUUUUCUUCGCACGACUAGGAUCCCACCAUUCUGGAUAGCCCACCAGUUCAAAACAACCACUUUUGGUAUGGCCAGUCUUAUGACAAUGAGCGCACUUGUAUGAAGACUUGUCGACAUCCUUGGUCCAUCUACCAGUGUUAGGUUGUGCUCGAGGUUGUUGACCCUGACUAGAUCGAUUCCGAGCCACCAUGGCACUAGGUUCAGAUGCUCUAGAAUCACCUUUCAAGGUGAUACUCCGUACUUCUUCCCGUCGAACUAAUGAGUAACAUUCUUCCAAGUUCGGUACUAGGUCUUUUCGCAAAAUCUCACGUCGGAUUGAAUCAAAGGCCUCAUCUAAUCCAGCAAGAAAAAUAUGAACUCUUAAUCGUUCAAUAGAUUGGCGGUAAGUUUUGACAUCAUCAGAAUCUUUCAUAACCACCUUAUCGCGAUGGUCCAACUCUUGGAAGAGUUCUGUUAAUUCUCCAUAAUACACAGAGAGGAUUCGCCCAUUUUGUCUUGCAGAAAAAGCCUUUUGAUUCAGAGUAAAGACCUGCAACUCAUCACUUCCAUCAUAGAAUGCUGUGGAUAAGGCAGUCCAAAUGCUGUGGGCUGUAGGUAAGCGUAAAUAACGCCUCAUAAUAUCGGGAGACAUAGACAUUAAUAGCCACCGUUUAACCUUUUGAUUCUCAGCAUACCAUUUUUCAUAGCCUUCAUCAGAUUCUGCAGGUGGCUUAGUCUUGCCACGAAUGUAUGAGAUUUUGUCUCUUUCGGCAAUUUGCAUUUCCAUCAAUUGAGACCAUAUAUCGUAAUUUGAUUCAGUCAGAAUGAUUCCAGCAUUAAAAAUGCCUUCGGACUGAAUCACAACUGGAAUGGAUUUAAUCUUAGCCGAUUCAGGAUUUUCUUCACUCAUUUUUUUUUUUUUUUUUAAAGCAACAAUUCUAAAGGUUUGGAAUCCACCUGAGAGGAAAAUCCUGCUACGGUGAUGGUGCGGUGUUGGAUUAGUGAAAGCAACAGGGGCAGAAGGUUGAGGUUGACGAUGACUUCAAAAAGGCUGGGCAGAUCUGAGUUUGGUUUCAGAUCUAGAUUUGAGGUUGGUCUUGUUCUCGGCGAAGAGGACGGCGGCGACGACAAAGGCGACGUUGUAGGUUUUUUUUUUUUUUUUUCGAGAUUUGCACAGCUUCAACCUGUCUCUGAUACCAUGUUACAGUGUAUGUAAUAAUUGUACCAUUUUUUUUUAUUAUCUUUUUAAAACUUGAGGUACAAGGAUAUAUAUAGAGUUUGAUUCUAAGGCAUUCCUAGAAUCAAGCCAUUACAUAAAUCAAGUCCCUAAUUACAGGAUCUAAUUUAGGAAAGUGUAAUCACAUAUAAUUUCAGCCUUAUUUAUCAAAAUACUCCGAAACUCAUACUAAACUUAGUAGUAUUGCCUAGUAAAUUUGAUUGCCAUAGCACAGCUAAUUCUCCUUGAUUCACAUUCGUGGAACUAAGAAUCAUCUUAACCGUAUUCCAUAUAUAGAAAACAUUCCUUUCGGAUGAUGUUAUGUCUUGACCCAAACCAAUAACUUACCAUGCACCUACGACCUUGUUAAUCAACUAUAGUUUUUUUUAAAAAAAAUUUUGCCCCUUUUUUUUCCCCUAAGAUUUGUGUGUAGAGUCCAAUAAUGUGUUAUGGGAUCUUUGGCGAACAACUAUGUUGUAAGGACUUUGUUGUUCACUUCACUCCUUUUUGAAUAAAAAGGAUAUACAUCCUUUUUUUAACACCGUAUCCAUUGUUGAUGGCUUUUCUUCAAAGAAACAAGUUCUUUUUUAAUAUCAUUUUACUUACCCUCUUUUUAUCAUUAAUUCUAGAUAAAAUUAGCCUUUUCUGGAACCAUUUAUAUAUCUAUUGUAAUAAUAACAAUUAAAAGGAGAAAUGUAGGUGGCUUUUGCCUCAUGCAAUGAAAGUGUGUCUACAAAAGGAAAGCUAGAAGGGGACUCAAAGUCAUAGACAUAGAAGCGAUGAACACAAUGCCACUAUCUAAAUUGUGGUAGCGUUUCAUCACCGAAUCUUACCUAUCUUGGACAAGUUGGUCAGAGAACUAUUCUAUAAUAGAAGGAGGUCAAUGCGGGAAGGGACAUCUUUUAGACCAUACUUGCAGUGAUGGGGGAAUGUUUGAAAUCAUAGAGCCAUCUUCAAGUGUGGGAUAGCUAUAAUUUGGGAGACAGACAACACACCAAUUCAUGGUUGAAUAUUUGUCAAGGCAAUGAUCCCUAUGUAACCAAUUCCGAGACACAUUCAAGAAAGUUUUGGAUAAUGAUUUAUGGGUAUAGGAAUGCUAUGAAUGGACAAAAUGGAGAUGGAACAUUAUACAUUUCAAAUUCGAGGAGAGGACCCAAGAUGAGAUAGCUAACUUACAAAAGCUCAAGGACUUACCAUUGAGGCCAUGACCGACCAACAUGAUGGAUAUAGUAAGAUGGAGAUGGACGCCUAAUCAAACUUCAUAGUUAAUUCACUUUACAAAUUUCUCACAGAUGAGGGGCACGAGACAUAGAUAGCCAUCAAAUUUGGAAACUACAUAUUGCCACAAAGAUGAAAGUGUUCGUGUGGCUAGUGUAAAGAAGAAGAUCUUAGCUACCGACAACUUGUAAAAAGGAAGAUCUACUGAAAACUUGUAAAAAGGAAACUGGUUACGCAAACUAUCCUGUCUUGUCAAAAAUGACCUAAAAACAUAUGAUCACUUAUUUUCAAGAUCACCUCAGAUUCUUGGUAUAUUGCAUUGCACAUCAUGGCAUAGUGAAAACAUCAGCAGUCGUGCAAAAUUGUUGAAGAGUACCAUCUAGCUAAUAUACAGCUCAAAGAGGAAAAGUGGGCUCAGUUUAUUAUCGGCCACAUAGUGGACAAUCUGGUGAGAAAGGAAUAAUAUUAUCUUCUGAUAUCAUACUACGAAACCUGUGCAAAAUCCUAUCUAACAUUUGACGACUUAUAGAAUUUAGGAUCGAAUCUCACUAAUAAUCACUAUAUGUUUUGUUAUCUGUUUUUUCACUAAUCCACUUUUGACUUUUUUUGAGGCCCCAACUGCCUCACUUAUGUACGUAAUUAAGUUUAUUAAUCAUAUUGAGGUCCUAAAUUUGAAGUCUAGUUGCUUCACAUUUUUAGCUAAGUUCAUAUCUAAGAAAAAAUGAAUAAAGCGAUGGUAUGAUACUAGCCUUCCCGCGACCAUUUAUUUUACCACGACAUUCUCAAUAUUCAAUAUGUCAUGAAACAACAUAUCGCAAUGGUUACUCUCAAUAGUCUUGAUCAUCAUAAGCAUCCUUAUUUGGUAACCUUUUGGGCAUAUCUAGCCAAUGGAUUGAACAUACAUAUAUUAACACCAAUAUAUGUGCUUUCUUAAUUUUCUAAUCUAUCGAUUCUUUAACAAUUUCAAAAUGAUUUGAAAACUACCAAGCUCCAUCAAUUCAUACAUGCUUUUUAUUCUUCAAUGUUUUUGUAAGUUCCCAAAUCAUGGUGAACACAAUGGCGUUGAAGAUUAUAAAGAAGAGCAUAGUGUUCUUGAUAUCAUAUUUGAUGACAAACUUGCUCAAUCAUAAGUAUAGAAGUUCCAAUCUUCAAAACUUAAAUGCCCAACUUUCAUGCCAUAACUAAUUUUCAUAAAUAGAUGCCUUCAUAACGUGAUUUUGAAAAUCAACAUGCACGGGAAAAAAAUUCUUCUUUUUUCCAUGGAAACUAUAGCAAGUAAUUCAAUUUUGGUUAUUAUUAUAAUGACUUGUUUAGAAUUAUCAAACAUCAAAGAAGAGUCCAACUGGGAUAUUAUCGAUAGCACCAAGGGCCUUAUGAGAGCCCCGCUCUACCCAUGGCUGUCAUCAGUCGAGUAGCCGCGUUCUAUCCACUAUAUAACUCUAUCUCAGCCAAGACUCUUCUCGGACUUUUGGCUAGUUAUUUUCUCUGACAACUAUGACCUGAUUCAAUUCUCUAUAGUCAAUACAUAGUUGCAGACUUCAAUCCUUUUUCACGAAUAAGAUCGGUGCAUCCCAUAGUGAAACACGCAUUCAAAUAAAAGAUUUAUCAAGCAACUUUUGUAGUUGGUCUUUCAACUCCCGCAACUCUGUGGUAGCCAGUACAUAGUUGCAAACUUGUAUCCUUCUUCACGAAUAAGACCGACACACCCCAUAGUGAAACACUCAGUUGAAUUAAAGAUUUAUCAAGCAGCUUUUGUAGCUGGUCUUUCAACUCCCCCAACUCUCUAGUAGCCAUUCGAUAUAGAGCUUUAAAGAUAUGUUGUCCACUUGGAGCCAAGUCAAUCGCAAAUUUGAUCUCUUGAUCCGGCGGCAGCUCUGGCAAAUCGGCUGGGAGAAUGUUUGGAAUCUACCUCACAAUAGGAAUCUCUCCAAUCACAACCUCAUUCUCAUCUAAAGUAAAACUAUUUGGGUGUAACACAAUUAGUGGAGUAAGACCAUUCCGAAUUGGGUACCGACCUUGAACUGCAACUUCGACAUCUAUCGCACGUAGUCGGCUAGCUCCUUAACACUCACUUGGUAUAUACAGAGACACAAGAACAUAACAGACUCUUUUAGGGUUCCGAAUACUUUAUAUACUAUUUGUCAUAUCCAACCGCGGGCCUCAAGGCUUCAAGGAAUGAACACUAGCUUGAUCUCACAAAAUACACAUUUUACCAUAUAUAGGACUUGAGGUUUCCCACAAUAACCAAAAUUCUCACAAAUUUAAAGGAUUCUCCAACCAUUCUCAAGAAAACCAUAACUUUUCUAGCACAAUACCAAGAUCAUGUUUACAACAUAAUGAAACCCCAAAUCAAUUCCAAAACCUACGAAAUCAUGAAAUCGACAAUGACCAAUAGCAAGGGUUAAGAGGUCAAGGGCUACUCACCUUAAAUCACAAGCUUUUCCUCUCCUCCAAGAAAAGCUUGUCUGCACCAAGGUCGUAGUUUUUUUCUCCUGCAGCUACUACUCCUAACUACACGUACCAAGAAGUGAAAAUUCAACCUUCAUUUCCUUCGAAGCUAUAAAGAGAAAGAACAAGAGAGUGGAGAGUAAGAGCGGGUAAGGGAAAAGAAGUGAGAAAUAGAGAAGCUAAGGCUUAGGUUGAGGCUUUCUAACCUAAGGGGUUAUAGGAAAAUAGCGUAAGAGAAAUAGUACCAGCUGGUAGCCGGCUCGACUCACAUGUAUGGCUCACAUGGACAAAUAAAAAGUGACACAUGAUGCAUUAGAAGCCAGGAAAGAAACGCCCAAAGGCGAAUGAGUUUUGGGUCGAAACGGCUGAAAAGGGGGAGUGAUUUUGUAACCAAUAAGAAAAUAGUUAGAGCACUUUCCACGACACGAACCGUUUAAUAACUGAAGGCUAACUGAAGAUUGACAAAAGUUCUCUAAAUAGCGAAAGAUUACCUGCAAUAAUGGGCUUUCCGCACACAAAACCACCGCUUUUACACUUUUUUUUUUUUUCUAUUCCCAGCAUUUACUUUUUGUCUAGGAGAAGCUUAUAGUUUUUAGUUUGAUCCCUAGUUCCUCUACAAUUUGAGCCUUACUGCACUACAGUCUCUAUAAUUUUUCUCACUUCAAUUAAUUUUUUUCACUUCAAUUACUUCUGCUUUAGUUUCAGCCGAAUUUGUUCUUAUGUUUUUUGCGUUCGGUUUAUUUUACAUAUUGAGAAAGAAUCCGGUUGACAGAUCCCUUCUCAACCUAUCGCUUGACUAAGUCAUGGAGAGUCAUUCAAAGAGCCGAAUCACAAAUCAAAAGCACUUUUUAUUCGGUCAAUAGUUUGACUCAGUCAACGGCUUAGGAAAUCAGUUUGAUCCCAACACUUACUACCAUUCAACUCAAAUUGGAUAGUUUUAGAGGGUGGUAGUGAAGUAGAAUCAUUGUAGAUUCCUAGAUGAUAAAAAUACUAGAUUAUCAUGGUUUAUGAGGAAUGCUUAUUUUCAUGCGUAAUGAAAAUCAUUAAGCAUUCUAUUAGCAAGUGUAUACAAGUUCUUAACAACCUUUCAACCCAAGUGAUUUGAUAAGUUAAUAACAAAACUUGUCAUUCUAAAUAUAAAAUAUACAACAAUUCUUGGAAUAUUACAAAUUUUGAACCAGACUGCCCUUAUUGUGAUAUCAAAAAAUAAUACAAAAAAUUUUCAAAAUUUCCCCUAUACUUAAAAAUUAAAGAAAACAAAAUUAAAUAUAUCAAUCGAACUUGAGAAGUGUAAAAUUUUGGAUAUUAAUAUAUAAAAAAGCCACAACUGAAAUUCGUUAUACGUGUUGUUGGCUUAAUUUCCAUUUGAGCUCCAGUUUUCAUUUUAAAUUGUAAAUCCAAAAUAAUUAAUUUAAUUGAGUAUUCAAAGUUAAAAUUUACUACCAAAUAUAAAUUUAGAGUUGAAUUUUUUAAUACAAAUUAUUUUCUGCAAUUAAAUUAAACCUAAAAAUAAAUUGAAACUAGAGAAUUUAACUUUUCUUUAGGAUUUUCAGCUCAAAUAUUUAAUUCAAAUUGUAUAUAUAAGUCUUAAAUUCUACUUUUCAGUUUAAUUUUCAAAUUCAAAUGACUUUCAAUGACUUAAUUAAAAUGAAGUAACUUAAAUUAAAAAAUAAACUCAAAAUUAUGCUUUGAGCUCACAUGUCGAAUUCAAACUAUAUGUUUAACUCUUGAAUUCAAAUUUGAAUUAAAGUUUUAAGUUCGAGGGACUUCAAGUGAUGUAAUUAAUUCAAAUUCAAUUUCAAAGUUUGAACAUAAAUAUUGACUUCAAAUAGCAUGUUUAACUCUCGACACUACAAUAAAAACGGUCUAUAGCGGCACUUUUAAAUGUCGGUACAUAUCAAAAAAAGUGCUGCUGGCUAAAUUACCAAUUUUUAAAAAGUGUUGCUACAUGUGGGGUCGCUAGGUAUAUAGUGACAGUUAAAAAGUGUCGGUAUAACCUAAAAAGAGUGCUGCUAAUUUACUAACACUUAUUUAAGCAUUUAGUAACCGUCGGAACUCUACCUUGUUGGCCGCGGUAGCGAAGGAUGAGGAGAGGGAAGGGUUCUUUGUCUCGGAUUUCAGUGUAUUGAAUGAGCAGAGAAGGGGAGAUAGUAAUUGAUUUUUUUUUUUUCUUUUUUGUUUAUAAUAGGGCCGAAUGGGCUGGGUGGAAUAGGUUGAGUAGAAUAACCUUUUAUUUUUUGUUGGAUUGAGCUUAUAUUUAGACAUUAGUAGAUUUUAUUUAAGUUUUGGGAUAAAUGGGACACUUACACAAAAGUGUCCCAAACAUGUGUCGCUAUAACCUAAUUAUGUUGUAGUGCGAAUUCCAAUUUAAAUUUAUACUCAAAAUUUAUAUUCUAU
rnacentral:lncRNA from 1 species